GAAUGUUUCAGUGCUGUUCCCCUCGGGCCUUGGGACCACCUCCUUGCAGUGGGACUCAGGGUGUGUGAGAGGGAGUGAGGGCCAGCGGAGGGCCAGCUGCCUGUGGGGCCCGACUCACGUGAGUACAUCCUUAUUGACAGAGCAAAUGGCCUUUCUGCUCGCAGACCUGGGGCUUGCAGGGUGAUGGGACAUGUUGCUGGGAGCGCUGGCCACUUUAAUUUGGGGUGUGGACAGCUGCUUUCCCAGGGGAGCUCUUCUUUCCGUGGGAUUUGGAGGCGGACUCUGCCCGAGGGAAAAUUGUAUUUGUAUGUGAAAAAAAUAUGAGAGAUAUUUCCUCCCACCUGAGGCCUAGCCAGAGUUGGGUAGGAAGGUAAUUUGGGAGUGUUGUCGUCUGUCUGUCUGCUAGGGUUAGAGCAACAAGCCCGAAGGACGUUCGUGGACACUUGGGGAGGGGUAGUCUUAGCUUGAAAAGCAGAGUUAUGGUUGGCCUUAAGGGCAUAAAAAUGUGGCCAUAUAUGCAGCAUUUGCAUGGCAUCCACGGUCUGGAAUAAAUACCCAGUGCGCAGGACGUUGUGUGGGUUGGAAGGAGUCUUAGAGAUGAUUCGGCUUGUCGGCCUCCUUUUGCAGCAGGACGGUGGGCAGUGCAGGGCCUGGGAGCUAAGCUAACUCACCCUGUGGGUACAGGGCUGAUUAGGUGGGAUUAGAACCCCUGGGUUCCUGGCUCUGGAUCGUUCUUCCUUCCGCUACAGUUCAGCUGCCCCUGCAGGCAGAGGCGGAGAAGAGCGUGCCCAUUUUGCAGAUGAGGAAAUGGGGACUCUGGAUGCCAGAGUUGCCUCCACUUACUGAUCUGAUUGGUGAGACUGAGAAGUAGCACCUAACUGCCCCAGUUCAGACCUCUUUCUGUCAGGUUACAUGGGCUUUUGUUGUUUGUAAAAUUUUCUUCCCCCCCCCCCCCUUUUUUGCUUUCUACUUAUUCUGCUUUCGGUCAUGUGAAUGUUACUUGAAUGUGGGCUGCUGCCUUCUGACCUGCUUUGGCUUCUAGAUCUUUUUCUUUCCUGAUUUCCUAGAAGGGAGUGAUAGCUUGUCCAAAAUGCAGAACCGGGGAACAGAGACCCCUACUUCAGUUUCUCCCAGAGGGUAGAAGUUAUGCACAGACCUUGGAAGAGACUGAGCAGGGAGGGCUUUCUUGCUUAGCUGUCAGAAUGCUGCAGCGUAAUUCCCAUCGAAAGGUGAGCUUGACUCUGAAUGGAUUUUAUACACAGGCACAGACACAUAUUAUAGACAGACACACACACACAGACACACACACUCAUAGGCAUAUACAUAGGUGCACAUACAUAUAGACACACACACAGGCAUACACAUGGUUACACAUACACAUAGACGCACACUGUAGACCCACCCACACACACACAUACACACACACACACACACACACACACACACACACACACACACACACACACUUCCUUGCCUUGAUACAGCUUUAAAGAGAGACUUAGAAGGCACCACCCUCUCUUAACCGCCCGCCAGAUGUUACACGGCCAUGAGUAGUUCUUUGCAGUCAGUUUGGGUUCUGGUGAACCUGGGGGCACUUUUCUUCAAUUCAGGGAAGACGCUGGAGAUGUGUCUCGGGGAAGCACUUUCACGCCGGUGGCAUUAGGCGGCGGAUCCUAAUAGCUCAGGGGAGUGCUCGGAGACCCAAGUCUGUCCAGUGUUGAAGGGAGGCCAAGCAGUUCCCUAAGCCGCUCUAGAAUGCCAGGGAGGCAGGACCCCAGGACCCUGCGCACAGCCUGUCUCCUACUCCAUGAUGGUAGCUGGCCUGCGUAUAGCCCUGCUCGCCGGGUGGGAGGCAAGAAGGCUUGGGAUUGAGGCAACAGGGCUUGGGGUCCCCCCCCAUACCUGCUAUGGUGGUGACAGACAAGGGCACCGAGAGGUUAGGGUUGGUGGUGCAGGUGUAUGGGCUGUUACUGUUCGGAAGGAGAACUGCCAUGAAUUGAUUGCUUUCUGAAUGCCAGGCAUUGGGUUAAGCACUUGACCUAAAUCAUUGAGUCACUAUUAUCCCUACCCAUGAGUAGGUGCUGUUUUUGUUUUUAACUUUAUUUUUAAUUUUGGUAAAGUACACAUUUACUAACCAUUUUAAAUGUACAGCUAACCAUUUUAAAUGUACAGCUCCGGGGUGUUAAAUGCAGCCACCUGUCCGGCAACCCGUCUCCAGAACUCCUUUCAUUCUGCAAAACUGAGCCUCUGGACCUACUAAACACUAACUUCCCAUUCCCCUUCCCCUCGGCUCUGACAAUUGUCCUUCUGCCCUCUGUCUCCAUGAAUUUCUAGGCACCUCGCAUUAAGUGGGAUCCUACAGUAUCGAUUCUGUUGUGGCAGCCUUAUUUCACUUAGCAUAAUGUCUGCAAGGUUCAUCUGUGUUGUCGCACGUGACAGAAUUACAUACAUACACACCGCAUUUUGUUGACCCACUUAGGUACUGUGUUUUACUUUCUUUUUAUGGAGGAAGAGCCUGGAGGGUUGAGUUGCCCAAAGUCACGCAGUCGGUAGUGGAGCUGGGAUCUGAACCCAGGUUGUGUGACUUCAGAGUGCGUGUGGUCAGGGGGAAGUGGAUAUUUGAUUUUAGUUGGCAAGAGUGUGACAAACUAGGGUGGUUCUUAACUGGCUAGUGAUACCUCUUCACACCUUGCUGUGACAUUUCAGUAACCGAGUGUUCCAAAGGACUGUACAUGGGUAUUUCCUUGCAUUUUCUAUCGGUCUCUGUGAAGCUUAGAGCCAAAUGUGAAGCCCACCUCUGGCAAAUGGUAUGAGACGUAUGACUCUUCUUUUUUUUUUUAAUUUUUUAAAUGCUUGUUUAUUUAUUAAAACAAUUUUUUAGUGUUUAUUAUUGAGAGACAGAGACAGAGUGCGAGCAGGGGAGGGGCAGAGAGAGAGGAAGACAGAGAAUCCAAAGCAGGCUCCAGGCUCUGAGGGGUCAGCACAGAGUCCGACAUGGGGCUAGAACUUACGAACUGCGAGAUCAUGACCUAAGCUGAAGUGGGACACUUAAUUGACUGAGCCACCCGGGCACCCCAAGACUCUUCUUUUUUGUAAUCCUUGUCCUUUUCCUUCACCUUAUUUUUCCAUCUCACUCCCCAGUUUUCUCACCAUAAAAAAAUCAUGAAUUACAUGCAUUUCUGUUAGGUACUUCAGAGCAGAUCCUUUAGGGAACGAGACAGAGUAUAUAAAUCAGUUACAUGCUAUCAGGCAUUUUUGUUAUUACGAUGUCUAAGGAAUAGCUAGUCUGCACAGCAGUGGACAGAGACUGCAGUUGUGAUUUUCUGACCUGGCUCUGUUGCUGACCCAGUGUUUCACUUGGGUGAUACUGCUCCUUUCUGAUCUCAGUUUUCCCACCUGUAAGAUGGGACCGCCGUUGACAACAGGGAACAUUCUGUCUGUGCUGAGCCCACACGGGGCAUUCUACAUGAUCAAUCUCCUUCUAUCCUCCCAGCCCUCCUAUAGCCGGGUGAUGUUAACCCCAUUUUACUUGAGAAAAGUGAGGUCUAGAGAAAUGGGAACACUUUCCUAAACUCCUACAGCUCCUGAGUAGCAAGAUUACUGAUCGUCAUCUGACUCCAGAGCCCAGGACGUUAUCCACAGUGCUGGGCGACUUGCCCUUAGCCACCGGUAAGGUUUCUGUCACUGGUGGUAUGUAUUCAUCUAAUUUUAUUAAAUGUUUAUUGGAUUCCCACCUAUGUGCUUCAAACUGUUCUGGGCACUGAUCCAGCCCUGGGUUUAGAGUGACGGAAAAGACACAUGGAACAAUGAUUCCUUGGACCUUUACAUUCUAGUUAGGCGUGUGUGGAGAAGGCAGAUAAUAAAUGAACCUGUAAAUAGAAGGGAAUGAUAAGUAACACUUGGGAGGAUUCACACAGGGCACUAAGAUGGUGAGUGAAUGGAGGAAGUGAUCUGGGAGGUGAUGUUUAAGCUGAGGUCUGAAUGACAAGGAGUCAGCCGUGCAAAAGUCAGGAGGAAGAGCCAUGCAGAGGGCGCGGUCAAUGCCAAGGCCAUGGAACGGGAAUGAGUUUGUGCUUGAGGAAUGAAAAGGGCCCAGAAUGCUAGGAGGUAGUGGGCGGCCGAGGAAGAAACAUGCCAGGAGGGCAGGGAAAGGGCUGCUGGGUGUAAGUAAGCUAGAGCAGGGGCUUGACCCGAAUCUAGGGGUGAUGGGGAGCAUCAUUCAGCUCGCUGUCAGGGGGAUGGAUUGCAGGGAGUGGGGCAAGGGUGGAAGCAAGGGGGUCAGGAGGAGACUCUUGCUGUCAGUAGGCGAGAGGUGGUGGUAACUUUGACUAGGGUGGUGGAAAUGGAGCCAGAGACAAGUGACUUGGCUCACGACAUGUUUUGGAGGGAUUGUCUACGGGACGUCAAGGGCAGUUUCCUUCAGAAUAGUGUCAAGGUCAAUGGGCAGGAAUCUGGGAGACCCUGAUGGAGGUGAAAAUGUGCAAUGCGGGAGGUGGGGGGUGCAGAGACUUGCAGCUGAUUCAGACUAAGGAGUCUGUGUGCUCCCUGCUUUGGUUUCUAACCUUGAACUUCUGGCCAGGGAACAGAGGGCAGGGGCUUCCUGCCUCUGACGUCCUGGCUGAGAGCUGCUGGAACGCCCCAAAAUAAGCCCUGCAGAACAUGCCGCUUCCUUUGCUCUCCUUGGGUAUUUGUAUAAAGCAUUCUUUCCCACCAAGAAUACGGAAUAUUCAGAGUGAUGCUGACUUUGUGGGCCGUAUUUAACAUAUUGUUUUCCCUUGAUGGGUCGUCCAGAUUCUUGCCUCUUGCAGAUUCCCUGCUAGGAGCCUUCAGCCACCCUAUUAGAUGGGAAUGGAAGGCUUGGGGUGGGGGGGUGGGGCAUGGAAGAGCUGGGGCUUCAAGGCCCCACCUUGGCUUGAGGACCGUGGUCCAAGCCUACCUCCCAAACCUCCUCUUUCGUUUACGUUUGAUUUCACACUUGCCGGUCCUCGCUUCCCCCUCUGUGGUUCCUUUAAAUGGGAUGGGCUUUCCUGUAAAUCCCCCAUGUUUCAGUGGUGUGGAGGAACUGGUCUCAGAGAAGUUCGAUGAUUGGCCAGUGUGAGGUUGUGUCUGAGUCAGGCUGGGAAUCUAAGAUUCCUGACCGAGCCUGUGCUCUGGCCACCGGGCCAAAGUGACUCCACAUGAGACCUCAUGCCCUGGGUGUCUCAUGGCAGUCCUAUACUGCACUGGGCAUGAGCCGGGAGAUGCUCAGUGAUCGUAUUCUGAAUCACCUGAAAUUCACUUCUGGGCGUCUUCGCAUGCUCCUCUUUGAAUAGUUUGCCGUCUGUAUUACCAUUUUUUUUUUUUUUAAACUCUAGCAUUAUCUCUUAAAAGCAGUGUUUUGUUUUUGCUCAUUUGAAUUUCUUUUAAAAUCUCUUUCAUAUUGCCCAUUCAUUUAGUCAACAAACAUUUAUUGAGUUCUUACUGUAUGCCAGGCAUUGUGCUAGGUGCUGGGGACUGAUUCAAAGAUAAUUUGGAGGCGUAUGGAAGGGGAGUGGAUAAUUACAGCACAGUGAGAGAAGUGCUAUAAUAGAGGGAUAUGUAAAGAGCUAGAAAUAGCACUAUGAAUAACAUCUCUGAACAAAUUGCCUUCUUUUUUCCUUUUGGAUUAUUCCCUUAUGUAUAUUGCCCAAAGUGGGAUUACUGGGUCAUUUAAAAGAUGAAAACAAUUUGGCACAAAAGGAUGUAAUGACUUGCCUGGGGGAAUACAGAUCAAUUUUCAACGGGGGCGGGGGCGGGGGGGAUUGUUGACAACUCCAGUUUUAGAUACUUUACCGGGAGGAUUGUGCCGUUUUUAUACCACCUCUGUCAUCAUGGUGGCUUUCAGGGGGAGUACCUAUUCUAAACAUGUCAGGCUGCAUGUAGAAACACAUAUCCUUCUAUUUAAUUUCACAAAUUAGUUGUUAAUUCUCACAAGAACUCAUAGAUAUAUGAGUAGGAUGGUUCCUUCCAUUUUACAAAUGAAGAAAUUUAACUUCUCUAAAAGGAAGGGACUCGCUCAGGGUUCCAUUGUUAAUUCUUGUAGAAUCCAGAAAUCAAGUGUAGAUUGAUUCUAUGACUCCUGUCCUGCUCUCUGUACUCCGUUCACCACGUCGGGUGCUUGUGCCCCAGCUAGGGCUUGGGAGUCAUUUGAUGAGCUGUAGGGAUUCUUCUCAAGGAGGGCAGAAUGUACUAGAAGAGGUGUAGAAGUUCAGACCUCCAGAGGGGCCAGUGUUCCUGUGUAUAUUGAUCAGAAGGGACCUGAAGGCCCGUUACUCUUUACCCCGGCCCAGAUCCUGGAAGGUGAAUGUAUGGUGGCCUUAGCACGAUAGCACAGGACCCCAAGUAGAGCUGGAAGCAUCCACUGUUCUGCUUGGAAACACUGUUUUCCUAGUAUGUUCAGCUGUGUGUCCCUGACUGUAAAUUUCUUUAUUUUGCCAUUUAGAAGUAAGAACUCAUGCCCUUGGUCCCUGGCCCAUCAUCGUCAGACAGCCAUGUCUGUCGGCUGUGAGGCUUUGGCUCGCUCAUCCCUAAGACACCCAUGUUCUCUGCCAUUUUCCAGACAUACCCUGCUUUUUCUCACCUUCGUGCUUUAUCUCAUGCUGUUCUCCUAGCCUGAGGGGCCCUCCUCUGUCUUCAUCCAGAGACCUCCUGUUCCUCUUAAACACUUCUGCCUGGAUGGCCACCUUCUGACUGAGGUGACCUGUGAUCACCAUCUACUCUCCACCGUUCACACUGCCCCAUACUAGAAAGGAUCUCUCUGUUCUCUCUUCUGCUAGCUCGCAUCACAAUGGGCUGUGGGGCAAUAGAGUAUAUAGCUCUAUGGUGAUUCUGAGCAUUCAAAUCUUGGCUGUGGCACUUCUAGCUGUGUGAUCCGCCAGGUCAGUUAACCUGCUUGAGCCCGAGGUUCCAUAUCCGUCAAAUGGGUUUAAGAAAUCACAUCGAGUCACAGGGUUACUCGUGAGGAUUUGUAUCACCUGUCCUUCUUCCGUGGUACUCACCAUCUCCUACUUGGUUUAUGUUUUAUCCCUCCUUCUAGACCAGGAGCUCCUUUUUGGGCAGGAAGCGAAAAACAUCUUGCCUGUGCCUUUAACAAAUGGGACCUGCUGCAAAGGCUCCUUUAAGGGAAAGGUUCCAUAGGACCUAACUGGUGACGUUAGUGCAGGCUCCUUACUGGUUGGAGGCCCUGGUCACAUGGUACCAGGCCUGGACGGAAGAGCUCCGUGAUAGGGAGCUUUGGGCACACACAGGGUGUGCUGGAUAGGCCUCUGGCUUCUGCUUAGUUAACAGGAAAGAGGCUGGAGCCUGUGUUUGGCCCGUGUUCUGGUUCAUCAGGUUGGGUAGUGCUGGCAUUUCCCUGAAGGCAGAGUGGAAAUCCUGCCUGGAACAGGAGACGUGGUGUCUUUUCUGGGUCUUUCAUGGUUGGGAGUUCCAGACUAGAGGGAAAGGUCCACAGACGUGUGGGUUGGGGCACCUCUGAGAGCCACCCACUUCUCUGACUUCUCUGUGGGUGGGGCCAUGGAGAAGGGGUCCAUUGGGAGGAGGAAGCUGUCCUUCAGACCCUCCCACCCUCCCUGUGCUUGGAGGCUCAACGGAAGAGCGUUCAGUUCUUAAAGGGGUAGCUCUGCUAUUUAACUUUCUCCUGCGUCAUGUCCCGGGACGCAGUACCCAUGAGUGUCAAGAUCCAAGUGCUUUAGCCUGGCACAUAAGGUCCUUCAUGUCUUGGCUGCAACAUUCCUUUGCAGCCUCGUCUCCCACCGCAUCCCUCCGUGUGCUCUGCCACUGGCCUCAGCAGAUUAGUCACUUUCCCUAAGAACAGCCUGAACGCCUCCUUACGGCGCUUAGCACGUCUUGUUCCCUGGGCCUAUUUUCCCCCUCCUCAUUGGUGGAAAUCCUGUUGGGUGUGCAGGCUCGGUUCAGAAGUCAUCAUCCACGGAGCUCUUCCAGACCCUCAAAACAACGUCGCGUGGACUUGUGCUUUGCACACUUUUCAGUGUUUUCGAGCGUGUGCCCGCCCGGUGAGCCUGUGAGCUCUUUGAGAGCGCCAGGCAGGCCUGACUCAGCACCUGCAGCUGUUGGGUCCAUACACGGUGCCUCAUUAAGGACAGGAGGUGCUAGCAAGUGUCUGUUUUGAGCACCUGCGAAUGCAAGGCACAUGACAUCGUGUCAGCUAACAGUUGUGCCGGAGGGGUGUUCAGAAGCUCAUUCUUGGGUUACCCGCGGUGUGUUUGAUCGUGAGCCCAGCCAUUGGAAUUCUCUUUGUGACUGGCCUGCUGUCAGCUCACCGCUGACCUUUCUCAGGCCUGCUUCCCACAUACCCAGCGAUGUCUGCUCCGUGCCAGGGCUCUGAGCUUUUUAUUUCACUGAAGAACAUAGAGGAAGGUGGAAGUCAGGAAGGAUUCUGCUUCUCAUGUGAACAUACUUGAUUUUGAAAGUUCCGGCUUUGUUUUGUAUCCCAGAGUUCCUUAAACUGUGAAAAUACUGGAGGAAUUUUUUUAGGAUAUUUCUGCCUCUAGCGGAAUAGCUGCCCAUCGUACAGUUGUAACUGCAAGGUAGUAAGAUCUGGGUUGUGGGGCUUGAUUUUGAAGACUUGGGUUCAAGUCUUGGCUUUACCAUUAUCAGCCCCAGAACCUUGCGGGGGGGGGGGGGGGGUUGCCUGACUUCUCUGACCCUCAGUUUCCUCAGUGGGCAAUUGGGAAAUUGUUCUUACGGGGCUGGUGGGAAGUUUAAAUGAGGUUUUGGACAUUAAAUUGGGAUUUUUGUUACUUUUUGAUUCGUACAUUGGAUUUGAAAGCCUUUGUUAAGUUAUGAUUUUUCUUAUUUGGUUAUAGUCGACAUACAAUGUUACAUUAGAUUCAGGUGUGCAUCAUUGUGAUUCAACAUCUUUAUAUGUUAUACCAUACUUACCGAAAAUGUAGCUACCAUCAGUCACCAUAUGUCGCUAUUAUAGCGUAAUUAACUAUAUCCCCUACACUCUGUCUUUUAUUCUCCGACUUAUUCAUUUCAUAACUGGAAGCCCGCACUUCUGCUCUCUUUUACCCACUGUUACCCCUCCCUCCGCCUCCUCCCCUCUGACAACUAUCAGUUUGUUCUCUGUUUUUAGGCUUUAUUGAAGGAUUUAUUUACAUAUUAAAUGUUUAUUUAUUUUGAGAGACAGGAGAGAACGCAUGUGUGCACGGUGAGCAGGGGAGGGGCAGAGAGAAGGGGAGAGAGAAUCAAGUUUCACACUCAGCAUAGAGCCAGAUGUGGGGCUCCAUUUCAUGUCUGUGAGAUCAUGACCUGAGCCCAAAUCAGUGCUUAACUGGCCACUCUUAUCGGAGGCCAUUUUAAAAUAGGACUUCCAAAAAGUUUGCUUUUGAAGGAAAUUGCUUGGAUGCGGAAGUUGUCACACACUUGUCUUAUCUUAGUUUUUGAAUGACAAAUGAACAUCUAACACACUUACGGAACGUACAUAGCCGGUGAGGCUCUGUUACAGUCCAAAUAAGUUAGAACCACAGAAUCUUAAGUUUUGAGAAAUCAUAGAAACCUUAGAAGACGAGGGGCUGACCGUUCAUGCCUGCUGCGUGUGGGCUCUGUGCCGUGCGUGCUGGAAUUGGAAUCCCAGGGCACGAUCACAUAGAUCCCGAUGGGUAGGUGGUGUUAUCCCUGUUUUGCAGACAGGGAAGCUUGAGCUCAGGGAGGUUAAAUAAUUGACACAAAUCCUGUAUCAACGCAUUCAGCUUCAUCUUGCACUCAUGGUGGCUUCUAGAAAUCCUUUCCCUUUACGGACACGAUGAGGCCUGCCUUUGCUUUGUGGAUCCUUUACCCUCUCACAGCAGGAGCAGCCCCUGGUUUUAGGCCAGGUACAGCAGUGCAGAUCAGCAGUGUCGAUGUCCCAUCACUUGUUUAAUUAAUCUGGAAGAGUGUCUUUCCUUUUUCUGCCAAGAAUCUGCUCGUUUUGAGCUCCUUUGACUACUCAUUCAUCAGCCUUUCCUUGUUCCCCCCUUUGGAGACGGAUUUGCCACUGCCCAUCUCUGGUUUUGAGGUCAGGGGUGUAUUUAAAGAGGACUUCGUCUUUCCUUUUAAAAAAUUACAGGUGGAAAGUACAAUUCGUUGAGUAUUUCCCAUCACGUCCUCCAUAUAUGGGGUGGUGAGAAGAGGCAGCAGUGUGGGGGACCAGGAGUGCUGGCUGUCAUCCUGGGUCUGUCACUGAUCAGGCAGGGGACUUUGAGCCAAGCCCUCCUUUCUCUGUCAGGGCCUCAGCAUCUUCACCUGUAAAGAGCUGAGGGCAUUACGAGAUGACUCCUAAGAUUUUAAAAUUCUGCAUGUUUUGUGGUGUCAGAACCAUCAAUUUCUGCUGAGCUGCAUAAUCCUGCAGCUGUUUCUCUGAUACUUUUCAAUCUUUAGAUUUAAUCUAUUCAACAAUGUAUAAUUUUUUAAAGGGAAGCUUUUAUAGACACUUCUGAAAUAUCAGGGUGGGGGGGGGAUAAAUGGAUGUUAAAAAAUAGAAAACAACCAAUUAAAUAGUAUAUAGCAUGUAAUUCUCCUUGGAAACUUACCACGAAAUUGAGGAACACUUUAACAACUGGUAAUUUAAAUUGCAUUUGAACUCUGCUAAUGGUUUGUUUGCAUGGGAACUUCAAUCAUUUCACAGUGGUUCUUUAGCAAAGCUGCUUGUUCUCUUUAUGGAAAAGAAGAAAAAAAUAUUGACAGAGAAGAGGACUAGGGAAAAGGAGACCACUGUCAUUUGUGUGGGGAGGGAAGCUGUCAGGAGUGGGGAGAUGGCCCCAAGGGCCAAGGCGGAGAGCCUCUCCUUCCGGUUUAGAAAUCUGGGAAGUCUGGUUGCCCUCUGCUGCGGUUGUAGAAACCGUUCUGACUUAGUAUCUCCCUUUGCGAGAAGCUUCGGUUUCCUGGGGCUUGGGUGGGGGAGUGAUGUCUGUCUUGUGUUUUCCAUGAGACUGGACUGUCCAUGGGUCCAGGGUGUGCCUCUGCAUAUGCUCCAUUCCUCAGCAAGUAUGAAAUGAUGGCCUUUCUCAUUUCAGUGGAAUGGCAUCGAGAAUUCUGAUGUCUUUGAAGACUGCUAGGUCUCAGGAAACUCAUUGCUUUGCUGGGCUUAUCUUGAUUAUGUGCCCUUUCCCCGACUUAAUUUCUUUCUGCCGUCGGGCUAUACUGAGAGCUUCUAGCAGGUGUCCUAGCAAGCUUCUAGAGACUUGGAUGUGGCAGUCCUGGUUUUGCCCCAAAGCUGAUUGUGUGACCAAGGGCAAGUCCCUCUGCCCAGUGAGUUUUGGUGUCCUCCUCUGUCCAAGUGGCUUAAAUUGGGUCCAUGGAGCAAGUCCUGGACUGGAGCCCUGGAUUGUCUGCCACUAACUGUGGUUCCUAGAGUAGCCACCUCCCGACUCUGGCCCCAGCUUCUCCUGCUGUCAGUUGGAACAGUGGAGGUGGGUCAUUUUUAAGGUCCCUCCUCACUUUGAGCUUAUCUGAAUGUUUGAGGACUGAAUGAGAUAAUAUACACAAAUGAAUUUCAUGGAUGGUUAAAUAAUGUGUAAAAUGUCAACAAUGAAAAUGCAAGUAGUGGCUUUUCUAGAAUGUGGAUUCUACCUGCGUGUACAAAGCAUGUAUUUUGUAACAGCCUACUGCCUUGGAAUAUUUGUCUGUGGGAACAUGUAUCAUAUAGUCCUUAGCAAAAUAGUGAUAGGUCUUCAUGAAAUAAAACCUGUAAUGAGGACUUACUUGGAGUGUCAAGAUUGUCCAGCUCUCUCCUGCUCACUGGCUGUCAUUUUUCAGACAAGGAAAUUCAGGUUCAGAGGGGUCACUCAGUCCCGUACUUAGACAUUUGUCUCCAAACUCCUGUAUCUUUUCUAUUUUUAUUUGCUCAGAUUUUGCUCUUAAUUUUUUCUUGGCUUCAGUGUGAAUAUCUGGGGCACCUGGGUGGUUCAGUCAGGUAAGCAUCCAACUCUUGGUUUCGGCUCAGGUCACGAUCUCACGGUUCGUGGGUCUGAGCCCAGCAUCAGGCUCCACACUGACAAUGUGGAACCUGCUUGGAUUCUCUCUCCCUCCUUUUCUCUCUGCUCCUUUCUCUCUCUCUCUCUCUCUCUCUCUCUCUUUCCCUCUCUCUCUCUUUCUUUCUCAAAAUAAAUAAAUAAGUAAAUUUUAAAAUUGAAAAAAAAACUGUGAAUAUCUAACUAUAGAUAUCUUUCCUCUCUGAGAUUAUGAUGAAGCUGUUUUCUCAGGAGGGCUGGGGUCCCUGCAAUCCCUUUUCAGUGUUACUGAGACAAAUUAGUGCAAUAGAAAUGCCAGGAGCUGACUGGGGGGCUUAGCAGGUGUAGAGGGAAGCCGCCGCAUUUUUGGGCGUCAGCUGGCAUCAUUCCUAGUAUGGCUAGCCAGUGAGUUCAUAAAACCGAAAAGUUCUAAAGCUGGUAAGAUACUAGAGAUUUGUAGGCAACCUGUUCUCCCUUUUUCCACAGGUGGGGACCUUGAGGCUCAGAAAUAGAACUGAAGACAGAAGCCAGUCGCCUGCUUCUCAUCUGAGGACUUUUCUCAUUGUUCUACUGGGCACUCAUCAGAGGGAAGCUAUUUUUCCACAAUUGGUGAGUCCUACAGAGAAGGGAAGACAUUCUUCUUUUAUAAUCAAUGUUCACGUUUUAAUGAGUUUAAAAAAUCCAGGCUUUCCUUUUAAAGCAUGGGCACUGAUAGCUGGGAUAGAAUAAGAACUAGAGAAGAACCAAACUAUUUUCUUUUUAUCUUGAGUUGAUUUCAUUGGCAAUGGACAAAACAGGACAAUGCUAAUAAAAUGUGUGACAAAGCAGAGGCAGGGCAGGACUCAGCUCUUGGAAGGAGGCAUGAAGAGAAAUUGGAAGAAAAUUUGGAGUGAUGAUGAUUUCGGGUUGCCAAUAAGUGUAUUGCUUCCUUCUUUCUCCUUUGGCAUGGAGGGAAGCAUUCUUGAAAUGGAAAGACCAAAAAGAAAAUAUCAAUGAACAGUGUUAUGGGCAUUUGCAAGGAAAGAAAAGUUGUAUUAUUGACUGAUUUUUGUUUACCCCUGUGCAAGCUGCUGCUGCUUCUGCGAUCUCAUUUUAUUUUCACAAAAACCCUUUGAGGUAAGGGAUGCUAAAUUUGCUCAGACAAAGGGUGUGAACCUUUGUCUUAGAGGGCCUGCUAGAGCUCCAGUGGGAUGUGAGUCGGAAUCCUGUUCCACACUCAGGGGAAGGGCAAACAGGUAAGGGAAAGUUUCCCUUGUGUUUUGGAAUACUUCUGAGUUCAGUGGGUAGGACAGAACAUCAUGUUCUAGAAGGUAGGAGUGGUGAAAAGAAUAAUGGUGUGGGCUCCCCUGGGCUGUGCAGAGAUCUGAGGAAAACAACUGGAGAAUUCUGGGAAAAGCGUCCAUGUAGAACCUGAGAUCUGUGGUCUCCAUCCCAAGGACCAAUCCCUAUGUGCCCUGAGCCCUGGCUGUAUUCCAAGCAAUAAGCCUUGCCGUGUUUAUGGUCUAGUUGUCCAAAACAGAGCAGAUGCCAUAGUGAUUGGUCAAACCUAACUUUAUUUAAAAGUGUAACUGAGUUUAUAGUUACAUUUUGUCACCUUUUCUUAAUCAACUGCACCUCAAAAGAACAACUGACCUCUGUGCCAAUAGAUCUGCGUAAGAUAAAGGGCUGGCAUCCAGUCUUUUGACUCUUAAAAUCCUUCAGCUUGUUAAAAUUUCACACCUGAUCUUGAAUGUUUUGUCCCAAGCCUGCAUUUUAUGCAUCAAUUGUGAAAUCUUUGUUACCUGCUCUACUUCCUGAGUUGUUUCAGUGUUUGAAAUUAAUUGUGAUUAAUAUGAAGAGGUUUACUUGGAUUAAAAACAAACCAACCCACCCAGUGUGUAAUGACAGAAUGGGAGAGAAUUCCUAAACAGGAGGAAUCCGGAAGACAUUCGCAAGUGAUUGUUGUCCAUUCUAAAAUGCCAGUGCAGCCUUGGACCGCAUUAAAUAGGGUAUGUCCUCUAGAACACGGUGGGUGGGGGAUCCUGCUGGUAACUGGCAAGUCCAGAGGCAAGGUGGGCUUUGGGGCUAGUCUGAACAGGACUCAGCUCUGUUUCCUAUAGCGCUCCUCGCUCUGCCUUCUCUGUGUUGGCUUCCACCUUGGAUGUUUCCCCCCGCGGUCAAGAGAUGGCUGUGUGCCUCAUCCUGGGCCCUAUGCCUCCUAUGCCCAUUGUGGGGAGAGAGCCUUGUCUGCCAUGUCCCCAUGUCCCUGGGUUACUGCAUGUUCCUGCACAGUCACUGAAGCCAAGACGAUGAGACUGUGCUAAGUGCCACGUGCACUGGGCCCUCCUCUGGAACGGAGUCUGGAGAUGGUCCCACCCAAAUCCCAUGGCAGCUGCACAGUGGAGAAGAGUGGUCACUCAAAGAAUAUCUGGGGGCUGCUUGGAGGUGGCGAGAGGACUAACACGAUUUGGGUGACCGCGAACUUCCUUUCUACCCUCCCGUCAGAGCUCCCCUAGGUUGUCAGCUGGUCAUCUUUGCUUCAUCCUCUGAGAGGGAUCUUAGCCAGCUGGACUGUCUACACAAGAACGCUGUGAGGCCCGGAAAUGAUGUCCCACCAGGAACUGUUACAGGAAUGAGAGACUCCACUGGAGAGGGCAGAGGGCACACGUGAUGAUGGCCUUUAAGAACAUAAAAGUCGGUCGGAAGAGGGGUGGCAUCGCUUGUUCACAAGUGCAUCUCGAGUUUGGUGGGAUCUCUAGCCCAUAGUAGGUGCACAGUGCAUUUUCAUGGCUAGAAAGAAUGAAUCCAAAGGUGGCGAGUGUCCCUUUCUCCAAGGGCAUUCCAUUACACACUGGCCAUUCGCUGUUGGAGGGUUUUAGGAAAUCUAGAGCAGAUGAGGCUGGCUACAUGGCUUUCUGGGAACAAAACAAGUGCCUGGCAGAAUGAGUCUUUCGGGACCAGUAGGGCUUAAGAAGUUUGUGAGUGCAUAAAAAGACAGUACAUGCAGCAGAAUGGGGUUUUGGAAGAUCUGCCAGUUAUUAGAUGUGCACCCCCAGAAAAACGACAUCGCCCCUGCCUUCAUUUCCCUGAUCUGGGAAUUAGGAAUGAUAAUCAUUGCUCUGCCUGCCUCUCGUGUUUGCUUGGAGCAGAUGGGUUGAGAGAUGCCAACCUGUUUUGCAGACUGCGAAGCGUGGUCCAUACAUGAUAGAUUAUUAUGGUGGAAUGACUCAUCUUGAAUAGAAAGAAAAAUAAGACCGUGUGAUGUGCAGUCCCCCAGCACCAAGCCUGCUAUGUAGUAUAUGCCCAGUGUAUGUUCUUCCUCCCAACCCUACAGCCCCACCAUCCCCAGGAUUGGAUGGGCGCUAAUCUGCCCUCAGUCUUGGAAGCUGGCUUCAUGGUAACGGUUGAAGUUGAAAUGCAGUUGUGUACUAUUAUUACUUUUCAUAUUUGAUUUUGCCCUAGGUAGCAGGAAGUGAAAGGAGGUGGACUUGAGAGACAUGGAGAAGUCUCCAUGCUUGAGAAAUCUUGAAGCUACAGUCUAGCUGUUAGGCUCUUGCUCUGUUUGAUUAGAUAAUCACACCUCUGUCUAGGCGUGACCGGCCCAGUGGGAGUCCGGAAGGAAAUUAUUUUCCUCUGUUGAUACUAGUGUACAAUUGUUGACGGUAGCCAAAGGCUUUCAUUUUUAAUAUUUCCUUUUUGGUCCUUAGAAGGAUCAGGUAUUAGUCUAUGCCGGAAACAAAGCAACAGUCACUUCUGCCAGAGGUGAAUGUCUUGGCUCCCUACAAUUACUCGGUCAGGUGGUUUCUGGGCACGUGUGACCGUCUGCUGAGCCAGCUUUCAUUGCUUUUUAUGUUAUUGCUUCCAAAAUACAAAAAGACUUGCUAGGUCUGAGCAGGAACCCAUGCAGCCACCUGGGGCUGUGGCUGUUCUAUAACCUAGGGAUGUGUUGUAGGAGAUGUUUGCUGUCCAUAAAAAUAAAAGGUAGGGCUCUCUCUGCCUCUUUUGUUUCCUUCCUCCUAAUUCCAUAUUCUUCUACUUCAUGAGCUCAGCACAGUGGAGAUACCUUCUGUUCUAUGUUGGACAGGGCCCUAGGGGGGUCAGAGGAAUUCUCAGGUUCUCCUACACGGAUUCCUGUCUGGUGGAAGAUGUCUGGUGUCUCAUGCAUAGGGAACCCAUAAGGCCUUUGUAGAUUGCUGCUGAAUAUCUACCCCUCCUUCACAGAGUGUGUGCUUGUUCUCUGCCCUAAUCCAUUGUUAUUCUGGAAGUUAGUAAACUUCAGGGUCUUAAGGACACCACAGUGAAUUAGGCACAGUCCCUGAUCUUGGAGAGAAAGACCUAUGCAUAAGAAAUACCACAUUAGAAAGAAAGGUGUUAUUUACAGCACACAUUUACUAAUCACCAGAUCCGUUUAUGGCUACAUAGUAGGUGCUUGGGAAGUGGAGGUCCUUUAUAGCCUCAGUUCUCAUGGGGCUUGUGUAAAAGGUUGGGAGCGUGGAAAGAAUCGGGAAGGUCAAAGAAAGCUCCCAGGAGGAGGCGAUCUGAUCUCAAAACCAAGGCCAGACUACUGGCAGGGUGGGCCUGUGGACAUCAUUUGGUCCCUAGGGCUGGGCAGGUUCUGAGGGUAGAAGUAACUGACAGCAGAAUAUGGCUGGGCAGGUAAAGAGUCUGUCAUAUUCCAUGUGUGGUUCAGACUCCAGUUUAUUUUCCACUCACUUGCUGCAGCCAAAAGUGUCAUGUUGACUUUGAGUUGAACUGACAUUAUUUCCAUGGUCCUCUCUGUGUGGCCAGAGCACGCCUGGGUGUGUGUCACCAAGUGGGAAAGCAUCUCGGUAUUCAUGGGGAGGGCUAAGGGUUUCUCCCAGGAGUUCCUGAUAGCUGAUCUCUUCUGGUCUACUUCCUGGAUAUCCUGAAAAAUGGUGGAGUUGCUAGGGACUGGGACUGGGUCUCUCAUAUGCGGCCCCUGUCUUUGUUAUCUAUUGCUGCAUAACAGACCCCAAACUUAGUGCUUAAAGCAGAGAACAUUUAUUAUCUUGUACUCUUUGUGAUUUGGAAGUUGGGAGCAGCUUAGAUGGGAGGUUCAGGGUCUCUCCUGAGGCUGCAGUCUACGUGUCUGCUGGAUUGCAAUUUCAUCUGAAGGCUCAGCUGGGGUGGACCCACCCCCAAGCUCAAUCACAUGAUCGUUGGCAGGAUUCAGGCCCUCGCAGUGGUUGGACUGAGAGCCUCAGUUCCUUGCUGACUGUCAGCUGGAGGCUGCCUUCAGGUGUUCGCUGUGAGAGCCUCACCAUAGGGCAGCUUGCAACAUGGCGACUGCCUUCCCUCCGAGCAAGUGAGCAAGAGAGAAUCCCCCAGAUGCAAGCAGCCACAGCCUUUCUGUAGCCUCGUCCUGGAAGUGACACACAUUCCCUCUGCCUCAUUCUGUUUGCUUGAAACAAGUCACUAGAUCCAGCCCACGCUCAAAGGGAGGGAUUGCACAAGGGCAUGAAAUGACCAAGAGACGGAGUUCUAGGAGGCCAUCUUAGGGGCUGUCUGCACAGAUACUCUAGGUUACAGGGCAUGUGCUAAGGUGAGAGCAGGAGCUACAUGGCACCGCUGGAGAAACCCAGCACACCUCUGUGGACCCGCUUUACUUGAAGAUUGUGGGUGAGAACUCCAUUUAAAAUCUGAAUAUAGACAUUGAGUUAGAAUUGCACAGAAUGAAACUUGGCGUGGCUUGUCAGAGGAAGAUCACAAGUUUUCAGUUAAUGCUGUGCCCCUAUACCUCUAUAUUUUUACCCUCCUUACCAGUUAGAGCUGCUUCUUGCUUGAACUUUUUGCUGUACAGGUGAGACACCAAGACCUGGAGAGGGGACAAACUCCUCUGGGGCCAUGGAGCCAUUGGCAGCCAUUGGAGGGACCCUCUGAGGCUCCUUUGUCUCUGGCCCAGUGCUUCUCGUUCACCGUCCUGCACUGUCUCUCUUUCCGAAUCAGUCCAUACAGACUUUAGGCCUGGUUUCUCUGCUUUUUGCAACCUCUGUCCAGUUCCAGAAACAGAUUAGGGGAAAAUAGGUUCAGAUUUGGAGUCUGAAGCCUUCAUGUUGUCCCUUUAGUUCAAUUUCAGGGUCUACAUCUCCUGUUGGGUCUGGCUGUGUCCUGAAAAGUUGUGUAAAUCAGUGUUACUUGGCUCAGUGUGCCUCGGCAGUAUGAAUGACAUUUGUAUUAAGAACACUGAACCGAUACUCAGUAUUGCUGUGGGACUGACAGGAUCAGACAUGAAAAGUCAGCCAAUACCUUCUGUCUGGCAGCAAGUUCUUUUCUAGAGCGUCCGUUUCCCCCCCCACCCCCCAACCAAACUGUCUUUUCUAAAACCAAAUCUGGCAGUCCAUUUUAUAGAGGAUGGCAGGUUCCUUUAGAGUCUUCCUUAACAUUCCUCAAAAGUUAAUGGAAAUGGAAGACUUAAAAAUUAUGGUCAAGGUCGUUAGUAGCCCUGCAGCCAAACUAAGGAAAGCCUGCUCGGGUCAGUAAGACUGUGGCUGGCCAGAAGGUCAAUAUGACUCCCCCGCUCCGUGGCCCCUUUGACUCUCAAGAUGUUUUGAUACUAUUAGUGCUUUCAAAGUGUGGCUUGUCUAUUAUUUAAUUUUUACUGACAGUCCGUAACAGGAAAUAGUUCGGGUUGGGUGUAGGCAACAAGAUAGAACAGAAUUUGGAAUGGGAAGACUAUCAUUAUUAGCAUUAGCUGCCUGAUCUUAAGUCACUUAAUCAUUCCUUUAUUUACAAACACGUUUUUAAUGUUUGUUUAUUUUUGAAGCAGAGGCAGAGAGUGCGUGGGGGAAGGGCAGAGAGAGAAGGGGAGACACGGAAUCUGAAGCAGGCUCCAGGCUCCAAGCUGUCAGCACAGAGCCCGAUGCGGGGCUCAAACCCACGAACCGUGAGAUCAUGACCUGAGCCAAAGUUGGACGCUCAACUGACUGAGCCACUGAGGGGCCCCCACUUAAUUUGAAAAACUGGUAGCAGCUGCCUCGGAUUCUUAUUCUUUUGUGUUCACAAAUGUACACAGAGUGCCUGCCAAGGGGGUACUUAGCACAAAGUUGGUGCUCAUGAAACAUUAGCCGGUGCUCUCCUUAAUAGUCAGUAAGGGCUGGAAAUUACCCUCAGUUGUUUACUGUGUCAGGCCAUUUUCUCAGUGUCCCCGCUUUGCACUGUCCCCUUGACUUGAAUCAGGCCUGUAGCAUUUGCAUGUGUUGGCCCGGAUUUCAUAUUUUCCUGAAUAAGUAAAAGCGUUCCCGUCUAUAAUUUUGCUCAGUGGCUCCCAAGACAUAAAUACGGACAUCAUAAUAUGCUCAUAUUUUCUGCUAUUUGGGCAUACAGUAGUUCUGAGAACAAAAUAUAAUAUUCACACACUGUGUUUCACAAGGAAGGCCUUUUGGACAUCAGUACUUGGAAAGUAAGCAUUGCUUUCCAUGACAAGAUUGUCUAGUCUAGAGGAUGAACUCCCCUCACCUGCCAUCAGCUACCUCUUCCUUUGUAAAUGGCAUCUUCUCUGGGCCUGCCCAGCACUGACCCUCUUUGGUUCCUCUUUGGACUUCUUUAGGAUGACAUCACCUCACCCUGCUUCAAUGGUGACUGGCUUGAGUUAUAUCAGUUAUUAAAAAUGAUCUAAUAUUUCCCUUUUAAAUCUAGGGCCCUGGCUCGUUCUAUGAUUAAGCUAGUGAUUUAUUUAUAAUAUGGUACGAGACGGCUGCAACCACUCUAUGAUGUAAUCUAAGAAUGACAUGAAAACAAAAUAGCUUUUAUAUAAUGAAAGUGUUCCUGUAAUACAUUUUAUAGCAAGGCUUUUUUUUUUUUCCAUUGAGAAUGGAGAGAGAUUCUUUCCUUUCCUCCCACUCUUUCCUUAUCGUCUCUUCCCAUUUAUAAGUCUCAGGGUUUUUUAAGUCAAUUAAAAAACAAAACACAACAACCCCAAACACCGACAUUGGAAACACCACUCAGACUCUGGUUUGCUCUUCUAAUCUUGUCUUGUCAUUUUCUGCAUUGCUCCUCUCCCCACGGCCUCCAUGGCCUCGGGUAUGGCUACUGCUCUGCCUACCUGCCUGCAGCCUCCUCUCAGAGCCUGGAGUCCUCACCCUUCCUUCGCUGAUGCUGUUCCUGCUACUGUUAAUGCCACCACGAUCUUGAAUUUUCUCCUGCUGAAGUCCAGUACAACGCAUCGGUUCCUACAGAUAGCAGACUUCUUCAGGCUGCACCUCUUCCUCCAAGCCUUCUCUGAAGCUUUUGCCCCUUACUUAGCAACCCUUUAUCUGUGUUUGUCGUAGAAUGACCUAGUGGCAAGGUCCCGUCCCCCACGUCAAGGCACAUUCAUGGCAGAUCAGAGUUUAGAAGAGGAGAGGUGACCUAGGAGAAUGGGGAAGGGGCCUUUGUGGUUCUGGUUCUGCUCUUGACACAGUCAUGGGGAGGUCACGGCCCGUCUCGGAGUGUCAGUUUUCCUCCUCUGAAGGAGUGGUUCCGAUUUCAUUUCAUGUGGCCACAUGGGGUGUUGGUAGUGGAUUCUUGUGAUGAUGUGUUGAGAAUGAUUCUGAAACUGUAUCCUGACUCGUAGGAAAGAGUCCAUGAUUAUGUAGCAAUAUCUGCCAUAGGUUUAGAGAUGGUUAAAAAUGUAUAUUUAAUCUCACAUUUAUCCAUGCAGGCUGGCUGUGGCAGUUGAGAAGGUGGAAUUUAUCUAAGACUAGAGGGGCCUUGGUUUAUUGGAGGCCUGAGACUCCCCAAAUUCUGUAUGUCCUUGAGGUAGGGUAGGGCCAGGAGAUAGCUUUCACCUGCUUGUAUUCUUUACUUCCAAAGAGUUACCGUGCCCAUACUAUUCUAAUAUAUGCCAAAUAUGGCAUCUCAAGGUCAAAGCCAAAAAGUUAGGUGACUUUCCCGGGGUCUUAUUGGGUCAGGGAUCACAGAAACCUUUGGAUCCUAGGUGCCCCUCUUCCUGAUCCCAGACAAAAUGCCGACCUCUCAGCAGAAUGCUACAUUGCUUGAACUCUAGGUCCUGGAACAGUGAGAGAGGAAGAGGAGGGAAAGGAAGAGGGAAGUUUAGGAUGGUGGAUGGCACAGGAGACCAGAGCCUUUGAGGGCUGAGAGAAGGAAUUGGAAGUAGUUAGUGUGGAAAAGAGAGAAAGGGGAUGGAGGGGAGCAGAGCAGGAAGGGGACACACACUCACUCUCUGUGCUCUCAGAAGGAGUUCUGGAAGCAGUGGGUGAAAGCAACAGAAAGACGUGUGAAGAAGGACUUGAUGUUAGGGGCAGACCACCAAUGGAAUGUGCCAUUUUGUUUUUUAAUUUUUUUUUUUCAACUUUUUUUUAUUUAUUUUUGGGACAGAGAGAGACAGAGCAUGAACGGGGGAGGGGCAGAGAGAGAGGGAGGCACAGAAUCGGAAACAGGCUCCAGGCUCUGAGCCAUCAGCCCAGAGCCUGAUGCGGGGCUCGAACUCACGGACCGCGAGAUCGUGACCUGGCUGAAGUCGGACGCUUAACCGACUGCGCCACCCAGGCGCCCCGGGAAUGUGCCAUUUUGAAGGGUGAUGACUUCACCGCUGCACGUAGAGGUUGAUACUAAUGGGUCCUUUGUAGAGGGAAUGAGAAGUUGGACUGGAAGCCCUCUAAGGUCCUCCCUGUCCUGAGAAUCUGGAAUUUUCUGAAGGCACGUUUUAUGUGCAUUUAAGUAAUUCCAUUUUAAAAUGAAGGCUUUAUGGAGGAAAGUGAUUUUUCCUUUCUCCAUGGUCUUGGCACACAUAAAUGCUGACUUAUCUUGGGCAGUCUUUUGUUUCGCUUAGCAUUAUUGUUGAAGGAAAGCAGGCUAACUGAGGAUGUCUUAAUACUUUUUUUGUACUGAGUGUAUUUUUGAGGAUGAUUUCUGUGCUUUUCAAGGGAUUUCCAGAGAAUUCUGUUCUGUUGGCCUCCCUCAACCCUUCCUACCCCACAGUCAACGAUGUGCUUUUUCUGUAGUAUCAGAGUGCUUUGUUUAUAUAUCCAACAGAACAUUUGUGUCACUUUGCUCUGCUAUAUAAGUAUACUUCCAGUCUUCCUUUCUUACUAGAUUAUAGAAGCUUCUGAAGAACACGAAUCCUGUCUUAUUCCAGAAGACAACCUAUGGUGGAAGGGAAGUGGUUUGCUAGUAAUCAUGAUGGCUCAGUAACUUACCAACUAUUUAUUGAGCAUCUGCUGUGUGUUAGACACUAUUCCAUGUUCUGUGAACAAAAUCAGACAAACCUUCUAUUCGAUGGAGACAGACUCCGUACAAAUUAAUGACUAAACAUGUAAUAUUUCAGUUGCACUCUAUGUUCAGAGGAAAAAUAAGACUGAUUAAGGGCACAGGAGUUAGGGAGAAGUUCUUCCUGAUAAGGGUCUACAUGAACAAGGACCUGAAGCUGGAGCUGAGAGGAGGAAGACUGUUUUAGGCUGAGAGAAAGUAAUCACAAAGGCCCUGAGGCUGAAGCCUGUUUGGUACAUUCUGGAAAAGUGAGGAGGCCAGCGUGGCUGGGGUGGAGUGACCGAGGGGAAGAAUAUGGGAGAGGAGGUCACCCACGCUCAUAAAAAUCAUUGCAACAACAGGGGCGCCUGGGUGGCGCAGUCGGUUAAGCGUCCGACUUCAGCCAGGUCACGAUCUCGCGGUCCGUGAGUUCGAGCCCCGCGUCAGGCUCUGGGCUGAUGGCUCGGAGCCUGGAGCCUGUUUCCGAUUCUGUGUCUCCCUCUCUCUCUGCCCUUCCCCCGUUCAUGCUCUGUCUCUCUCUGUCCCAAAAAUAAAUAAACGUUGAAAAAAAAAUUAAAAAAAAAAAUCAUUGCAACAACAAAUAUACUUGUACCUAUUGAGGUAUUUGGAGAAUUGCCUUUGCGAUGUAGAGAAGCCACAGAAGACUGACGAAAGGUUGGCUUAAGAUGUUUCUGCUUUUCAGCUUUAAGAUACAGGGGCAGUAGGUGGGAGCUGGGACCGUAGCAGCGCACAGCUCAGAACAAGUUCAGGUGCGAAGGGUACUGUUGGUUUCCCUCCUAUCUGUCGCCCUUCUGGCCGAUGGCUCUCCUUUUUGUUUCUCUGCUCCCGUGACAGGUGCACCUGCAGGGAGGCUGGGGCAGAUGGGCAAUUGCAUGCCUAAUCACCCAUUCAGGCACCCCCUUAUUUGUUUUCCACAUGCAAAUAUGGGUUUUUUGCAGACGGAUGUAAUAUAUUUGUUGCUUCCUCAUUUUAUUUAAAACAAAACAAACGACCAACCAUGUCAGUUGAGGGCAACAAAUAGAAACAUGAGUAUUAUGGUCUUGCUGUUCGUGCUGAUUACACGGCUGAAAGGGAUCCGAGGCAAAUCAGUGUGUUCUGUGCUCAAUUAUAUUGUUACUUUGUAUACUGUCGUUAUUACGGUCAUUAUUGUUAAAUUAAAAAAAGGUUUUGAAGAAGGAAGUGAUAUUAUUUUCCCUAAAUCAUUUUCUCAAUAUUUCAGGCUCCACAUUUUUACUGCGUGGUUUCCAGUUCCACCUUUUUAAGUUUCCGAACUUCUGGAGCAUCGUUAACCAAAAGGGCAUCGUGGAAUCUCCAAAGGCCAUUGGCAGGUGGUGCCUGUAACUUCUUUAGCCUGGAAAUAAACAAAUAAACAAGCACAAAUUAGAAGUAUUUGCCCCUAUUGAUGCACUAUUAUUAUUGUUGUGCAAGAUCAUGCAAAAAGUCACUUCCAUUUGUCUGAGAGCCUGUAGGUCAACAGCAAUACCAGAUAGAGGGCUUUGGUGGGUGUUUGCUUGAGAUUUGUAAUGAAAUUUCAGAUCUCUAGAGUAGCACGUCCGAAUUCUUGCACGUUUUGGCAAACUCAGGGAAUCCGAGGCCCAGAGAGGUAAAAUGGUAAAAUGACUUGUCCACGGCCUCGGAGAGUAAGAGGUAGAGAUCGGACUUGAGGAGCUGGCACUCUGGCAGAUGGCUGCCUCUGGGGUCUGGGGUGAUGAAGACACCGCUGGGACCCGCAGAAGAUGUCAUCUCAAGGUGAGGUCUGUGUGUAAAUGGUGGGCACGUGUCUCAUUUCUCCCUCAUGACCUCCCUUCAAAAUCCUUUUUUGUGUCAAGUGUUUGGCGGAGAAGCAGUGGUGGGGAAUGAGGGUAGGAACUGCUUACAGCUUACCUGACAAGGCUGUAGACGGGCUAGGGGUGAGUACGUGUAUACUUGUGCGUGUUUGGGUGUGAGAGGUGGGGGUGCGCACUGGCACACCAGGAGGGAGAGACCACUUGGCAGUAGGCACGGAAUUUCUGAGCCAGAAGGAAGUCUAAAGCUUACUGAAUUUGACUGCUUUUAUUUUGUAGAAAAGGAAACUCACGUCCAGAGUGGUUGAGAGCUUUGCCCCAAAUCGUCUGACUUUAAUUGAGUGCUUAGAAUAUCAAAGCAGCAACAUCUUUUGAUAGAAACUUUUAUUUGCAGAAGUACCACUCAUCGCUACCAAAUUGUAUUUACUCGUUAGCUCCCGUGAGAUGGAGUGCCGGUCUACUUCAGCAUUCUUUCCUCAGAUAUGGUUUUGGCCGGAGGAGAAUGUCCAGGGCGGCAAGCCUUGCACAUGCAGGCCUCCUCUGGUCCUGCAGACCUCACAGAUACCUGAUUGGACAUCAGGCGGACGUUUAGUUAACUGACCGUCCCAAUGGCAAGUUCACAAGUAAUCCUCUGAAAAAGUUAAGGUUGGAGAUCAAGACCACUCAAGUAACGUCUUGUGUCUCUUUUAUAUAUUCUUAAAUGUAGGACCCUUUCACUUUUAAAUGUAAAACAUUAGGAUGCUGGAUGUAUGCACUGUGUUUGCAAGGUACAAGGUGAUAUUUUUGGUGGUGGCCCCGAGAACAGGAAGGUCCGUAGGUAUGAAAAGGGCAAACCCUUGGGGCGUCUGGGUGGCUCAGUCCGUUGAGCAUCCGACUUCGGCUCAGGUCAUGAUCUCGAGGCUUAUGGGUUUGAGCCCCACCUUGGACUCACUGCUGUCAGUGCAGAGCCUGCUUUGGAUCCUCUGUCCCACUCUCCCUGCCCCUCCCCCACUCGCGCGCACUCUCUCUCUCUCUCUCUCUCUCUCUCUCUCUCUCUCUCAAAAAUAAAUAAAUGUUAAACAAACCUUAAAAAAAUGAAAGGGCAAACUUUUGUUAGGAACAUACAGAGAGAGGGUUUUCAUUCUGUGUAGCGACUACAAGAGUGAUAAACGGCCCACGGGACGCCCUUGACACUGAAGCCCCCUAGGAGCAGAGGGUGCUGAGCGAGGAAAGGACUAUUGACAUAGCACGAUUCAACCUGCUGUGUCUGCUCUCUGUGCAGGGGACCUCUCUGCAGCUGUUUGCCCUGACGUACAUGCUGGACAAUCCCAGACACCAGCGGCAGCCUCUGUGUCUGUAUCAGACCCAGCAUGUUAGGUUUUGUGUCUCAGCCCCCGUGUUUUUCUCUUCUCCCCUACCAUCCCCUCCCCACCUCACCCUUUAAAAACACUAUUCUUCGAAUUAUUUGAAGGCUUAUUUAUGUUGAUUUCUUUAUAUUUUGUAACUAAUUUGUUUCUUGUUCCUAUCUGAAACUAAUUCCCUUUAUGUGAGACCACAUUAUAAUAUACAUGAAUUCUCUUUGGCUCUUUCUUCUUUUACUAAAAAAAAAAUGUGUUCUUCUCUCCUCGGACCUUUAGCUUUCUUGUCUACAUGGACAAACUGCUUUGGAACAGUCUUUAGGGAGUUAUUGACUUUGUUAGUACUACUACUAUAGAAGCAAUUCCAAUGACAGAAUCCCACAUUUAACUUGCUUUUCCAGAAAUAAUUUAUUUCUACUUUAGCUUCAAGGAGUAGCAGUGGGGAAUAGGGCAUUCAGAAAAUAAGAAAAACAUGCCAAAUGAGUUGCUGAUUUCCAGUGAGGCACAUGGAAAAAAGGUUUUUAUUUCAGUGACCUCUCUGCUCACUGGAAAACUCUGGGCUGGUGGAUUUCAUGAUCCUGGGAGUCUGGACGCUCUCGAGUUACAGCAAGUGAGGAGAGCAAAUCGCAGGGUAGAAGAUGGUCUUGUUGGGCUCCUGGGGGUAUGAAGACAUGCUGUACUUUGGCCUGAAGACACAUCAGUUCUUCCAGUCGGGUGAGGUUUAAGGAAUAGCUCCACCAAAUCCCCAAAUACGUGGAGCACUUACAGAGCGCUGAGCUGAUAGAAAGUCAGCCUCACCGUGGGUUAAAUUUUAGCGUGGCCAGUGGCCAGACUUGGUGAUUCCUACUGGGUUUGUUCAACAGAUUUCUUACUUAGAGACACAAGCCCAUUUCUUGUUCCCCGAGCUGGGUGGUGUCUUUAUUCGAUUCUUCUUGCGUUCAGAUCUAUAGGGUACUAUUAAGAGCAACAUACUUACUAAGAGGAUGGGAUUAUUGAACUCUGACCCCAGCUCUGCCACAACCACCUGUGGAACUAGUCACAAACAUUUCCAUUUACUCAACAAAUAUUUAAAUGAGCACUUUUUACACAUCAGGUGCCAGAGAUACAAAAACGUGUCAGACACGGUUCUUACCUUCCCUGCUUUUAGUCAGGGGUAGAGAGCUAAGUACCCAAAUAGAACAUGAAGUGACUUCUCCUUUCUGGGUCCCCCUUUUACAUAUCGAAGAGCCAGCACUGGGUUAGAUGAUGGCCCCAAGGUCCCUUCUGAGGCUAACAUGCCAUCAUCUGUGCCAGGUUCAUCAAGUAUCCGAAAAUCACUUAUCUGACUAAAUAUCGACAAACAUUUCCCCUUCCUCCCCAGUUGAUAGGUGGUGAUGUUGAAGUUGAAUGAGACAGUAUCUACAAAGUGCUUUAAUAAGCAAGUGGCAGAAAGACAUGGUCUAGGUUUGAGGCAUUAUUAUUAACGGAAAAAUGAAAACAAGGGCUGAUGUUUUUAGAGAGAGAACAGAUGGUUCUUUUGUUUAGAAUUUGAGUAUAAAGGAAAGAGAAAAAGAGAUACUUGCCAUAUUGUUUAGGCCCUGAAUGUGAGUGACUUCAAAAUGCCAAAACAAUCUGGUUAGGAAAGUCCCAUGGAUUCAAAAUAGCUCCCACACUGAUCAAACUGUAAUUAAUUUAACAAAAAAAUGACAGUAAGAAAAAUCCUAACGAGAAAUGCCACGGUGACAAUUGACACAACCUAACAAAAAACUCCCAUCUUUGCGUCAGCUCUGGAAACUUCAUUUUUCCCGUGCUCAGGAGUUCUACCACACAGAGGAACAAAUUAGUGAGAACGGAUUUAAAACAGUGUUUCUUUAUCAAGUCCCCCCCCCCAACCCCCCGCCGAGUUAUUUCGGUUUUCCGUGACUCAUAAAGGAAAUCUUCAGGAUUCACAAGAAUUUGGCAGUCCUCUCCCACCUUUGCUGCCGGGUACUGACAGGAGAGCAGUGGGAGCUGGGGCAUUUGAAUGAGAGAGCAAACCUCAAAGGACUUGGGUGACAUUGCAGAGGGUGGUGGCUGGGACGCACCUUUGAGAAGCUUGAGAGGAGACUUUGAAAGGGUUUCUUCUCUCUUUAUUUCUUCAUUGCUUAGGCUCUGUCUGCACAGUACACAAUUAAUGUAUCCUUGUGACAGCAGCCUUGCCCUUCCAGUGCCUAUCACUCCCAAGGUGACAGAAAACGUGGGCUGUGAGAAUGAGCUCAUGGGCCACCAAGCAGGGGGCGUUCAGUAAAAUGUGCUAGACCUUUUGUCCAGGUGCUGUCUGACCUGUGGUGUGAGUGGGCCUGUUUCCCCACUGUGGAAGAAGGAGGUUCCUAGAAUGUUUCUUCUGACACUCCUCCUCCCUUCAGGUCCGCAUGCUGUCAUAAACAGUUAUAGGAAGGCUGGGGAAGGUUGGGGAUGGGUUUUCCUUUGGGAGUGUUUAUUAAUUUUAUUUUUUUAAAUUGACCUAUUUAUUUUGAGAGAGAGAGAGUGCACAAGUGGGGGGGGGGGAGAGAGAGAGAGAGAGAGAGAAGGAGAGAGAAUCCCAAGCAGGCUCUACACCUCCAGUGCUGAGCCCGAUGUGGGGCUCGAACUCAGGAACCGCGAGAUCAUGACCUGAGCCGAAACCAAGGGUCAGACGCUUAACCCGCUGAACCGCCCAGGUGCUCCCAGAUUUGGGACUGUUUAGAGACAAACGCGUGUCCUCAAGACAACACUGAUCAAAAGUCCACUUGGCUGAGGUAGGGCGGGCGCUCUUAUCCACUCUCUGAGCCCCCUGCCGAGGUGGUUCCUCAGUCCACUGCCUCGGAUGGCAGUGUGUCAGAGCCGCAGGUGGCUGGCUCACUGCCAGACCCAGAGGACCAGAGUGGGCCUGGGGAGAAGCCCCGUCGAGGUGUGUGGAGUUCUGGGUGCCAGUCCUACUUCUGCUGCUACCCACGUGCGACCUUCUGGAAGUUUCUCCAGAUCUGAUUCACUGGUUGGUCUGCAAGUCAUCAAAGCAACGGGAAGACUUUCUACCCUGCCCUGCAGCUCAGGCUUUGCUCAGAAGAGUCCCGGGGACCCUUUCACGCUGUGUCGUCUGUGUCUUUAUCGGAUGCCUAUUUCCUUCUACCUCAUGUCCGAGUCAGAAGUAUACUUGUUAGCUGUAGAGGUGCUCUCCGCCGUGCCUUCCUGAUAACCCACCGCUCUCCUCUGAGUUCCUUCCUGUCUUACAGCUCCAGGUGCUUACACCUCUUCUUAAGCCUGACGUCACUGCAUGGUGCUUAUUCAGUAUUGUGUGUUUGUCUUCCCCCCUGGACUGUGAAAUCAGCUGUGUCCUGCACGUUUCUGAAGCCUCAGCGUGUCCCUCGGUACCUAGUCUAGAGUAAAUUUUCCAUAAAUGUCAGCUAAACGAGUGAGUGGUGGAUGAUGAUCCUGUGUUUCCUCACCAGGUUGUCCGUUUCUGGAAGACAUGGACUUGUCUGAUGAGUUUCUUUUCUCCCCCAGGAUGCCCAUCCCAGGGCUUCGAGUGCACUACGUAAUCACCUGCUGUUUGUUGAACUGCAGGAAGAGAGGUAGAGAUGGGUCCGGAGCAGGGAAGGCACAUGUAGACACAAACUGUUUAGCUUGGUGAGGGGCUGACAGAGGUUGUAGGGCAUCUGUGGGUCUGUGAUGGAGCACCAUGGGGGCUGGGGUAGGUGACUGCCUCUCCUAAUUUCCUCAUUGUCAUACCAGGUCCCCUGGGCUGGGUUAGAGACGAUCGGUCUCAUCCUUGGUCUGGUGUCCGUUUUUUGUUUUUUUGUUUUUUAUAUUUUUAAAAAUUUUUUAAAAAUUCUUCUUUGCAUUCAUCCUUCAAGGCUUGAAUUAGGGUAAAUUGUUUGCAUAAAUCUGCCUCAUUUGAUUUUCAACAGUUUGUGGGCAGGGCUGGUGUUUUCUCAUAAUUGUGUUCCCCACGGGCUCUGGCGCAGAGCCGUCCACAGGGAAAAUGCUCAGUAAAUGUUUGCAGACUUGAGUUUCAUCCCCCGACUUUGCUUUUCUACUGCCUUUCCCCUCCUGCUAGGAGCCAGCUUAUAUGAUAAUACCAGCCUUACAAUGGAGACUGCAGGGUAAACUUAAUAAUCAAAUAAAAGAUGGUGUUUCCUUCUCCACGUUCUUGGUAGAUCAAAGUAACUUUGCUUUUGGGUGUGCCCUGCUUUAAAAAAAAUAAAAUAACGGCAAAUAUAUUCUGCUACCUUUACCGUUUCCCUUUGUUUAUGAAAUCUCCUUAAUAUGUUAGGAGAACAGAAAGACUUCUGUUUCUUGACUGUAAUUGUUAAACUAUAUAGUCAAAGUUUUCUGUUUUAUUUUUUGACUGAUACCAUAAAAUAGUGUGAUGUGAUGUGAGGAUUUUUCUAAUGGAGAAAUGACUAAGAAUAUCCUCGGGUAUUCUAUCUGCUUCUUAAUUGUUUUGUUAUCUUGAGUAAGUUUCUUUAUUCCUCAUUGUUUCUUUGUCUCUAAAAAUGAGAUUAUUGAAAAAGGCGAUUUCCGGAACUUGUUUUUCCCCAUUAACAUUAAAUCCAUGGUACUUGAGAGCAUUGGGAGCAGACAUAUAUUUCGAGGAGUUUAUUUAUUUUUCUGCCCUUUAAGUGGGAAGGAUGACCCCUAGGCCCCUUUAACCAGCAGCUUCAGUAACUUUCAGAAGCCCUUAGGAAGCAGAAGCCCCAUAAUUCAGUGCACUCCUUCAUGAUUAACAUCCUCUGCCCCUUCUCAGAUCCCAGGCUCAGGUUUUGAUAUUUAAUGAUAGGGAUUCUUUCCCCCUUGCAUGGAAUGUCUUGUUCAAAGUCACUAAUCCAUUUAGUGAGUUAACAAUUUAUUGACAUUGAGGGCUUUUCUUUCAUUUCACUGCCUCACAUGAGAGGUUGUAGAGCCUCAGCCUGCUUUGCUAGCGGUUAGUGAACCAAGGCCCGGAGAGGGAACUCUGGUUGUCUCAGGUCACCCAGAUGAACCAGAACAAGCACUAUAUUCAGCUGUAAGGGCACGACCGGAAAGUCUCUGACCUUCAGAAAUCAAAGAGGCAUGUCAGCGUGGAGCGUGGAGCCCUGAGCGUGCUUCACUUGACCCAUCUGUGAAAUGGGGUAACGAUCUCUUUUCUGCUUGAAACCAGAGGGCUGUCCAGAUGACCUCUGGAGAAUUUUUCCCACCCUGGGAUCUCUGAUUCUGUGAGCAAAUACAACCAACCCACACCCACCAAGUACUUAAGGCUGUUUUCUAGAGCCUUAUAACUAUUUAUAGACUAUUUGUUAGGAGUGCAAUACUUUUGAGAACUUAAGGAAUAGCUUUAUGUAUUAUGUAAGGGAGGUGAUAAAAAUUGAUAUUCACAUAUGCAAAGUACUUUACAAUGUAUUCACUUUUUGUUAUAGCCUAGCGAAAUUGGUUUCUCGUUGGUGCCAUUUUAUCUUUGUGGAAACUGAAGCAGGGUGAGAAACAAAAUGAUGCUGUCAGUGUUAGUCUAAGGACAUGGUAAAGCCGUAGACAGUUGAAGCUUUUCCUAGAGCUCAGGAGCUGCAGAGGGGUUUAGAAUCUUCUAGGUCAGUGGUUUGAGAGCAUGCCACCUACUGACAUCUCCAGAGGAACUUAAAGCUCUGUCCUUCUGCUUCUCACCUGAUGUCACAGUGUCUGCGGGCGGGGCCUUGAGCUUCAGUCUUAUUUAAAUGGGCUCCCAGGAGAACCACUGAUCUGGUCUUGAUCUUUGACCUGUGCCUUUACUGGCGUUUUGAUUAAUCUCUUACUCCGUGGGCGGCACUGCUGGGACCUCACUCCCCUGCCACCCACGUGAAAACUGCUGGAUGACAGAGGCACUGGAGACUCUACUGAAAAGGCUCAUAAGUUCUGGGAGGUCCUGAGAUAAAUGUGUACAGAAGAGAAGGAGUUAACAUGUUUUACAUGGGGACGUGCCUUCUUUUUAUACUUCUAAGAACAUUGAGAAAUGAUAGCAAGGAAUAUAUUUCACUGCUUUAAUUGUCCAAGGUCUUUUUAAAGUAUGUGCAAUAAAAUACCAUUUAAGCUAACUGACCUUUAUAUUUUAAUGCUUUUUGGAAGGGAACAAUACCUAGUAUUCAGCUGCAGUGUGUGUGUGUGUGUGUGUGUGUGUGUGUGUGUGUGUGUGUGUUUCAGUCAGCAGAGCCUGUUGUGGAAUCAGAGGGCUGAGGAUUUUCUGCCUGUUCCCAGAUAUUUUACCUAUUCCUGUUUAAACAUCACAUUCCAUUUGGCUGAUGGUUCUUGACCUCAUACUGUCUAACCUUCCUAUCUUUUUAUUUUUCCUCUUGGAACUUAUCCAGGAAGGAAACUUCAAGGCCCGAUUUACUGAUUUUUUCCUUCUGCUGGGAAGUUCAGAUUUGUAGUGGAGGGUAGCACAUGUGGCCCGAUCCAUAUUUUGACAAAAAGAGUGCUCCCUGCUCCUCCUUGCUUUAUCCGUUUGGUGAUACUUAACCUCAAAGGCCGCUGCUGAUAGAUUUUUAAAAAUUGAUGCUAGCUAUUAGCUUGUUAGCUACAGCUCAUCUUCUAACUAUAAACUUGCUCUUUCUAGAAGGGAAAUAGUACUCGGAUUGCAAAUGUGGGGAACUGGAAUUUCAGAGGCUUGCAUUGACCUACAAAUCUUGUAAUUGUAGCCCUGGCUGCAUAGCCACUGUGGCCUUAGGUAUUUUAGGUGUUGGUCGUCUCCAGGAGUUUCAGAAAAAGAAAUUCUAGAAUCCUUUCCCGUGUUAAGAAAUUAAAAUAUACAAAAUUCUCUGAGUAGCUAUGAAAUACAUGUGCAUGUAAGUGUUAUAUGGAAUGAUGUACUUUGGGAUUAAUUUAUUGUUUUCAAAUCCUGCUGGAAAAUAGAGCUAAUUUUUUUAAUGUUUAUUUCUGAGAGAGAGAGAGAGAGAGAGAGCGAGCAGGGGAGGGGCAGAGAGAGAGAGGGAGACACAGAAGCCACAGCAGACUCCAGGCUCUGAGCUGUCAGCACAGAGCCCAACACGGGGCUCGAACCCAUGAACUGUGAGAUCAUGACCUGAACCGAAGUUGGCUGCUGAACCGACUGAGCCACCCAGGUGCCCCUAGAGCUAAUUUUUGAUUGCUACAUUUUUUCCUUCUCUUUCUCAGUGGUUAGUUUUUCUUUAAUUUUUUUAAUUGUAAAUGAUUUCAAAUGAAAAUUUGCAAGAACAGGAAUAGUCCAAAUAAUACCCAUGUACUUUCAUCAGAUUCAUCUGUGAACAUUUUAUUUUAUGUGCAUUCUCCCUCUUCCUUCUCUCUCUUUAUUAUAUAUUUUAUAUAUCAUAUAAUAUAUAUGUGUGUGUAUGUAAUUAUUUUCUACAGUAUUUGAGAGGAGCUGCCUGCAUCACGAUACAUCAUGGCCCUCUACCCCCCAAUUACAGUGUGUAUUUCCUAAUAGUAAGGGUGUCUCUUCCUCUUCCCACAGUAGUUCCCCUCUUCAGUACUCUAACACUGAUUUGGUACUUUAAUCUCUCUUUACUUCUGUUUUGUCACUUUGCCCAGUUAUGUUCUUGACAGUAUUUUUUCCCCUCCAGUACAGAGUCCCGCCUGGGAUCAGGCAAUGCACUUAGUUGUCGUGACUCUUCUGUCUCUUUUACUCUGAACGUUUCCACGACCUUUCUUUGUCUUUCAUGACACUGACAUUUUUGAAGAAUACAGUGCCCCUCCUUUUGAGAAAUAUGGUGUUCCUCAUUUGGGUUAGAUAAUUGUUUCUUCGUGUUUAGAUUCAGUUGUGCCUUCCCGGCUAGAAUAUUGCAUGAAUGAUGUGACGUCCUCCCCCGGGAUUAAUUAUAUAGGGAGGCUCAUGAUGGUUAAGAUCACCUGGCCAAGGUGUUGUCCAGCUUCUCCACGUCAUAGUUACUCUUUUCCCCUGGGAAUUAUUUAUUUUUUUUAAGUUUAUUUUGAGAGAGAGACAGAGAAAGAGAGAGCAAGCUGGGGAGGGGCAGAGAGACAGAGGGAAGGAGAGAAUCCCAAGCAGGCUCCACACUGUGAGUGCAGAGCCCCACGCGGGGCUGGAUCCCACGAACCGUGACAUCAUGACCUGAACCGAAAUCAAGGGUCGGAUGCUCAACCUACUGAGCCACCACCCAGGCACCCCUCCCUUGCAAUUAUUAAGCAAUCCAUGAGAUCCUUUAUUCUUGCUCCGCAUCAGACAUUUCCCCUAAAUUCUUGCCUAAAGCAGUGUUUGCUGGGAUGGUUGCAAAAUCAUGCUGUCGUGUCUUCAGCACAGCCUUCACCACCAUCAUCAGUAUUCUUCAUUUUACUCUUAGCAAGAGUCCCACCCUUCUCUCUCUCUGUUUCUAAUAUAGGAAUGGACUUCCCGACUUCUGUUUCAUUCCUGUAUAAUUUAUUAGCGCUGUGUAAUUAUUUUGAUGCUUAGAUUGCCCACGAUUUGUCCCAUGAGAGCUCCUUCAAUCUAGCUCCUACGUCCUUGUGGCAGGCUCCCAUCUUUGUUGUUGUUGUUAGCACUUAUUUCCAUGCUAGGAUAAAAAGUUGUUCCGGUUUCCUCUUGCAUCAUCUCCGCCUGUGCUCUGAGAUCAACCAUGUCUUCAGUAUUUUCUGGUUCUGUUUAGUGGAGAACUAAGGAUUGGGGACCAGUAUUUGAAUGCUAGCUGUGCUCAUGGCCUCCGGUCAUAAGCCCUUUUGAUGACCAGAACUAGGAAAUUAUACAAAUAAAAGUAUACAGGCAUAUACGUGCAUCUGUAUAUAUCUGUAUCAUCUACAUGUACACACACCUGCAGCUAUAUAGAUGUGAGUGUAUAUGUAUAUAUAUGAAUACACAAGUAAUGAUAAUAAUGGUUUUUUCUCUCAUACCACUACACAAAACCAACCUACUAAAACCAGUUCAGGAUUUGCUUCUGAUGCCCCUUCUCCAACUUUAACCCUGCCUAACACUGAGCUUUUAUUGUCAAAUACUAAGUUUAGGAAUUUGUUUUUUCCUUUCCUUUAUGGACCUUCCUCCCAAUUCCCUGGUGUCAUUAUGUUGUUCAUUUAAGAUAUAUUUGGUUUUGGGGUGCCUGGGUGGCUCAGUGGGUUGAGCGUCUUGACUUUGGCACAGAUCACGAUCUCGUGGUUGCUGAGUUUGAGCCUUGGGUCGGGCUCUGUGCUGACAGCUCAGAGCCUGGAGCCUGCUUCGGAUUCUGUGUCUCCCUUCCUCUCUGCCCCUCUCUCACUGUUGCCUUUUCUCUCUCUCUCUCAAAAAUAAAUAAACAUUAAAUAAAUAAAUAAAUAAAUAAAUAAAUAAAUAAAUAAAUAAAAUAUAUUUGGGCUUAAUUCUUUUAGUUUGCUUUCAGUUUUAAUUUUCGUCCUUCCCACCCUUGCCUUGUUGAUUUAAUUUUACCUUUUGAGUUUGUAAAAUAAUAACAUGCUUCCAAAUUUCAACACCAAACAAAAAUGUAUACUCAGAGAAGUGCUCCUACUCCCUCCAACAUUCCAUCCACCCUGAUACUCCCUCUGCCUCUUGUAGGAAACCAACCUCUUUGUUUUCUUUGUUAUCUUUCCUGUAUUUGUUUUAAGCCUGAUUUAUGUGUGUUUUCAUACUUCUUUGUCUUUCUUACACAAAAGGUAACAUACUAUAAAAAUAAGCCUUUUGGGGGCACCUGAUUGGCUUAGUUGGUUAAACGUCCGACAGUUUAUGGGUUCGAGGCCCGUGUCGGGCUUGGAGCUGUACUGACAGCUCGGAGCUUGGAGCCUGCUUUGGAUUCUGUGUCUCCCUCUCUCUCUGCCUCUCCCCUGCUCGUGCUCUUUCUCUCUCUCUCUCUCUCUCUCUCUCUCAAAAAUAAAUAAACCUUUAAAAAAUAAGCCUUUGAACUUUGCUUUUUAAAAAUUCUUUUCUUGGGGUACCUGGGUGGCUCAGUCAAGAGAUUUCAGCUCGGUCAUGAUCGCACAGUUCCUGAGGUCAAGCCCUGUGUAGGGCUCUGUGCUGACGGUGCAGAGCCUACUUGGGAUUCUCUCUCUGCCCCCUGUCCCCACUCAUGCUCUCUCUCUCACUCAAAAUAAAUAAAUAAACUUAAAAAAUAGGGGCACUUUGGUGGCUCAGUUGGUUGACCAUUUGACUCUUGAUUUUGGCUCAGGUAACGAUGGUGGCUCCACACUGAGUGUCUGCUUGGGAUUCUCUCUCCCUUCUUCUGCCCCUCCCCCACACAUGCAUGCUCUCUCUCUAAAAUAAAAAGAAUUUAAAAAAUAAUAAAAAUUAUUUUCUUCUUUCUUUCCAUUUCCCUCCUUCCUUCUUUCCUUUCCUUUCCUUUCCUCCCUCUAUCCUUCCUUCCUUCCUUCCUUCCUUCCUUCCCUCCCUCCCUCCCUUUUUCUCUUUCUUUCUCUUCCUUCCUUUCUUCCUUCCCUCCCUCUCUCCCUUUUUAUCUUUCUUUCUCUUCCUUCUUUCCUUCCUUCCUUCCUUCCUUCCUUCCUUCCUUCCUUCCUUCCUUUCCUUUCCUUUCCUUUCCUCCCUCCCUUUUUCUCUUUCUUUUCCUUCCUUCCUUCCUUCCUUCCUUCCUUCCUUCCCUCUCCUUUCCUUCCCUCCCUCCCUCCCUUCCUUCCUCCCUCCCUCCCUUUUUCUCUUUCUUUUCCUUCCUUCCUUCCUUCCUUCCUUCCUUCCUUCCUUCCUUCCUUCCUAUACUUGGACAGUUAAGUGGCUUCCUGCAAUGGGUAAUAUUAUUCACAUUUAUUUGCAUAGUAGUGGAGGUAUAUCUUCAGGCUAUAUUCUUGGAAGUGGGAAUGCUGGGUCAAAGGCAAAUUUUGUGUUAGAUAGACAAUGCCAGAUUCUUCUCUGUAGGAGUGUCUCGCUAGAAUUCUCAACCACAGCGUAUUGUCAGGCUUUUGAAUUGUUGCCAGCGUGAUGGGUGAGAAGUACUAUUUCGAUGUAGUUUUAAUUUGCAUAUAUCCUGUUAGGAAUGAGGUUGAACAUUUUUUUCAUGUAUUUAAAGAUCAUAUUUGUUAAUUUUAUAAAUUUAAAUUUUGUGAAUUGUCUAUUCAUACAUUUUACUAAUUUUUUUCGGUUGGGUUAUGGUCUUUUUUCCCCUCAAAAAUGUCUAUGUAAAGGGGCGCCUGGGUGGCUCAGUAGGUUGAGCUUUCUAGUUUGGCUCAGGUUAUGAUCUCAGUUCUGAGAUCGAGCCCCACAUCGGGCUCUGUGCAGACAGCUCAGAGCCUGGAGCCUGCUACGGAUUCUGUGUUUCCCUCUCUCUCUAUCCCUCCCCUCCUUGCAUUCUGUCUCUCUCUCUCUCAAAAAUAAAUAAAUGUUAAAAAAGUUUUUAAAAAUGUCUCUGUAAAUUAGCCCUUAAUCUAUGAAAUAUAAAUAUUGUGUCUCAAUUUGUUGCCUUUUAAUUUUACGUACAGUGUUUUUUUUUUUUUUUUGUCAUGUGAAAGUUUUUGUAUUUAUGUGGACACAUUUAUCAACUUUCUCUUUCAUUGCUCUCUUUUUUGAUCAUGGUUAGAAAGCAUUUCUCAACAGCCAUGUUCACUCGUGUUAGUUUCCAGUGCCUGUAUAAUUUCAUUUUUCACAUUUAGAUCUCUGAUUCAUUUGCAGUUUAUUCUUGUGUAUGAUGUGAUGAAUGGAUCUAAUUUUGUCCUUAUCCAAAUGGCUAUCUAAGUGUCCUAACACCAUUUAGUGAGAAAAUUCUUUGUCUCCGUGAUUUGAGAUUGGUGGUUACUCUUUAACCCACACCGUAACUAGAAGUGAAGGGGAGUGAACAGGGUGAUAAGGUCAUCAGAGGAAAAUGGGGUCUUGGCUAGAUAAUGACUGUGUUGAACCUAAAUCUGUUGUCUUUCAACUCAGAACUCUGUCUCUUUUACAAGUCAGAGUCUCCCAUCCAUUUCUCUUACUGACACAUGGAUUAACACAUUUGACAGGAAAGGUAUUUAAAACAAAAGGGAGGGGUUAAGGGAUGGUCUGUGCUUUCCCUCUUGUCAGCAGUCUCUGUAACCACUCCCCUUCCCUGAAAUAGACUAUGAGAACUUGGCUGCAUACUUUUUUGUGAGCACCUGUGACUCUGUGUCUUCUGUCUCUAGCACCUGGUCACAUGCUGAUUACUCACUGUGCCCUCUUCGGCCACCUGUCUGUUUCUGUGGUGCCUCUGCUUGUAGCUCACAUUGGCUAGGCAGUGGACCCUGGAGGUUUUGGGGUUUGGGAGGAGGCUGGAUUUACAGGUCCACAAUUCUCUGCCAAGAUGAGACAUAUACCAAAAUCUCUUUCUCUAAUUUUGGGGAAUGGACGAUUCCAAAUAAAUUUUCAUGCCUUCACGAGUCAAAACUUACAAGUCUGUGAAUGUUUAUAGAAAGCAUAAUGAACCUUCCUGUCUUUUUAAAAAGAACUCACCGAUGAUAACUUAAUAUUGUUGGCACAGCCAUUGUUGUGCAUUUUGCAAGCUGAGUUUUGCUAAAUGGUAGUUUUCCAUGAUCUGUUGACAGGUAUUCCAUGAGAAGGGGAAUUCUUGUGGUCAGAACAUUUGGGAAAUGUCAGCUUAAGCAAACUUAGACAUGUUUCUUUGCUGUAGAUUUUCUCCGAACUCAUAGUGUGAAUUUGUCGAGUUUAUUUGAUCAGAAACUAAAAUCUGCCCCCCCCCACACCCAUUAGGAGCUUUGAUAGUUUGACCUACACAGUCAAGGUUGUUAGGGCUGCAACUGCGAUAUGGUGUCCUGUAAGUGCCAGGCUUCCACAUCUACUUUUUGUUUUUAUUGUUUCCUCCUCAAUUCUUCCACAGUUAAGCUGUGUGAAGGCAGGGACUGCUCCUGUUUUAUUCCUUACUGUAGUACAAACACCUACUAUGGCAUAUAGUAGGUGCUUAUUAAAUAUUUCUGACCUUGAAUGUGUCAGCGCUCCCUGAGCUGGUUGCAGUGUUUCUGCUUUGGUUUCCCUUCCAAAUGUAUGUUUGUAACAGCCGUUUCUAAACAAAUCAGAUGAACAUAUUUGCAAAGAAUUAUGUGUGUAAUGUUUCUGGCCCUUGUAGUGGUAUAAAGCUUAGUCAUGGAUCAUUAUUAAAUAGAUGAUUUAGCUAUUGAUGCUUGUCCCCAGGAAUAGGCGCAUAGAAUUGCCCCUGGGAGAGGCAGCUGGUUCACAAGCCGAUGCCUGUGGUUGGGAGAUCUGCCCUUCUGCUUUUGCCGUUUAGGGGUCAGACCGAACGGCUGGUGGUGUUCUAUGCCCCGUGCAUCUUCUGUGUUUGAAUACCUUUUCUGAUAAGCAGCCACUCUGAUGUACUCCAAUUUCAGCUGCUCUGAAAGAUCCCAGAACUUGUCCAGUCUUCUUCCACCCAACCAGGAUCCCACAAAGGAUCCCGCAGUUUAGCUUUGUUAGAAUCAACCAUACACAUGUGUUUAAGGCACACAUGUACACCCACACAGACACACACACAUGGAUCUUUCGAGUGAGGGACCUAGGUGUGUCAAAUAGCUAGGUUCAAUACAGGGGCACUUUGGGAACUCAGAAUUCUGAGGCGGUCAGUGCGCUUUGGUUAUUGUCAACAUUUUAUUGGUGCUCUUUUUGAAGAGACAAGUAACUAGUUUUCACUGCAGGAAAUUGGGAAAACAAAGAAAGUAUUAGGAACAAACUCUAGAUGACCUGUAAUUGUAUUGCCCCAAAGUACAUUAUAGUGACUUGUGUUCUGUUGUGUGUGUGUGUGUGUGUGUGCGUGUACACACUGCAGCCUGCUGUUCUGGGGCUUGCUUUUUAAACCAGUUCUCCGUUGUUAAUUAUCUCCUGUACUUUUCACAUCACAAUUAAUAUUAAUAAUAUUUGUGUAUUGCAAUUGUAUCUUAAUUCACCUUGGUUCUUCCAGGGUCUGGCUCAGGGCCAUCUGUGCACAUGUUGUUUGCUCAGUAGAUGCCUGAUGUACAUAAGUGACUGGACAUUACACUGGAAUUGUUUUUUUUUUUUUUAAUUUUUUAAGUGUUUCAUUUAUUUUAGAGAGAGAGAGAGAGAGACAGAGUGUGAGUGGGGGAGGGGCAGAGAGAGAGGGAGACAAAGAAUCUGAAGCAGGCUCUGGGCUCCGAGUUGUCAGCACAGAGCCCGACGCGGGGCUCAAACCCACGAACGGUGAGAUCAUGACCUGAGCCGAGGUCAGACGCUUAACCGACUGAGCCACCCAGGAGCCCCAUAAACUGGAAUUGGAUCUGCCCACCUGUUUUUAAGAAGUUCAACUCUACAAACGAUGUAUUCCAAAACUGCAAAAGAAGGUGACAGCCAGAGCAGAUGAAGCUGCCCUGGUCAGGGCAGCAAGAGCUCAGUAAGACUCUCCCAGUUCAGGAGGUAUUACCCCUUGUGAUUUGGAAGUCUAUGCCAUUAAUGAGACAGGGGGCCUCACUUUACUGUGUGAGCAGCAUAGUUGGUACAGUUUGUAUGUGUUCUUCAUCAGUUUAGGCCUGGAACCCCCACCCCCCUUUUAAAAAUAGCAAAUCAAGGUUUCCACGGUGGGAUGGGGAGGCAAUUGGCUUGCAUUAGUCAGACGCAUCAGGCAGCCCAGGAUCAACUCAGCCGUUUUCAUACAUGCCUGGGAGCAAGAGCUUUGCAUUAACUGGCUUGCCCAUGUCUGUGCUCAGCUUUGGAUGCUGUGGAAAUGGGAUUGGGUGUCAGGGCCGUUGCAUGGUGAAGGAAGAAUCAGAGCAAAGAGUUUGAAGGAUGUCAAGGAGAAUAUUCCCUUUCCACAGGCAUCUUCCUCUUUGGGGUACCGACAAGCUUAUGCCCACCAGACAUGGUGGGUAGAAUUCCUUCAGCGCCUUUCCUCAGGUAAGAGAUGAGGUCUGUGUAGCCGAAUGGUCAGAAAUCCCCUGGGCAAGCAUUACGGAAGGUCCGUCACCUUCCCACAGUGUGACCUCCCUGCAGGACUUGUAGCAGAAACAGAUACCUAACCCUUUAGCCCCCUGGAGGCCUUGUCUUUCUCAGCCAUACUUGCCAGUCACAGCCCCGUGUCCCUCUCCUCUGUGUCGUGCUGGAUAAACACAGAUAAACCCGCAUAUCCUGACUCACUCCUACCUCAUGCCGGGGAAGUUACAAAAUGUUUGAGUGGCUUCCUUAAGUAUUAUUCCUAUCAUGGUUUCUUGGGAAAGUACGCUUUGCCUUGAUGCAGGCGUGGAAAGCAUCUUGGUUGCUUCGGCCACAGGGUUAUGAACCAUCUUGUAGGGCAGGGUGCUCUUCUACUAGGCUGAGCACAUCUGCCGAGUGUGUGGGUUCACAACUGGAGAGGAGCACAGGAGAUACGGAAAGCCAUUAUCCACAGCUGGGACGUGUGCUGGGCUUUCACUGGACACCUUGGACAACCUUUCCAACAUGCACUGAAAAUGUAGACACAACCCCAUUUUACAGAUGAGGAUGCUGAGGUUCAGAGACUUUAUGUUACUGUCCUAGGUCCCAGAGGUCGUCGUCCCGGAACUGAGACUCAAACCGGGUCUGGAAAGCCAUGAGAUUUGUGGCUUUUCCUGUCCACGCUGCCACCUGGCAUGCCAUUCUAGAGCAUCACUCUUUCUCUAGUCUUUUCAUAGAUGCGGGGCACGCAGCCUGCAUUUGGGGCUUACAUGUUCUACUCUCCGAAGCCUUUCCUGACACCCUGCUCCCCACCACGCACACGCCCAUUACCAGACCUCCGCGAACACAUAAUGAUUAGUUGCGUUUGUAACAUUAAAAAGAAUGCCCAUGAAGAACUGCUUUUAGUUUCAUUUGUUUGAUUUUACUUAAAGCCACAGAAAAGGCCUGUUUAAGAAAUUUUCACAUGUUUUUGAAGACAUAUUGAAAGUAGAAUGCCAAAUUUGUGUCCUCAAUAUCUCAUGAUCAAGAAAACCUUCAAAAUGAUGUACAGUAACAUCAACUACCAGUGAUCUUCAACACUGAGAAAUUUCCUAUUUAUUCUUGUAUUAAGGGCAUUCAGAUGAUGAUGCUAAUAGAUUUCAGCCUCAGCUUGGGCUGAAUAUUGACUUUAACACCCGGUUAUUGGGCGUUUGACCCAAAUGGGUAAUGGGUACAAAUCUUCUAUCAGUGGAUUUUGAAGGUUUCAUACCAGAAGGCAACAUGUAGGUGUCUCAAGGUCAGACUAGAACAAAUCCUUCACAGUUAUCUACCAUUAAUUUGUUUACAAAUGGUUUCCAUGGUCACCACCCACUAAUUCUCCAGUAAUCCUUAAGGAAGUCAAGGAGUAUCAUCUCAUUAGAGAAAGGGAACCCGUGGCUUAGAGAAGGGAAGGGCACAAGUGUCCAAGGGUACUGGGUUGUGGUGGAGCCUGAGUGUCCAACUACUCCUUCAUCCGGGUGCAUGGAAUGCCACAGGCCUGGCUCUUAGUCCUGGCUCUGGGGCUGAUCCUGGCACAUUUAGCGUGAGGUGCAUGAUUUCUAUACUGCCUGUCUCAUGAGAAGUGUCAGUAAGCUCAUUAACUAACGUUGUGUUUAUAGUUUUAUUCUGACCACUGACUUCCAAGUUUCAUUGAAGUUGAUCACCUUCUCGAAGAUAAACGAGCUCCUGACGUGCCCUGUGGCUCCAGCUAGCCUUGGUUUCCUCUCUUACCUGCACAGUGAGCAUGACGAUCAUGUCCCCUCCAGAGACCUUUCAGCCUAGUGUUCUGUUGUGUGAUAAGGGGUGGAUAGAGGAAAGGCCAGACCUAAUGACUACUGAAGUCCAAGCCAGUUUGUAAUUGUGAAGAGGCAUGAGCGAGGGCAAUAAAUGGAUAUCGACGACUAAACAGGCUGGGCUGUAGUUGACAUUGGAGGUGUAAAUGAUACUUCUUCCUGGUCUGUGAGUUACGGGAUUGGUUGUCUCCCAUAUGUAUUUCUUAUUUUCAUCUUCAAUUCAUGGUUUGGUGAUGGAAUGCAGCUUUGGAGACAAUUUCAGGUUGGGUUAUUUGCUUAGUAAUUACAAUAACAGUAAUAGUAAUGUAUUCACUUACUGAUUAAGCACCUAGUACGUGCCAGACUAUGUACAUCAUCAUUCCUAGUCCUAAAGGAAAACAAUAUGCAAGGCGUAUAUUCUAAUUCCUACUUUGCAAAUAAGGAAAUUUCAGCUCAGAGAGAUUCGAAGACUUGCUUAAGUCCACUUAGAAAGUGCCAGAGCCAGCAUUUGUCUGAUUGCAAAGCCUAUGCCUCUCUUGCGUCUGGACACUGCCAAGGUAUUGAAGGCUGGAAAUUGAGAUCUGCAGCCUCCUCCUUUCCCCUGUCCUAUGCCAGAGGUGAACAGAACUUGGCUUGGGCCAGUGCUGGCUCUCACUGCCCUGGUGGCCUUGACUUGGGUUUUGACGUGGGCACCCGCCGUCAUUGAUUACGUGGUGCUGGUGACCCUCCCGUGGCCUCUGCUGACAGGCCCAGGGGCACCUGACACCCUCCUAUGAAGAGCUCACCCUGGAUGCCCCAACCAGGGGGAAAGAGGCUUUGAGAAGGAACCGGUGUGUGAUGAGGGGUUACUUUGACCUUAAACUGAACAGUCCAUCGGUCCUUCUCAUUCAUUUGACUUUUCACUGUCUCCUGACCAUUUUUACCCAGACUGCCAGCAGCUGUCCCCAUGGCAAAAUCACCUGGAGAGCAGUGUCGUAGUAACUGUGCCUGCGUCCUCCUCUGAGACAUUCUGAUCUGAAUAGGCUAGGGUCGGGCCCUGAGCAUCUGCAUUUAAAAAAAUAAGUACACCAAGAGUUAAUAAUGUUCAACCAGGGAGAAGAACUAGUGCUUUAAGGGCAGAAAAGCUCUCUUCACUCUUUGGUUGACAUGGUAUGCUUUUGUCCUGAUCCCAGUGAAUCCUCAAUCUUAUGAUGUCAUCAUUCUAUUGGGAAGGAUAAUUAUUUAUUUAUUAUUAUUAUUAUUAUUAUUUUUUUUUUUUUGAGAGAGAGAGAGAGAGAGAGAGAGAGAGUGAGCAAGGGAGGGGCAGAAGGGGAGGGAGAGAAUUUUAAGCAGGAGCCACAUUGAUUUUGGCUCAGGUCAUGAUCCCAGGGUCAUGGGAUCAAGCCCCAUGAUAGGUUCUGUGCUGAGUGUGGCUCCUGCACAGAACCCAUCACGGGGCUUGAUCCCAUGACCCUGGGAUCAUGACCUGAGCCAAAAUCAAGAUUCGGAUGCUCCACCGACUGAGCCAUCCAGGCACUCCUGACAGGGAGAAUUUACUCACCGAAAGCAUUCGUGCUUUUCUGAGGUGGUUCCGGCUGUGGAGAGGGUGUUACAGGAAUGGACGCAGAUGCUGAAUUAGUGGCUCCAGAGAAGGGGAUUGAGUCACCCUUUACUGGAUCGCUGGGGACAUCCAAAAGACAGAGCCUCGACUUCUGCCAUCCUCCCUCCUAAUUCAUUCUCCCCACACCCACCAGAUUUUCGUCACUGAGAGGGUGUGUUCUCUAGUUCGUGGGAUGCUCACCACUCCCGCCAGUGACUUUACUCCGGAACAUAUUGUGGCUUAUUUGUACCAGCUUAGGUAUUUGUCAUCUCUUUACUUUUUGUUUCACUAGUUUACUUUUCUACCACCAUGUGAAAGAAUGGCUUCCAGGGAAGUGGUCACUGGGCACCGGACGCAUGCAGAUAUGGUGCGCCUUGUCCCCUGGCGGAAGUACACCCCCAGCUCCCCAGCCUGGCGGCCUGUGUUCUGGCUACUGGCUGACACCGCCUUUCUCUCCAGAAUGCAGGCCGCUCUUUCCUGUCCCUGGUCUCCAGCCAGCUGAACUGUACCCUGGACCAGGAUCUGCCCCAUCCCUGCCUUUGCUGCCGCUUCUCAUCCUGCUGAGACAUUAACUCCGUCCCGAAGCCGUCCCUCAUCCCGACAGCUAGAAAUAACCUUGCCUCUCCGAGAACCCCCACACGGCUUUGAGCGGGAACACUUUUAGAACUUAUCACAUUGUUCCCCGAGCUAUUCUUAUUUAUGCGUGUGUAUUAAUUGCUACCCUUCUGUAGGUUUCUGGAGGGUGGGGCAGCCUCUUCAUUUUGGUGUCUCCCGCUGUGCCAAGAAUAUUAGAGGCAUUCCCUAAAUGCUUUUGGACUAAAUGUGUUCCUUUUAGUUCAGCUUAGCUGUUGUCCAAAAUUAACCUCAUGAGAUAUUGGUGGCUUUGGUGAACAUUUGGAGAGGUAUACUGGGAUGGAGUGAAAUCCGGUGACCUAGUUACAGAAUAUCCCCUGCAGGCUCACUGGUGAGGAAGGCUCAUGUUUAAACUCUGUGAAAGGAGAGCCUGGCUUAUUUAUGGUGGUGGUUGUUUACAAGUCUUUAAAAAUGAUCCUCUUUUUUUUUUUUUAAAGUAUAAAAGUAAUGCAUUCUCAUGCAGAAGAUUGAGAAAAUGGAGAUGGGGGCAAAAAAGGAAAAUAAAAUAAAAAUCACCUCUCAUACCUCCAGUUAUUAUUAAUAAGGCCUGCCCCAUUUGAACAGGAUGUGAUGAUGUAGGAUGUCCUGUGCUUGGAGAAAAGAGUCUGCUUCUUUGCGCUUCUUCAUCAUCACCACUGAAACUUAUAAACAGCGUCCACAUAGUCAUAUCCCCCAGCAGGACUUCAGGGGCUGCUCUGUGAUUACACACCUUCUACUGACAAAGCGCGUGCCGUCUUUUUUAGCAGCUGUGCCUUAACAACAGCUGUGUGAGGGAAGCCACUGUCCUCACAGCACUUGUCACCACAUAGUAAUGGAUUUCAGCUAAUUGGGGAAAAAAAGGAAAGCUAUGAGUUUAAAGAACGAGGGUUCUUGGGGUACCUGGGUGGCUCGGUUGGUUGAGCGUCCAACUUCAACUCAGGUCAUGAUCUCAUGGCUCGUGAGUUCGAGCCCCGCGUCGGGCUCUGUGCUGACAGCUCAGAGCCUGGAGCCUGCUUUGGAUUCUGUGUGUCCCUCUCUCUCUCCCUCCCCAACUCAUGCACAUUCUCUCUCUCUCUCAAAAAUAAAGAAAUAUUAAAAAAAAACACAAAAGAAUGAGGGACCCUCUCCCACAAUGUAUCAUGGGUUCAUCAGCUAUGGCCACGAAGUCAGGAAGAUUAGUGUUUAGAAAACAUGUUCAGGCAAGUGUGAGGGGCUGGUGGGUGAGUUUUUAUUUUUAUUUUCUUGGUUUAUUUUUUUUUUUUUUACUUUUAGGUUUUAUCUUGUUCUCUUUUAUUUUUAAAUACCGUAAUUUUAUUAUUUUUUUAAAACAUUAUUUGCCAAGCACUGAAGAGAAUUUGAACAACACAGAAGAGUGGAAUGAACACAAUAAAAGUCUCGCCAAGUCCAUUCUUCAGUGAUAGUCAUUGUUAAAGUUUUGGAAAACACCUCAAGUUAACAAAUUUACAGUGUUCAGGAGAAGUAUAAAAAAAGGAAAAUUACCUCUAAUCUCACCCUUUCCUUGUAACCACUAGGAUAUUUUGUUUGUGGAAGUUGGCUUUGCCCUGUGACCCCAUGUUGCAAACUCACUCUUCCACAUCCUCGUUCUCAGCUCUACUUUAUGUAGCAUUUUGGAAGGAUUUAAGAUGAAAAAACAAAUCCCGUCGCAACCAAAAUGCACUUGUGUCUGUUUUGACACCCCUCCCCUACCGUAUACACACACAGACACACACACACACACACACACACACACUCAGACACGGGGAAAUAAUCAUUGUCGUUGAGAUCCAAUGUCUUAUUUUACAGAAAGAAAAGUUGAUGCCUAGAACUUGUCCGAGAUCAUGUUUCAAAAAAAAUGGCAAUCAACACUCCAACCUAGGUCUCCUUAAUUCUGGUCCAAUGCUUUCUCUACAGCGAUGCGUCCUUACUAGGUCAUAGAAGCAGUGGUAGAGAGAGAAAAGGAAAAACACGUCAGUUCUAAAGUGCAGUUUUUUUCCCUGUGUCCUUUAGCCGGGCUAUUUUUGUGACUCUUCAGUACAUGGACGGUGUUGCCUCUUGGAGCAUUCGGCUAGACUAAGAGGCCAUUCACCGCCGACUGCAGCCAUGCUGUCCCUCCACGGCAGGCUCUCUGGAAUCCUUGGCCUGGAAACCAGAUGGAAACAGACUAUUCCAAUAUGAAAAUCGAAUUUCAGGGUCUGAGUGUACACACAGAAAAAUUACCGUAGAUCCUGUUGGACCACGUACAUGACAAUGAAACAGGGAUUUAGGAGUGUGUGUCUGGUCGGGGGGUGGGGUGGGGAGGGGUGGGGCGGAGGUUGGGGUUGAUUCCUCUCUUACUGUCUAAUCCAUUCACGAGCUCUGACAAGUCUCGUUUCACAAAUGCAAAGUAUUAUCCCUAAAUGUGGCCCUACUAUUCUAGCUCCCCAAGCCUUGAGGUGGUUCCUUUUGCAUUUAGAACAAAGCGUGGGCUCCUCGGUCUGGCCCUCGGUGGCCCGUCCAUCAGACACCGAUGUAAUAUGGAGGUAGAGUCAUGCAAUAGCCAGACGGCGGGAGCCUCUACCACCUGCUAGCACUUUUAUCUGGGGAGGUUGUUGAGCCUCCCUGGGCCUCAGUUUCCUCCGACGUGAAGUGGAAGGAGGGCAGUAAUGGGGAUUAUGUGAGUUAGUAUUUGUAGAGGCUCCCCAGGGAUUAGAUCAUCCAACAUACAGAAAGCGCUACACGGUACCAGCUUGUUAAAGUGAGUGCCUUUCCGGUGCCUCUCCUGAUGGCAUUUCCCUUCUGCUCUAGACUUCUGGGCGUUCCUGCCAUGGGCUCCUCGUUCCCCUGCCUCUGUGCCACUGUGCCCCUCACCUGUGGUCUGCCGGCUCUCUCCUUCCUGCCCAUCCGAAACUUCCUCACCCUUUUACGGCUGAACUCAAAUCUAUCUUCGUCCAUUUGUUUCUUCACUCGUUCAACAUACCCAUUUAUUCGUUUGACAGGUUUUUAUGGAGGGUUUACUGUGUUGCAGGUGUCUUCUCCAAGAAAGCUUUCACAGUUCCUCCGGCUAGGGGAGGUCUGUCCUGUAUGCCUGUCUUAUGAUGUGACCGUUGGCGUCUCUCUAUAGUUUCUAAUGGGCCCUGUUAGAAUAUUAGCUCCUUCCGAGUAGGGUGCUUGUUAAGCUUUAUUUACAAUGAAUAAAUGAAUGAAUUAUCCUUUGUGGUAUUUAUUGUUUUCUAAUAAAAGUAAGAAAAUAGAAACAAAACUUGAUUUGUGUGUGUGUGUGUGAGAGAGAGAGAGAGAGAGGGAGAGAGACUGACAGAGAUUGACAGAGACAGGGCGAUUUCGAAUGGGAGGAGGGCUGAGGCUGGUCUGAGGGCAGAGGACUAGUUCCAAGUUGAAGAAAGGCAUGAAGACAGGGGUGCAAGGAGGGUGCAAAAGCAGAGAGAAGCAGGAUGAGAGCGGAGGUUAUUCUCUGAAUCAUAAAGCAUUCCCUCUGAGACACGGUUUUCCUUAAGUGGUAGAAAAUGUGAAGUGAAUUGGGUCUCAUUUUUCCUUUCCUUCUUUAGGAGAUUGGAACUCGUUUUUUAAACGAGGUGGGGGAGGGAGGUGGUGUUUGGAGAAGGAAAGUGAAAACUGUUUUCUGAAGCUCCCUUUGCCAAGUAACCGGGGAGAGAAAGUUCAGGAGGUGGGCCUGCCAAAGCUGACCAGCAGCGAGCAGCCAACUGACUCUUUUUUCAUCAUUGUCCCUGUCGCUGCCCCGUCCUUAUUCUCCAUUUCCAGACACUCCUUCCUCCCUCCCUCCCUCCCUCCCUCUGUUCCUUCCUUCCUUUCUUCCUUCCUUCCUUCCUUCCUUCCUUCCUUCCUUCCUUCCUUCCUUCCCUCCCUCCCUCCCUNNNNNNNNNNNNNNNNNNNNNNNNNNNNNNNNNNNNNNNNNNNNNNNNNNNNNNNNNNNNNNNNNNNNNNNNNNNNNNNNNNNNNNNNNNNNNNNNNNNNNNNNNNNNNNNNNNNNNNNNNNNNNNNNNNNNNNNNNNNNNNNNNNNNNNNNNNNNNNNNNNNNNNNNNNNNNNNNNNNNNNNNNNNNNNNNNNNNNNNNNNNNNNNNNNNNNNNNNNNNNNNNNNNNNNNNNNNNNNNNNNNNNNNNNNNNNNNNNNNNNNNNNNNNNNNNNNNNNNNNNNNNNNNNNNNNNNNNNNNNNNNNNNNNNNNNNNNNNNNNNNNNNNNNNNNNNNNNNNNNNNNNNNNNNNNNNNNNNNNNNNNNNNNNNNNNNNNNNNNNNNNNNNNNNNCCCUCUCUCCCUCCCUCCCUCUCUCCCUCCUUCCCUUCCUUCCCUUCUAUUAUAAGUAAGAAAAUGGGGGAAAAAUCACCACAAAACCCAAAGUAAGCUGAUGAUGUCAACCUAUUGGAUAGAUUUAGAUCUGUUUACCUCAUCCCCUCAUCUGCUUCCCCCGGAAGCGACCCCUCCUGUCACUCCCUCCUCCCUUAGUGUCUCACCCUUCCAUCCACUUUCUGACUCAAAGCAGGAGGGAAGCAAAUUCCUGGCUUUUUUAUUCUGAAGAUUUUCUGGCUGAUUUUUUUUUUUUUUUUGGUCUCUUGACUUUGCUCCUUGAAGAUGCUUCGCUGUCGAAGGCACAGAGGAUUGAUGAUGGGCACACGUCCUCUUAGUGCUUAGCGUAUGCGGGCCUUGGACCACUCGGGCGUCCUGAGACAGAGGACCCCUGAUGGCCGAGUGCGUGGUGUUACGUGGGCACGUGCGCUGUGGGUGCUUCGGGGAGACUGGUUUCUGGGGACCAGGAAGUAUGCAGCCAGGUGUGCCAACAUGCAUGGAGCACCUGGAGGGAAGCUGUCACGUGAUCAAGGCUGGCGUCAGGAGCAUGCGGGAGGCUAAGGUGGCUGUUGGCUGCCACUGGGGAAGGCUUCUCUGUGGGUGGCGAUGUUGUAGGCCUUGAAAGAGAGCUAGGCUGUGACCAAUAAGGAAGGCGGGAUGAGUGUUGGAGACAGAGCGAACGGCAGAGGUAUGAGAAUACGUAGAGGAAUGGAGUCUGGCAGGCUGAGUCUAGAAGGUGCAUGGAGUGAGGCAUCUCACCUCAUACAAGUUCUACAUGCCCUGCUAUUGUGUUUGGGGCUUUUUCCUGCAAGCAGGAGCUGUUAGGGGUUUUGGAAGGAGCUGUGAUAGGAUUACUCUGGUGAGUGAGCGAGUGUGUGUGUGUGUGUGUGUGUGCGCGCGCGCGCGCGCACGCGUGUGUUUUGUUUUGCUUUUACUUUUUCAUUUCCCGAGUCUUUUGAGGAACUGUUGGGCAACCUUGACUCUGGGAAGUGUCCACCGCUUGUCUUUAUCGAUCUUCUCCUCUCUCCUCCCCGCUGGGCCCUGCUCAUUCUCCGGCUUCUGGGGGAUGAAAUGUGGCGGUGCCGGCUCCCAGGGGCUGCUGCUGUGAGCUCUCCCUGGGCAGCCCCUGUCUGUUCUUGUUUCCCAUCCCUCCCCUCCUCUUCUCUUCCUCCUCCUCCUCUUUCUCUGUCACCACCCCCGCCGCCAGCAGCCACGCUCCCCUCCCUAAAAUAAAUAAACCAGUCGCUCCAAAAGGUUCCAGGCACAUUAGUCACAUACCCCAGAAGUUGAAUACAGAAUUAUUUUGACAGCGAGAACAAGAAGUGUUUUCUAGUUGAACGCACAGAACUUGCUUAUUCCAACUGGGCUUUCUGCCGCACAGACAGAUGAUAUGUUUUUUAGAUGGAUCGGCCACGCAGGAGGCUGCGUCGCUUCCCUUGGAUGCGUGACAAACUGCUCACUACCGAAAGUGGUUGGGGAAAAGAUGUGAAGGGAGAGGGAGAGAGAGGGAAGAAUGAAAUCACAUCCUUAUUGCGAACAUAACUUUCUCCCUGGUACCUUCAAGUCAGCCACCGAGAGAUUUCUACGUGUUUAUUUAUUUAUUUGGCUGCCGCUGGAGCUGUGAAGUCCCUUUUUCUAGCCGGGCUCGCGCGUGUUCUAAAAGAUGAGGACAGAUCGAGUUAUUGCGAUGCGGGUGGCUCUCCAAGCAUUCCAGUUGAAUAGCUCUUCCAGAAAUAUUUCUUGACUCACUUAUUUAGCACUUUCUAUUGCUGUUACUAAGCAGAUUGGAGGGCCCUCCCUGUGCUUUUGCCAGACAAGUCUUGGGUUGAUGUGGAUCCCUUAUCCCUAUUUGGCCUGUGCAAAGAUGGAGAAAUGAGAAGCUCAAGUCCAUUGUCGUUUCAGAGGGCUUUUGUCCCCGCCAAGGUGCCAGAGUGCCGUAUGCACAGUCAGAGGAAGAAUAAAAGUGUGUGCUGCCCUCUGUCCGGGUUGGCCCUUCUUCUUCCGGAGUCCCACCACCAAGCAGGAAGGCCUUUCUCCCAGGGCCGUUCACCUGGGUGUGAAGUCCCAGAGAUGAGCACAGAGGAGAGGAGUAAAGAAGUUCUAGACCUGGGAUGCCUGUUCUGUCUAGCCCCUGUGAUCCUUCACUUCUUGCUUCUCAAAUCCUUCUAGAAACUUCCAUCUUCUGGGGGGUGGGCUGACCUCUCUAAUAGCAGUGCCUGCUCUCUGGAGCUUUCUUAACCGUUUCUGAUUGCUUCCCAUUAGCCUUUCAUUCCCAGGCCUUCUCCGGGAAACCUGUCGUUCAGGCACUUACGGGCUGUAUGACUCUUGACAGUAGGCUCUUUGAGCCUCACUGUUUCAGACCUUUUUCCUUUGUGGAAUCCUUUUGCAAACCCCUCAGGGAAUGUGAUGUGAAAUCCCAAUAUAUGAAAUCACCAAAGUGUAGUUUUAUGGUGGUGCCGAUGUUCCAUGUGGAGGGUCCAAUAGGCUUCUGCCCCGGGCCAAAGCUGUCUUUCCAGAACGCUGUGCCUGUGUGGAACCCACUUUGGAAACCACCGUACUGGACCACUGGCAGCCCCUGUGGCUACUGUACUGCCUUCUUCAAGCUUUCUGCCUCCCUGGACAUCUCUCAAGGUUGAGAAGGGGGCACCUUUGUAGAUGAGGAAGUGGGGCCCGGUGGGAGACAUGACCCUUGCUGUUUCCUCAUGCUGGCUGUGAAAUUCUACAUGAUGAAGGCCUUUUAGCUUGGCCACUUCAGGUGACUCUUCCCCAGGCCUCCUCACCCAGGCCAUGCCUGGCUUGUGAGUCAGGGCACCCCCUGGCUAGCACUGUAUUAUUAUUCAUUCCUCUGUGUUCAGUGGUAGUCUGCAGGAAUCCUUGCCCCCCUUGUGGGAGUCUGGGCCUACAGCCUCUGUCUCAGGAACAUUCUAUGAAAGGAGUAGCAUGGCAGUCAAGCUACUUUUAAGGUAACUGUCUUUUUAAGUGCUGAAUUUGCUUUUUGUGAGGAAAAGUAUAGCAUGGACUGUCUCUCAUUCUAACACUGAUAUUUAUGUGGCACCUUUGCUCACAGGACACUCUGUUAUCCGCCAAAGAAGGUUCUGACCUUUAUGACUGUACUUUCCACUUUCACGUUGCAAGACAGUUUCUAAAGAGCUUCUCCCGGCUAAGAUCUCCACCACGUCGGGGCAAAGGAGACUCCAGGGUUAGGCUCACAGAUCACAGGGUGAGACGGCAAAUGGGGAUUUGAACCAGAGGCUCUUUGUCCCUUACCAUUGCAGCAAACCACUCAUUGUUCUUGUUCUUGGGAAUUGUGAACGAAGAUGCUAUUGACAGGUACUGUUUAUUAAGUGCUUACUUAUAUGUCAAACACAGCUAGGUCGACACUUUGCAAAAAGCCCAUUUCGUCUUUUCAAGCACCCCAUCAGGUAGAAAUGGUUAUGUCCAGUUUGCAGGUGAAUCACUAGAGGCAUUGAAAGGAUAAAUAACCUGCUCAAGUUCCACAUCAGAGAAUUGACGGACCUCGGAUUCUAACCAGGACUGUCUGCCUGCCAAUAUAGGAUGUGGUCCCUGUGUGUCCAUCCUUAGUCCUCCCUGAGGAGACGAGAGUUGCACUCCUGAAAGUCACAAAGCUAGUUUGUGGGUGGCCACGUGCUACAGCGAUGGUUGCAUCCUGUUAGGGAUUAACAGGUGGCUGUUUUCUCUCUUCGCUCUUGGAGGUCAGAAAGCCCUUAUACAGUCCUUUCUACUUUCUUUGUAGGUUUUAUGUACUUCACAUUGAAAUGAUGAGUCCUCCGUCCAACUGACUACGUGAUACUGGGCAAGUCAUUUCUCUUCUUGAGGCCUCGGUUUCACCCCCUCUCAAAUCUCCUUUUCUGCUCCGAUCAUGCUAUUCUUUUAAGUGUAAUAUUUCUAGGGGAUGUGUUUAUUGAAUUCUCUUUGUACAAUUCCUUUCAAAAGUAUCGUUUGGAAUUACAGGUACUUAAUACCGUUUUUGUUUUAAAUUGGAUUGGCAAUUGCAGAUUAUCCCUGUUUUCAAAGAGAUUUUCUGCUUCUGAAACAUCGUAGUUUGCAAGCGUUUGAAAGUCAGAUGCCACAUGAAGAGAUUGUCUAAGUCAUAUCAAGAAAGAUGAACGCCGAGGACAUGUUCUGAUGGGCUAGCUGGUUGUGUCUUGCUUUCUCCGUGUCAGUUUGUCUUUCUAACUCUUAUGUUAGAGCAGUUCUUCUCCCCUCCCCCCCCCAACACCCGUGUGAACGUGUGCGUGCACACACGCGCACACACGCAAUUCUUGAGAAGCAAACCUUCCUACCUUUGUUAAACUUGUCACUUUUUCUGCAGAGUCUGGUUAGCAGACCUUUGGGUGAGCAAAAGAAAAAUCUUCUUCUCUGUGCCAAGUUCAGGGUGGGAAUCAAUUCUCCUUGCCUUUUGCAUUUCAGUAAAUGUUUCCUAGAUGGAUUCUUCAGAUUUCCAGUAAAGACAAACAGCUCAGAAACCGGAUUGCAUUCAUACCCGGGGCCUGAGUUCUGUGACCCAGGCGUUGGAGCUCAGUGCCAUAUAUGGCCAAAAGAGGCGCAGGGAGAGGGUGCUGGGAGAGAAUACCAGACAUACAAUGCAUUCCUAAGAAAUGUGCCUUCGCAACUGACAAAAUAGGACCCCACUGGUUUCCAUCUUCUGCGGAACGUGAACUGUGAAGUUUUGAGAAAGAAGCUAGUGUUCCAAGCAUCUGCCACAGAGAACAGUUUAUUUUCCCUUUUCUUUUCAGUCACAUGUAGGUUUAAUUUGGAGUCAGCAUUCAAGUCAAUGCUAGCUUGGAACGAGGACCAAGAAAUUAUUCUUGGAGUCAGCAGAUGUGGGUUCUCAGCCCAUUCGACUGCCAUCCAGCUGUGAAGCUCUCUCUCUCUGGUCUGUUUUCUUCAGUCAAAGUGGCAGGGCCGGAUUUGGUGAUCGCCAAGAUCUCUGCUAUUUCUGUUUUCUUUGGUUCUAAUUUUGCCUGAGAUUUUCCAGUUUCUGUGGAAUUCCCUGCGGAAAGUAGUUUCUGAUCCUUCCAAAUACUUACUGUGGCUUGAACUUGAAAAGACAAAAUAAAACCCUGGUCUUGAAUUUUUCUUUGUGAUUUCCUUAAAUAUACCUUGGACACAUCAUUAGACUUUACUUGGCAGAUAACUUUGUGCUGAAGGCGGAGAUGAGCGCAUGGACUGUUCAUGACCAUCCCCUUCUGCUUGUUGUUGUAGAAGAAUCGGGAGGUAUGUGCAGCCCUGCGUUGUGGGAACAGGUGUGCCCUUCGCAAACGUGGCCUUUGAGUGGCCUUGUUAUUUGUCUGCUUCUCUUGUGAAUUCCGCCUUCCCUGUGAGAGGAGCAGGACCGGUAGGAGGCAUCCCCCACAGCUUCCUCACACCUUGGGAAACAGAACUAGGGAUGUGAAGCAGAGGUGUUGGCUUCCCAGCCGGUAAUUGGAUGAGUCACUUGCCUGUCACAGAUGUUAAGAAGGUUUGGAAGAAACAGAAACGCAAAAUUCUGGCCCUAGAGUGGACUAUAGUCGUCUUUAAUUUAUGAGACAGGCAUGAUUUUUUUUAAAUGUUUUAUUAUUUAUUUUUGAGAGAGAGAGAGAGAGAGAGAAUCCGAAGCAGGCUCCAGGCUCCGAGCUGUCAGCACAGAGCCUGAUGCGGGGCCCAGACUCACGAUCCGGGAGAUGGUGACCCGAGCUGAAGUUGGACGCUCAACUGACGAAGCCACCCAGUCGCCCCGAGACAGACAUGCUUUCUAGUGUUCUUUGUCUUUAUGGGUUCUACAGAUUACUGUUAAGACACUACGACAGUUAUGUUGCAAAAGAGUUUGUAAUUUUCCACUCCUUUUGGAACGCGUUCCAGCCAAAGUUGAUCUCCCCUGUUUCCUUUCUGAAAGCAAGACAUUCUUUUCUCUGCUGAGAUAAGGGGCAGUGGGGGGGGUUGUUGACAAAACAUUGUAGCCCUUGGGCUUGGAUGUCUUGAUGUAUCCUGUGCCUCACCAGCACACUGAAGGUGGUGGGAAGGUACCGCUCUGAGGGAGCCGUGGUGCAGGAGCCCUCCUCCCCUCUGGGGCUGAAGAACCGGGCACCAUUCUGCCCUGCCUCGCCACAGUGACCUCUUGCCAGGAGGUGGCCGCGGCAUGGCCGCUGAGUCCUGAGAGUAGGAGGAAGAGGUGGAUGGGAGCUGACAAUGCAGGGAGCGCUCGCUUAGCUUAGAAGCUAAGAGGUGUAUGUUCUACUGGAAGCUGUGUCGUGUGCUUGUGAGUUGGUCAAGAUGUUUCAAGUCUCUGGGCCUUCAGUUCUCCGACUGAAAAGUGAAGUGCUUUGGGUCUUGAAGGCUUUUUGUAGCUCUUAAAGCACGAGUUUAGUAUAUUUCCGAUUGGACCUUGAUGUCUCGUAUUUCUCUUAUGUAGUAACCCCGGGAGACCAAGCUCAUCAGCUUGUACCAAGUUCUGACCGUGCCAUAGCCUCCUUAACUGGAAAGAAAGCAAAGACAAGAUGCCCCGUCUGUGGAGCCCUGCUCAUUAUAAUAUCACAACUAAAUGUGUUACUACAGCAUUCAACUGCCUUCACAGUCGUCUUCCAACUGGUGGUCUUAGUUUCUGGGAAUGGGGCCUUCAUCAGCCUUUCCUUCCACGGGUGGCAUUCAUCAUGACUGAGCUAGCUGUGGGCCCUUUGGUGCCACAGAGGCGGGUGUGGAAACGAAAAGAGCCAACUGCCCACAAUGAUGAGGCAGCGUCACUGGGUUGAAAGUGGAAUUGAGAAGGACCGCCUCAGGAUUCUGGGGUUCUGUGACAGGUUCCACCAGCAAUUUAGGGGAGAUCUUGGGAAACCCAGCACAGUGUGUCUUCUGCUUUGGUAAAAAGCAUACAUUUUACUGGUUGUAAAUGCUUUAGUGCUAUUAUGAGAAAACCAAAGGGAAGCCCAAUCAUAAAAGCAGUAAGAAUUUAUUGGCCGUGACUAAUCCUUUGGGGAGUACGGUACGUGACAUAGGUUCACACAGGGCUUCACGGUGGACUAACCCCUUUCAACACCCAUUAACUCAUAAGAUCCUCACAACUGGUCCAUGAUGAUGGCAGGCUAAGGAAUGUCACCCUCAUUCCACUUAGAAGCAAAGCAGUGCUCGAAUAGAAAGAAGGGCCUGCCCCGUGUCACGUGGUAAGGAGACGGCAUGGCAAAGACUUGUCUCGUGUUCUUAUGCCUGCACCGUGUUUCCUGUUUGUCUUGAAGCUUCCGCCUGGCAAGUAAAACAUGUGUGUCCUCACCUCCUCCAUCAGAGGAUGGUAGAGGGCUGGUGUUUAAUUAGUAGUAAAUUGUGUGAGCCAUAAUGUUUGGUGAUUAGUGGGGUGAUGCGUCAGUCCGUUCCUGUUCACAGCCAAAUUAUGAACUGGGGCACCAUGAUGGUUAACAGCAUUGAAGAUUUCCAGCUUCUGACUGUUCAUUCUUGCCUGUGUACUUUCACUUAUUUAAGGCAACAAAGAACUAAUGAUUCUUGAAUAUUCAAUAUGUGUCAUGCUUUGUGCUGGACGCUGAUCUGUAGAGGUGAAUCAUAAACCGAGGGUUGGAAAGGACUUUAAAAUUUAUGUAGGAUACCCCAUCUUCCCUCUCAUCCUUCAGUCCUUCCUCUGAUAUUCUUGUCAGGUGAUAAGUCCAACUAUCCCUGACAAUUUUAUGUGGUAUUUUAUAGUCGAGAGUGGUUGCUCCAAAGGCGAUAUAAUCUUUAAUGUGUAGAGAUAUACACAAACUGUUUGUGACUUCCAUCGAUGGUAAUUAACGCAUCUACUAAGUGGCCUUCUGAAAACUAAACCCUCCUCUUAAAUUUAUGUUUUCUUCUUAGAGUACGUUUCUUGGGUUGGCUGUGCAUGGUCUUGAGAGAGAUUACGAGCUCAUUUGUCCUAAAAUUUUUUCUUAUGUGAUUUGGGGCUGCCUAUCUUGAUUCUGGAGAUUGAAUAUUGGGGAAAGAAGCCUGUGCCAUGUUCUUUCUUUUUGAUUCCAUUUUGGGGACUAGAGUUAUACCUAUAGGAUUAUUCAAAUUCUGAGCCGUGUAGGACCGUGUUCCUGCACAUGGUGUUUGAAACCUAUUUAUACUUUCUUAGAACCACAGAAUCUUCAAGUGGGAAGGCACCAUAAAGAUCUUUUAAAUAGCCCUGAGAUCAAGAGCUGUGUCAGAUUUUUUUCUGUGUCUCCUCUUGCUGAAGUUCAGACACCUAGCCCAAUGCCAGGUGACCUCCAUAAACGAGUGUUCUACUGAAUGGGAUGUAUCAUUCUUAGUGCUUUCUUUGCCUCUUAUUCAACCUGUUCGGUCUUUGGGAGAAGGUGUGCGGACCCAUUGAGUGUGAUGGACGAGUAAAUCAUGGGGUUUUGUUUUUUGCCCUCCACUAGGGUUUUAGCUGUGUUUAGAUUUAAGAAUGCUGAGUAACUAAUAAAAAGCGAUUCCAAAGCACUCUGCAGAUGGAAAGUGCUUCAUGUGUAAUAAAUAAUAAUGGUCUCUCAAGAUGAGGCACGGCCACAGAAAGAAGUGCUGAUCUUGCAGGCUGUAGAAACGUCUGAUAGAACUUCCAGUGGAAGACUGAAAUGGUGGCUAUUGACCCUUUCAUACUUCUGUAACUAGAACCUUUAUCUCUAAGUCACUGUAUAGUCCUCAUUGUGGGCAAAGUUUACUUUCCAAACUAUCUACAAAUUAAUCCUUACAGUUAUCUUUAGGACAGGGAUAGAAGGAACACCAUGAAAAUUGGAGGCAAGCCUUCCCUUCAAGACUUUAGUCCAGUGCUUUCUGUAUUCUGUCCUUUCCUCAACUACUACUUCUUUUACAGCAUCUGCAGUCACCUCUAUUCUCCAGAGGCUGAAAUUGGCACCUUUCUCCAAAGGAUUCAGUGGAAUGGCCAGGGCCCUUCCUGGCUUUGGACCGUGAGGUUCAGAGUAAACAUCAUUUGCCUCUGUAGACUGCAUUUCCCUAGAUACCCUCUCUGUUUUCACGGAGAGACCCUCCUUUCCCUCUUGGGAUUGCAUCCAGGGAAUGGCCUGCCUUUCCUUUGUCCUAGAGUGUGCGUCAGUCUGAUUUAUAUUUGGUGACGGUAUGGUGACUGUGCCAGGAGCCAUGAACUAUGCUUUCACCUGGGUUAAUUCCACCUUAUUUAAGUGAGUGAACUGAAAUAUAAACAACAUCUUGCUCUUUUUCCUGGUGACUGUAAAAGCUUCUUUCUUCUCCGUAACAGCGACCCGCUCUAGCUGGGCGUUACUCAUUCAAUCAGUAAAUAUUUAUUGGGCACUUACUAUAUUCCAGGAAUGCUUCUUGGUGCUGGUCAGUGACCAAAACAAAGUCUUCUCGAACUAACAUUUGAAGGACUUAACAGAAGUAUGGUUUUCAUAAAAUGACUCGACAGAAGUGGGCUUAAAGAAAUAAACACAGCAAGCAAAAAACACAGCAGUUUCUUUCCUCCUACUCUUUCUCUCAUCUUCCAUUUUUUUCCCCCUCUUCAUCACCUGAGUCAAUACCCUUUAUUCUCUCACCCUGCCUUACCAGGACAUCCAUAUUUUCUUCUCAAUCCCUCCUUUGUCUCUUCUUUGUUUCCACUAGUGCUUUGCAUGUGGAGUUGAAGCAGAGGAAGCUUCCUGCUUCCUUAAUGCCAGCUUCAUAUUCCUUCCCUACCUUCACCCCCAGACACGUAAGGUGUGUAGAUACCACGUUGGGAACCAGGAUCUGGAGGCGAGAGGGGCCAUUGGCCCUGGGGCUUCUGGGCACUGCAUUGUCAAGAUCCUGCUGAAGACAUGGAUGUGGCCCAGACCUGCCCCGGCAUGUUGUCAGCUCAAAGGAGUUUCUCUCAGGACGUCUUCCUUAUUCUCUCCUCUCGCUUAAUUUUUAUAAAGAAAUGUAUAAUGUGAUGCCAAAUAGGAGCUCAGUAAAUUGUAGUUUCUUUCUCUUCUCUGAAAUCCCACGACUCUUUAUCUGGGCUUGUUGACCUAAUGGGGCUUGGCCUUUGGUUUCUUUUUUCUUUCUUUUAAAUGUUUAUAUAGUUUUGAGAGAGAGGGAGAGAGAGAGAGCGUGAGCAGGGGAGGGGCAGAGAGAGAGGGAAACACAGAAUCUGAAGUAGGCUCCAGGCUCCCAGCUGUCAGUGCAGAGCCCAAUGCAAGGCUGGGGCUUGAACUCAUGAACUGUGAGAUCAUGACCUGAACCGAAGUCAGGUGCUCAACUGAUUGAGCCACCCAGGUGCCCCUGGGUCUUUGGUUUCUUGAUGAUUGUGCCCAUUGCUUACCUUUGUGGGAGCAUGUACUAUGUCCGUCCAUGUGUGUUAAAGUGUGUUAAAUGAACUAGGGGUGGAGGGACCAUUUUCCUCCCAUGAAAACUAAUUCCUUGUUUUGCGACGAGGAUCUUGCUGCCACACUGAAUGCCCAGAAUCCUAGACUUUUAGAAUUCAGCUCACAUGCAGAGAGCUGACCUCUGUAAUGACCAAGUAUUUGGAUUUCCAAUUCACUUGGAUUUCUACUCAGUUCUGAGGUUUGCAGGUGCCUGACCAUCCGUGGGCUGUUGUCGUCCUAAACUAGGUAUUUGGGGAUGGGGCUAAUGAUAACUCCUUAGUAGAUACUAGGUGGUAUCCUGUGGGAUAGAUCUUUUCUUUUCUGCCCCAGUGAUCUCAACCUCUGACUUUAUGCCUUAUAUCUAGCCUUUUGUGUCUGCUAGGAUUGUAGCCCUAGAUCAUGCACGGUUAGCGUAAUAACUCAUGGUUAUUGCACAUGUACUACAUGUCAGGCACUGAGUACAUUGCUUUCCAUACCGCAUUCCAUUUAAUUCCCAAAGCCGGACUGUGCGGUCGGUCCUAGCGUCAUCUAUAUUGGAUGGAGGCGGGAACUGAGGGUUAGUGAGGUCUUAAGUAACUUGUCCAAGGUCACAUGACGUGUGACGGCAGGGUCAGAGUUAGAGGCCAAGUCUGUCAGAUGCAGCUUUUGAUCUCUUAAUUACUUUGCUCACGCCUGUUUCCUCUCCUGCCCUUCUCUGCUCACCGUGUGUGGUUCGCAUGUGAGAACGAAGGACCACGCAGGUGGCUGGGAGGAAUGCUUUGUCCUCACCUCUUUUUCCCAUUGGCACCUGCAGCCAGAGCCCGUGAGUGUGUGCUGUGCACUUCUGACCUCUCACCAGGUUCUAAAUUGGCUCUCAAGGCUGACUUUGCUGACAAGCACUUUCUAGUGGCUUCAUUGUUUUUCAUGGUUUACUUGGUUUAUUACCAGCUAGGGACAGCUUGACAUUUGCUUUCCUGCCUGCUGGAUUCCGACCUCCUCUAGUCGUUCCUCUGCACUUCGCAAAGACUCUCUGACCACAUGAAUUGACAAGAGAGUACGUUUCUGCGUAUCGGCGAGAACACGAUGUGUUACAACAGUGUCUAGAGGCAUGCUUGCGAAUUUGGGAGAAGUCAGUGAAAAGAGAGUGAGGUUUAGAGAGAGGCGUGGCCUGCACAUCUUCUCGAGGAUGACGGUGGGACCAGCUUAGCCGCUUGAAAUCAUCAUGCUCUUCAGGGAACUGCCUUAGCCUGGGCCGCUCAUAUUAUUGGUGCUUAGCAUUUUUGUAUUACUUUACAUUUGCAAAGUGCUUUCCAGUGAUUUAUUAGCUGUUCUUGUUUUUAAUAGCCCCUGGAGGUAAGUUGAUAUUCAGCCUUCUGAGAACAUAAAUGCAGAAAGAAGGCUCAUCUCAUCAGAUAUUAUUGGAUCUGGGGUCAGGACUCUGAACUCCUGGGAUAAGGCCAUUUGGGGUCACUGCCUCAUGAGGAUUAAUAGGAGAUCAAGUGGACUUAACUUCAGCUCCCAGAGUCUCUAAGGCAGAAGCGGAACGGUGGCAGCUAUUUAAGGAAAUCGCACAGAAGCCAUUGUCACAAGAGCUGGAUUCCAGUCCUAGCUGCUGUUGGCCAGCUGUGUUGACCUUGAACAGCCACGUUGCCUGUUUCUGUUUUGGAAUCACACUGUGGUACAACAAGGGUUAUUCCCCCAGUCCAUUUAGGUCCAACAUUGUGUGAGAUAGUGUUCUGUGACUUGGGACUCCUUCUCCGGAAGGGGUGGCCAAUGAACCGUAUCGCAGGGAACAUCGGGGGUGUGGAUUAAAAAGUUGCUCACCUUCCCUUUUCCCGGAUGCAAGGACUCACUGACAAUGACAGUGCCUUCAGACUCAUUUUAAGAAGCACACACUCCUCAUUCCCGUUAAAACCGAAAGGGUGAGUGGGGCUGCUGGAGGGAAGUCAGACUGGAGCCAAGAUCAUCAAUCCUGUAUCUUCUGGGUGUUGUAGAGAGUAAUUAGCAGGCUUGAUUAUCUCACUGGUUCAACACACGUUUUAGGGAUGUGAUGUAAUGCGAGGAAACAUUUAGUUGUCAGAUUUUAGGGCUGUAUCAAAUUUAUUCUUGCAGGAAAAGUCUAGUUGUCCUGGAAACCUGAAAUUGAUUUUCUUUUUGCUCUUGUCAGCUGAAACUGGUCCCCUUUGAAUCAUUCCUCUAAUUUAAUAUAGAGAACUGUAUGUCCCCACCUGGUGACCAAAUCGUUCUUAAUGACAGGUAACCCCAGCAAAUGGUUCCUCUUUCAGACCUGGGCCAGAAGCUAUGGUUUAUUGCUGCCUUCACCCUAUGCCGCUCGCUUUGUGCUUAUUUAUUUGUCUGUGGAGGCAGGGGUAGAAGUAAAGUGGCAUUCAAUUAAUUAAGAGUUUAAUCAGGCCUGUAGAGCAAUGAUGUAAUGGGCAGCCAAUCAGGACCUUUCCUUUUCAGUUACCUCCUGGCAGGGAUGGGAUUAGAAUGGGCUCCAGGAUUGGGAGCUGUUUUUUGUUUUUGUUUUUGUUUUGUUUUGUUUUGUUUUUUUUUUUUUUUUUGGGAGGGGAUGCCCGGCAUUCUGUAACCUGGGGAGGGUGAUGUCGUGGCCCAGAUGUCAGAGGGCAAACGGAGCUGCAUAGCUGAUGAUCAUCUCUAUCAAGGGAAGGGGGAUGAUCUUCAAACUAGGGGAGGAGGAAUCAACAUCAUUCAGAAGAAACUGAUGUCUACAACAGUGGUGGAGGUCAUGUGUAGGCAGUGUGCCCGGCUAACUGAUUGCAAAGGUUGUGGACCACACACACACUGCAUCUCAGGAUCCAGAGGACGGUUUCUGACGGUGACCGUGGAACUGCUGACAGGAAUUUUGAGGAAACCUGGAAAUCAGCAGAAAUGCCAGAAGUGAGAGAUGAGGAAACAGAUAUCGGUUCUCCAAAAACAAAACAGAACAACAACAACAACAACAAAACCCCCCAGAAGACCGGGUAUCUGGAGUCUAGAAUCUGCUGACUCUAUUGUGAUUCCCGGUCCCAUUUAGACUGGCUUAUUAGACAGGUGAUUUGUGCAUCUUUUAAAGGAAGCUGUGUUCACCAGGAGCCAGAACAGGGUCACUUAGCUACUGCCCCAUGUGUCUGGGUAACCCGCUGGUGGAUUAGAGUGACAUCCCAGAUGCAGUGUGGACAGUGCAGCCUUUGGAGUCAGAUUGUCUGGUUUUAAAUCCUCUGCUUAGUAGCCACUUGACCUUAGGCAGGUUGCUUAAUUUCUGUGACUCAGCUCCCUCUUUUAUAAAAUGGAGCUGAUGAUGGGACCAAGGAAGGACGUGGUGAAGGCUGAAGGAAAUACUGCCUGGGAAGUGCUUACAACCCCGUGCAUAGCUAAGCAUCCAAUAACAGUUGUAUCCUUACUCAUAGUAGGAAGGCAUUUGAAUUUAGUAUGGGUAAGAUGGAGACCUAUAAACUGGAUUGUGAAUCAGGCAGUGGAUGAAUUUGUGGGUCCGUGAAUGAAUGCACGCGCGUUAGUAACGUGCGUAGGGAAAGGCCAAUUUUUUGAUGGGGCAAGCUUCAAAAUUAUAUUGCGAGGAUGUAGAGAUGGGCAGUUUGUGGCUGUUUUGUCUUGUUUUGUUUGCAACUUACCAACCCCUGUUCUACUCCUCCAUCCUUUCUUUCACCCAGGAAGUAACUAUCCUUAAAAUUGCCACAUGUAGGCUUCUGAUUCUCUCUCCUUUCCCCUCCCUCCUCUCACACUUGCUCUCUCUUAAAACAAAAUUAAAAAAAAAAAAAUUGCUACAUGUUGGAGCGCCUGGGUGGCCAAGCUGGUUGGGAGUCCAACUCUUGAUUGUGGCUCAGGUCGUGAUCCCAGGGUCCUGGGAUUCAGCCCCACAUUGGUGCUGAGCAUGGAGCCUGCUUGGGAUUCAUUCUCUCUCUCUCUCUCUCUCUCUCUCUCUCUCUCUCUCUGCCCUCCCCACCUAAAAAAAUUAAAAAUAAAAAAAAGUGGCUAUGUGUCUAGUUUUCCCCCAUAGAUUUCUACUUCUGUAAAUAUAUAUUUAUUUUUUGGUUAAACAAACCUCAAAAAUUAUUUUUACAAAGUUUACAUUCUUUGUGCUUUCAUAACAUACCUGGAUUUUCAAAAGAAAAAUAGUCCCUUGGAGCUACAAACCUAUGUUUGACUUCUAUUUAAUCAUCCUUCUAUUCACAGGCAGAGUAGUAACUGUACUGUUUUCCCUUCCCGCUGUGGCCCUUCAGAGGCCUUUCUUUCUUUCUUUCUUUCUUUCUUUCUUUCUUUCUUUCUUUCUUUCUUUCCUUCUUUCUUUGUUUUCUUUCUUCUUUUCUUUCUUUCUUUCCUUCCUUCCUUCUUCCCCUCCUUCCUUCCUUCCUUCAGCCCUUGUACCUGUCCCUCCCUUCCCUUCCCAUCUGCUCCCUUUCCUUUCCUCCUUCCUUCGCUCCCUUGCUGUCUACCUUCCUAUUCUUCUUACUUUCUUUAUCUUGCCUGUAGCUUAAAUUGGGUCUUAGUGACCAGGCAUUUACAUGAUUCAAUAGGCGUUUGGAGCGUCAGGGUCCAGCUACUGAGUGACAGCUCCGACUUGUCAGGUCUCCACCAAUAUGCUUUCUUGGCCUUGUUUCCUUGUCUCAUGCGCUGGAGGUUGUGAUACCCUUGUGCAGCCUUAGGAGGCCAUGUUGGAGCAGGAGCGACACAUGUCUUACAUGGUUUCCUGUCCCGUUUGCAGGGUGAGAGGAGGUUGGUUUGCAUACACAUGCACAUUCCUGGGGCUUAUGGAGGAGUAGGUUUUAUUUUGGUGGGGUGCCCCUGAGCGCAGAUAGCUCUGAGGAUCUGUCACGAGACUCACCAUGUGUCGUUCUGGCCUCCCCUUGUCCUUAAUGUAAGUGACAUCCCUGCACAGAGCCCCACCCAAUCUGGCUUCAGGCUACCAUUCCACCUGCACCCUGACUCCUCCCUAUCUAUCUCCACCCCAUGGGGAGGGCCAUCUUGCAUGCCUGGCUCUUCUAGGCACCUCCCUCCAUACCCAGCUCAAAUUCCACCUUCUCACAAACAUCAGCUUUCCCGCGUGGAAUCAGUCUCCCUGCUCCUAUAUUCUCUUUCCCAUGGUUCGUAUUUUCAGAAACAUUUUCACAGAUCACCUUGUAUUUUAUUUUAUUUAAAAAAUUUUUUUUUAAUAUUUACCUAUUUUUGAGACAGAGAGAGACAGAGCAUGAACGGGGGAGGGUCAGAGAGAGGGAGACACAGAAUCUGAAACAGGCUCCAGGCUCUGAGCUGUCAGCACAGAGCCCGACGCGGGGCUCGAGCUCACGGACUGUGAGAUCAUGACCUGAGCCGAAGUCGGACGCUCAACCGACUGAGCCACCCAUGAGCCCCAAUCACCUUGUAUUUUAAUGGGUGGUAUCUUGUAUUUUAAUGGGUGGAUGAAAGCUUGCAAGCUUUCAUCUCCAGAGGGCAAGCAUCUCAGCUGUUGGAGCCCUGCUCAGUGGCUGACAUUUUUUGGCACUCCAUAAAUAUAAUUGGAGUAAUAAGGAGGUCUGAGGGGCUGGAAAGUUAACUGCAGUUAGCCCCAGAGCUAGAAGGGCCCAUGGGAACUGGUUUAGGAGCCUGUUGCUUUUUUAUUUUAUUAUUACUAUUAUUAUUUUUUGAGAGAGAGUGGGGGGGAGAGAGAGAGAGAGAGAGAGAGCGAGCGAGCAUGGGGUGGGGGGCAGAGAGACAGGGAGAGUGAGAAUCUCAAGCAGGCUCCAUGCCCAAUGCAGAGCAUGACGUAGGACUUGGUCUAAGGGCCCUGAGAUCAUGACCUUAGCCAAAAUCAAGAGUCAGAUGCUUGAACGACUGAGCCACCCAGGCGCCCCCAUUGGAGCAUGUUGCAUUUAUGGUCAACUCUCAGCUUUCCUUCAGGUUUCUUCUUAAUCCUGUGUCUCUAGAGGCGGAGGGAAAGGUGGUGCUUGGUUAAGAUGCUGGUGACAUUCCCAGAGAGAUGAAGUCAGAAUCUCUUCUCCCAGCCCUCAAGUUCUAGAAUAUCAACUUGCUUCUGUUGGAAAAGCUCCCCUAUUGAAGAGGAGGGAGCGGAUUCCAUGAGAACCUCCGAAUUUCUAACUUUGAUUCUGAACUUCCUUGAAGAAGACUUUGCAGUCGCCCCCGUUCCAGGGAAGGUGGCCAUGCCCAGGUGCCGCGUUUGUGAAACCGAGUUGCGUUCCAGCCUCAUCUUGUGACUCCGACCUUGGGGAACCGUCCAGGGACAGGCUGUGCUCACAUGGCGUGCUUGACACUUCCCACCGUCACUGUGGGACCUUCACUCGACUGCUGCUUGUCAAGCAGGUUUCCACGACUCACAGUUCAGACCCUGCGUGUACUGCUGAACGUUGCUUCCUAUGACUCAUGCCCGGGAUCACUCCACAUUCUAUGGAUAGGAAAUUAGGCGGAAAGAAAGUGUGUGGCGCAGGGGAAAGGGAAUGAGAGCACACCUAGGACACCUGGUUCUGGUCCUGAUCUGCCGGAGACGUGCUGUGUGUUUCCACAUCUGUAAAAUGGGACACUGAUAAUUAUUAGGAAGGGUUGUUAUAACCAAGAUUAACUGAGCUUUUCUAGGGGAAGCAUCUGGCGGAAUCUUGAUACAUUUCAACAAUAGCGUAGCUGAGUGAAACCGUAUCCAGACUUGGUUAUGAGCUGGGGCCCCAACAGCCGUUUGAAUGAGGAGGAUUUAUAGAACUUCAGUGAGACUGAGUUACUAAACCUGUUUGAGUACCAGUUUAAAUGGGUUUUGUCUGGGAUUAAAUAGACCUUGCCUGCUCACUUGUAAAGAUCAGAGGAUGUUUGGGGUGCCUGGGUGGCUCAGUCGGUUAAGCAUCUGACUUCGGCUCAGGCCCUGAUCUCCUGGUCCAUGAGUUCGAGCCCCACGUCGGGCUCUGUGCUGACAGCUCAGAUCCUGGAGCCUGCUGCAGAUUUGUGUCUCCCUCUCUCUCUGCCCCUCCCUCAGUCAUGCUCUCUCUCUGUCUCUCGAAAACGAAUAAACAUUUAAAAAAAAAAAAAAAAAGAUUAGAGAAUGUUUAUAGAAGGUCUACCAGAGUGGUAUUUCUCAGCACCUGGCCCAGGGUUUGACACUCACCACUGCCCCGGCCUCUCUGGAAUGACGAUGUGCUCUGUGGUGGCAUGCCUCAGUGGUGUUGACUAAAUGUCCUCUCUGUGACCACAUUUCCUAUCUCUCUGUCUAGAAACCAGAUCCGUAGAACAGACCUCGUUAUGGAGUUGCCGAUUUUGGAAGGAUAGAGGCCAUAGCAUGUAUGGAGAAGUGUAGCCUGUGUGGUGAGGGUAUUGAAUAGAUUUAUAUGAAACACUAUUGAAGACUCUGCAGUAUUGUCCCCAGAGCAAGAUGGAUUGGGGAGGGGAGGGGAGGGGAGGGGAAGGUUGAGAUUGGUGAUGGAGAGAAGAGUCCAUGCUUGUCCAGGGUGCAGGGUGCAGGAGGCCAGGCCUAGACCAGGACAGUGGCAGGUGACAAUGGGCAAGUGGGGUUGGUGGGAGAGGCGGAGUAGAAGAAGGGGGAUGGGCACUCAGAGACCCGAGGCAGAGGUGGGGGUUUCUGGUCACAGCACUGGGUGCAGAGGCAGGAGGCAGUACAGGAACCACUUAGGAUAUACUUGCAGUGCUUUGUAGGAUAAGGGAGAUAGGGACUUUCUGUUGUCACCAUCCUUCUAGGUAAAUGAGGGGAUAGUCUCAGGUGUGUGUGUGUGUGUGUGUGUGUGUGUGUGUGUGCACGCGAGCCCAUGUGGGCAUGAAUGUGUAUUAGUAACAGGACCAGAGGUCAGGGUGUGUGUGUGUGUGUGUGUGUGUGUGUGUGUGCGCGCGCGCGCGCCCAUGUGGGCAUGAAUGUGUAUUAGUAACAGGACCAGAGGUCAGGGACUUACCCAAGGCCAUACAGCUGGGAAACAUCAUUCAUUUGCUUAAAGUGCUGACUUUAGUAAUGACUGAGAGUGAUUGAAAUGGGCAGGGGGAGUCUGUAGGGAAAGAACCUUGGCCCCAUUUCCUGCUCCCCCCCAGGCAGGUCAUGAGUAGGAGUUUUAAGUUUCACUGUUUGAUAGCAUCACCUCCUCUGCUUUCCCAGAAGUUAUUCCUCGAAGUAUGACUCGAAUCGUUACUCUGUUGGGAGAUGCCUCACUUCAGAGCAGACUUUCUGUUCUGGUUGUUUACUAAAGCGAUUCAGGGGCAGCCAGGACCAGGUGGAGAGAAUAGGGCAUUGGGUGCUAGAGGCCUGAACCUGAGUGCCGGCUCUGCUUUUAGAGACCUAUGAGAACUAGGUGGGUAGAAAAAAUACGUCUUAGUGCCUUGGCUUUUUCCUCCUGUAAAUCGGGGGAUAACAAUUUCCACUUGAUAAAUUUGUUGUGAUGAUGCUGUGCAAAUUUCGGUGUUGGUCAUGGUCACAGUAAAGAUGAAGGGAUACUUGGCCUUGGGUCCCAUUUCCGUGUGUGUGACCUAGUAGCGAGAGGAGGGUGGUGCGUAUCUCUGAUAGUAGGGAAUGCCAGCCUUUUCUUUCAUGGGGGUCCAGGGGCGGGUCUUGGAACAUUGUGGUCAACUAAUGACUGUAGAAUCUACUGACUGGUUCUCCCCUGCCUGGGCUAGCCACGACGCCCGCAGUCCCCUGAGCCCCAGCUGUGUCCUGAGGAUCUCCUAGCUCCUGUGUUAUCUUGGGAGAAUUUCUGAAUGUCUAGGCCUUUGUUCUGCAAAAGGAGGAAACAGCCAGCUUGGCUUCACGUCCAUGAUGAGGAUUUGCUGAUGAAAGGGAUAUGAAGAGCCUUUGUAAGUUCCAUUGAACUCUUUGUAUUUUUGGAGCCCAUUUUCUCGCUCUUCUCCCUUCUUCUGUGGCUGUGGCCAAGGUUUGGUCUUGAAAGGAUAGACUGGUACAGAGGCAGAAAUGAGGGCUGAUAGCAGAAAGUGACUUUUCAAAGCCUGGAGCCUCUGCCCACUCUUUUCACAGCAUGCCAAAUUCCACUGUGCAGUGUGAACCUGACUUGUCCAUUCCUCAGACCUACUCAGAGGGAGACAGAAGCUUCUGGAAGGACUUCAGCUCUUUGAAGUCAUGGCAGGGGUGGGAGAAGUCUCUAGUGUGGCUACUGCUGAGUGUGUUGAGGUUCCCAUUCACUUCCCUUCUUGUCCAGCAGUGACUAGUUACUUGGGUAUUUGGGUUUUGGGUGAGUCAACAGGCCCAUGAUCCAAAGGACCUGUGGGCUGCUGGAAUUAGUCAGAAGGCAAAACUGCUCGUCCUGACCCCAGAGCCCAUGUACUCUGCAUGCAUGAGAAAGUCAUCUCUGACCCUCCAUUGCCUUAUCCAUGGUAACUUCCGGAGAAUAGGACUUUCUCUCUUACUGAUUCACAGUGUUCAUAUGGAAACCAAAAGACAGAAGACUUUUUUUUUUGUAAAUUAUAUUGUUAUAUUUAUAUAUCAUUCGUGUCUGCCACUUAAGACAGGCAGUGGACUUCUCUUUGCUCCCUCCCAGAGAAAAUGUAUUGAAACCAAAAAAGAAAACUGGUUUAAUUUCUGAGGACAGUUGGUAAACAGUCCAGUCUUUUUUAAUUUGGUGUCUGAGGUCUCUGACCUUAAACCUGGACCAUUUCAAAUAUAUAUUGGGGAUACUUGGUAAGAGGGGACAAUGUGAAUCAAAGCACAAGGUCAAGGAUUUCAGGUUACCACUUGCCUUAUAUCCACCUUGGUUCAGUUCCUCCUAGACACUGGGGCUUGGGUUCCCCCUUUUUUAUGUAAAGAAAAGGUAUAGAGACGUGAUUGUUGGGCUCCAGAAGGUCCCUGUUUAGGAAACGGAGGCCUGAUAAGGCUACACAUUGAGGAAAUAGCAAAAACUCAGGACUAGAAGCUGGUUCUCUGGACCCUCAAUUCCCUGCUCUUUCUGACACGUCAUUCUUCCCUCCUGUCAGGUGGAGAGAGGAGCCAGAUGGCUUGACAAAUGGUUCUUGUCGCUGUCAAAUCUGCCUUCUCUUUUUGCUCCGACACAGUUCUUACCUUCCCUUUUUUGAGGGGGGGGUGGAUUUGGUGGGGUGAGCAGUGAGGAGGGGAUGUGGAUGAAGGAAGAAAAAGGUUUUAUUGCCUGGUCCUUUAUGUGGCCGAGAUGACCAAUAAGUUCUUGUUUCUCUGUCAAGAAGCAGAGCUUAGGCAAUGAGUAAUCGUCACCUUGAAUUUAAAGCACAUAAAGGCCUAGAAAUGGCAGGCUGUAUUAGGAGACAACAUUGAUUUCAUAUAUAUUCAUCUUUAAAAAAACAUGUUUAAGAUGCCAUAUCCAUAAAUACUAAUAAGGCUGUCUGAUUCCAAUUUUCAGGUGAGAUUAGCAUUUUAUUGAGUAUUUUAUCUGUCAGAUUCAAUACUCGAUGUACCAUCCUCCCAGGCUUAUUAGCAUAAUUGCUGUGCUUAAGCAACAAUAAAAAAUUCAGCAAUAAAAUAGCAGUUAGUGCAGGCAAUUUGUUAUCAAAAGCUUUUACUUAAGGACAGCUCCAGCCUGCAUUUAUUAUCAAGUUAGGGUUAUAAUUUAUUUUUAUUUGGAAAAACAAAAGGGGGGGGAAAGAUUUUGCUUUUUUGUUUUGGAAAUAAUACAGAAUUAAAAAGCAUUGCCUCUUUGGAACAUUGGCCACAUCCCUCCUUCCUUUGCUGAAAGCGGCCUGUGAUAGAAUAGACUCCACUCGUGAGGCUCAUUGGCUCAAAAAGUCACUGUCUUUGGCAUUGGAAUAAAGGGCUGGUAACGCCCGUUUGUGUCUGCACGGGUGUCUGAAACACUCUCACGGCUCUUUUGUUGCUCACGUCUCACACCUGUCCUGUGAGGGCUCCAUUCUGAGAAUAGAAGAGUUGAAAUGCUGUGUUCCAGAUGAAGAAGGGCAGAGCUAAGCUGUGAGACCCAGUCUUUCAGCCCCCAGGCCUGGCUCAGUAUCGCGACCCUUCACACUGUUGUCCAAACAUCCUGGUGUGGGCGCUCUUUCUUCUGCCCUAGGAUGGGUGGUAUUCAUGCCAGCUCUUUUUCAUGUAUGCAUGUGUGUGCAUGUGCGUGUGCACACGUGUACCUGCAGACAUCUGUACAUGCACACAUCUAUACAUACACACACCACACACAUCAUUCAUACAUAUACCUGCACAUACACGUGUAUACAUACACACAUCUGCACACGCAUGCAUCUGUACAUAUACACACACCUACACACACAUCUAUACCUGCACACAUGCAUCUGUACACACACCUGUACACUCACACAUCUAUGUAUACACACACCUGCACACACAUGCAUCUGUACAUAUACACACACCAAUACAUACACAAACCUGUACACACGCACACAUGUACACAUUUAUACAUGCACACACCUGUGCACACAUGCUCACACCUGUACAUAUACACCUGUCUACACACAUACACCUAUGCAUGGAUAUACCUGCAAACAGCUAUACAUAUACACACUUGAACACAUACAUCUAUACAUAUACAUACCGGAACACCUGCACACAUCUAAACAUACCCAUGUGCACACACACACCUAUACAUACAUACACCUGUAUACACACACACACAGACACAUAUACGUGGAUGUACCUGCAUACAUCUAUACAUGCACGUAUCUGCACAGGCAUACAUCUGCACACACACACAUCUAUAAUGCAUACACCUGUAUAAUGCACACAUCUAUACAUAUAUGUCCUGUAUACACACACCUAUACAUGGAUAUACCUGCAUGCAUAUGUACAUAUACACACCUGCACACAGACAUCUAUACAUACACAACCUGCACAUGCACACGUCUAUACAUAUACAUGCAUCUGCACACGCACACAUAUAUACACACACACACCUGUGCAUACACACACCUAUACAUAUACACAGCUGUGUAUACACAGCUAUACAUACAGGCAAAUUUCCCCCCAAAUUUAAUGAUAUACUCUUGUGGCUGUUUUUCCUUUGAUGUCCUGAUUGAAGCAAUUCUGCCAUGUGAAUUUUCUCUUGAUGGCAAAUGUCUCCCAUUUCUUGCAUUUACAGUCUCUCUCACUCAUUCUCUCUUUCUCUCACUAGUGACUGACGUAGGAAAGCACUUGUGAUUACCAUCUGUGAAGGACCUGGCACAAAAUAAAUGAUUUUGCAAGUAAUGUGGCGGUCUUUGUAGAGAAGGCAGAGAUGAGUUUUAAAAGUGUGGAGACUGGGAAAUCAUUUUUCUUUAUUUCUUAUGGAAUGUCUCAGAAAUAAAUAAGAACAUUACAUUGAGGCUUCUCGGUGUGUUUUAGGCUUCAAUUACAGGUAAUAUGUUUCAAACCGAAGAUAAAAUUUGGGGUGAAAAUGGACCAGUGAAGCUCCCAGACUUUCAGAGAAGCUAUCUUAACAUUUUAGAUUUUCUUUCCUUAGUAAGUUCAGAGAAAGAGCACAUAAUCAUUGACUCUGAUCGUCUCUAAUGUGCACGAUGCUGGGCUGCCUACUGUGGUGUUUAUAGAUUGUAUCAGGGCUGUGAGACUCAGGACAUGUUUAGGUUAUUAGGAUAUUAACUACAAAUGAAUAGUGUUUUUGUUUUUGAGCAGCUGUUAUAUGACAGGAACUGUACUAGGGAUUUUUCUUAGAUUAUACCAUUUAAUCUUCAUGUUCCAUUCAAUUAUUUGUGGGGUUAAUUUUCGCUGGGCACUUAAUAUGUACCCACCAUUGUCGGAGCGUUUUAAGUGCAACAUGUCAUUUAAUUUUGGUAAGAAUGCUAUGCGACAGUGGCAGGUACUGUUUUCAUUGGUUAGACGAGGACACCCGAGGCGCAGAGAGAGUAAGUAACCUGUCCAAGUCUCAUAGCUAGCAAAUGGUGGAGCCUCUCUGGUUUUCCUGUCUUCUAAAUACACAUUCUUCCUGCUGCACCACUUGGCAAGAAACGAACGGACAGGUAGGUAGACAGUGCCGAUGACGAUUAGAAGGCUGUGUAGUUUCUUGAUGUCAGGGCUGGCACAAAACCUGGAUGUCCAUAAAGAGCACUCAGCUUGAAAUUGGACAGUGCAAGUCCUGGUAUGCUUCGUAGUGUUUGUAAAAUCCUCAGUUAAAUUUCCUCUUAGAAUCUCAGUGUCUUCCUUUCAAGUACGGAUCAUGCAAUCUGUCUCCCAAUGUCAUUGUGAGAAUAAAUUAGAAGAGAGUCUCCAGAGGUGCCUGGGUCCUGGUGGGUGUUCAGCCAAUGCCGGGAGUGCCUGUGAACAGGCAAUGUUAUGUACUGUGUAGGAAGGGCCACCCGGGCGAGAUUGCCUGGUUUUAAACCCGUUGUUCCACCACACAAUCAUAUUGUGUGACCUUGGGCACACAGCUACCUUUCUCUGAGCUUCAAUUUCCCACCUGUAAUAUGGACUUACCUCAUAGGAUCCUUGUAAGGGCUAAAUAAGUUAAAAAUCAGUGAAAGAAUGAAAGUAAAGCAUAUGCCUGGCAUAGCAAACCCUAUAUAAGUGUUACUCUUAUUAUGAAAUAUAUAUAUAUAUUUAUAUAUGUUAGUGUUAACUCUUAGGGCCCCAUCACACUGCGAUGGGGAAGGCAGGUAUAGAGUUUAGGACUGCUUUAGGACCCUGUCCUAUUUACUCAAGGACAGGGGACCAGUUUAGCCUGGGACAUAGGAGUUGCACUUGUCCAGUCACUAAUGGCCAUGGAGAAGUUCUUUGCUUCUCCAUCCUUGACCUUUGCUUAUCUGCAGAUGGUAGUUGAGAGAGUAAACUUGAGCUGGUAGAGUAUGCGUGGGAGUGGAAUGCUCCAUGUCCUUGAUAAGCUGCUUCCUGGAGAGUUGCCAUGUGGCUGCUGAGGGUUAGUUGGCUGGUCAAAGAUGGCUGGUAGGGUGGUAUUUCCCCUGUGUCACGCAGGCAGGUUCCGACUUCCCUCAGUUUGCGUGUGCCUGGGUUCUGUCCUCAGAGCUGUCCCCCAUUUUCCUUCCCUGUAGGAAGCAUUGAUACACUGGGGCUGCUCUUCCUGAGACCAUUUCUCCUGCACCAGAAGGAGGUGAGUGGGAGUGUGGUAUACCACUUUUUGAAAGGUGAUAUAUUCUUAAUAUAUUUCACCUAACUUCAAAAAAUAAGAAUACACUGAAAGACAAUGUGAACGCCCUGCCGCUGAGGGUAUCUCCAAGGCGGAAGGUUCUUCAGGAUCUUGUGCUUUCUUGGGUUGGUUGUCCUAAGCAGUUUUCCUUACAGUGUGUGUGUGUGUGUGUGUGUGUGUGUGUGUGUGUGUGUGUGUGUGAAGCUUCCAGGAAUUGGUAGGGUUAAUUGUGGGGAUGUUUCUUCAGCUUAUUCAAAAUAGAAACAGAAGGGCAAAAGUGUUUGUUAGUGUCAUUUAAAGAUGUCUUUGUAGGAAAGGAAGUUAAGAUAAUCCCUUAUGUUGUAUACAGAGCUCUGUAGUUCUCAAAGCCAUUAAAAACACAUUUUCUGGGGCGCCUGGGUGGCGCAGUCGGUUAAGCGUCCGACUUCAGCCAGGUCACGAUCUCGCGGUCCGUGAGUUCGAGCCCAGCAUCAGGCUCUGGGCUGAUGGCUCAGAGCCUGGAGCCUGUUUCCAAUUUUGUGUCUCCCUCUCUCUCUGCCCCUCGCCCGUUCAUGCUCUGUCUCUCUCUGUCCCAAAAAUAAAUAAACGUUGAAAAAAAAAUUUAAAAAACACAUUUUCUUAGGUGCCUCUUAUGGCAUCCCUGUGAGUUAGGCAAGGCAGAACUUAUGGUGUCCGUUUUAGAGAUGAUGUAACAGAGGUUCGGAGAGAUGAAGUGAGUUUUCUUAAAGCAGUGGUGGAUGCAAACACAGAACCUCUAACUCAGGGGCUUUCUGCUUCACCGCCCUGAUUUGAGUGUAAUGGGGUCAUUCUUACCAAGCACUACCCGAGUUAGAUAGAGAUGUAAGAAAUCUAAAAAAAAAUGGCUGCCUCUUUUUUGUUCUUUUUCCUUUGGUUAAAAAGUUAACUCUGAUUUGAUAUGACUUGUUUCUCCCCAAAUAUAAAUAGCGAUGAAUCUCUAGGAUUUCUUGUAAACCAGCAUGUGCUUUUCAGAAAUCAAAUGUCAACGUAUUUCCUGAAACUUGGUUUAAUGAAAAAGAGAGGUGAAGGUAAAAGUCUUUUUUUGCAUGAGUUAAUUAGGAAACAGGAUGUGAGAACUUGCUGUGGGAAUUUAAAGAGGAAUACUUGUACUGAUGUGCAAACUCAAUGAGUAUGUUCUGGAGGGUUUCAUGCUGGUAGAGGUUUCAAGUGAAAGAAGUUUUCAUUAAGUAGAUCAGUUGUUCUUGGUUUUCAUGAAAACCUAAUCUGUUCCCUGAGUUGGAUCCAAAAGGGGUAAACUUGUCUACACUGUAAAAAAAAACAAAACAAAACAAAACAAAACAAAACAGAAACACGAGUUGGAAUUUUAGCUUUUUAAAACUAUUUAUUUAUUUUGAAAGAGAGAGAGAACACGUGAGAAGGGGAGAGGGAGACAGAGAGAAUCCCAAGUGCUGUCAGUGCAGAGCCCAAUGUGGGGCUCAAUCUCAGGAGUGGUGAGAUCAUGACCUGAGCCAAGAUCAAGAGUCUGACUCUCAACCGAAUGAGCCGCCCAGGCACCCCCCACAAGGUGCCUUUUUAUCUGGAAGCUUGACUGUGUUUACUGAAUAAUUAAAGAUGCUCUUGAGUGUCAUAAAGACUUCGAGUCAGUGCUACCCUUACUUCGGGAGGUGGGAAGGACUGAGAUUUCUUUGACCAAAGUGUACGAGCCCCUUACACACAUGGCAUUACAUAAGCCCAGUGCUGUAGUAUUAGCUCAUGUAUCAGAGUAUGGGUUAGAUUACAUGUAUUUUGGAAACCUAUUACUUUCCUUCACACUACAUGGUUUCUUAGAUGGCAACUUCUGAGUGAAUUGCUAACUUCCUGACAGCGUCUUGGCUGCUUAAGAAGGAGGCUGAAAGUUUCAGUUUGGACAGAUGACUCUCUUUACUUCUCAUCUUUAAAAUUUUUUUUAAUGUUUAUUUGUUUUUAAGAGAGAGAGAGAGAGAGAGCCAGCAGGGGCAGGGCAGAGAGAGAGAGGGGGACACAGAAUCUGAAGCAGGCUCCGGGCUCCGAGCUGUCAGCACAGAGCCCAACACAGGGCUCGGACUCACGAACUGCGAGAUCAUGACCUGAGCCGAAGUCGGACGCUCAACCGACUGAGCCAGCCAGGUGCCCCUCUUUACUUACCAUCUUUGAUGGUCUCCUAAGUCUACAUUAGUUGGUAAUGUUACUGAUGUGGGUGCUAACAUUGGCUCUGUUUUAUGUCCCAGCUUGUAUGUUUUCAGCACAUAGUUAUGAAUUCUCAAUAUUCAUGAAAAUCUACCAUCUAUGUUUGUCAUAUAAUAAUUAGCCCCAAUGAGGUUAGAAAUGGGAGACAAAAGCUGAUGGGUCUUUCUCUGAGUUUCUCUCACACCUUUAAUUCUGUUGAGUCUGACAUUAAGUUGUUCUUUGUGUGUUGGUAUGAUCUUUUCUGCUAGAUUCUGAAGCCCUGGAAAGCAGGCGUCAUGUCUUAUUAAUCACCACGAGGAUACCCAGCACAUAGUAGGUGCUUAUUACUAAGUUUUUGGGUCAUAUUGUAAGAAGCUGAAAAAGGCAGUUUUUCUUCAGAGACAGUUGUGAGUGUUGUUCUUUUGGUGCGUUCCAAGCUCUGCCUGGCAUCUGGGAGAAGUCAGGGAUACAGAGAGCACGGCUCCUUUGGUAGGGAGCCACAAUCUAGCUGUAUCACGUCAGUGAGAACACGUUGUACACUGGGAAACAAUGCACAGAUGGGUUGUCUUGUUUUAGUUAAUUUAUUAAUUUUGAGAGAGAAACAGUAAGUGGGGUGGUAGGGUCAAAGAGAGAGAGAGGGGAGAGAGAGAAUCUCAAGUAGACUCUGCCCUGUCAGCACAGAGCCCACUGUGGGGCUCAAACCCACGAACUGCGAGAUCAUGACCUGAGCUGAAAUCAAGAGUCAGACACUUAACCGACUGAGCCACCCAGGAGCCCUAGCUGGUUUGUCUUGAAUAGCUUUAAGUUCAGAAUGGCCUAUGCUACAAGACUCUGUCGCCAUCUCCCACAUUCAGGGGUCCCUCCCAUGGGGCCAUUUUCUUUACAUGUGUGAAAGGAUACUCAUGAAUGGGUCAUGGAGGGAAUAAGCAAAUGAUCUUUUGGACUGAAUUUGAAGUAAUUCGCUAUGCUGAUGUAAAUGGGGUCUAUUUUAUUUUUAGAAGGUAGAUUGCUGGAUGGAUAAGCAAAAUGUGGAAUAUCUGUAAAACGGAAUAUUCUUCAGCAAUAAAAAAGGAAGAAAGUCCUGGUAUAAACUACCAGAAGAACGAAUGUUGAAAACAUUACAGUAAAUAAAAGAAGACCAAAGACCACGUGUUAUAUGAUAUGAAAUGUCCAUAACAGGCGGGACCAUAGAGUUUAUUGAGACAGAGAUGAAUGGUUGUUGGCAGGGGUGGGGCAGGACAUAGGGAGAGGCUUCUAAUGGGUACGGGCUUCUUUUUGGGGCAAGAAAAAUAUUCUUAAAUUAGAUUGUGGUAAUGGUGGCAUAACUCUGUAUGUAUACUAAAAACUGAAUUAUAGACUUUAAAUGGACGAAUUGUAUGGCUUGCGAAUUAUAUUUCAAUAAAGCUGUUGAAUAGUAAGUACAUUGUAGGGCACCUGGGUGGCUCAGUUGGUUAAGCGUCUGACUUCGGUUCAGGUCAUGAUCUCACGGUUCGUGGGUUCGAGCCCCACCUCAGGCUCUGUGCCGACAGCUCAGAGCCUGGAGCCUGCUUCCGAUUCUCUGUCUCCCUCUCUCUCUCUGCCCCUCCCCUGCUCACACUGUCUCUCUCUCUCUCUGUCAAAAAUAAAUAAACACUUAAAAGAAAUUAAAAAUAAUUAAGUACAUUGCCUUUCAGUCUGCAGUCUCUGAGGGGUGCUUCGGUGAAUCAAAUAGUGAGUGUUGAGUUUUUAACUCAUCUUGAUUUGUUUGGGACCAAGAAGUCACGCGUACUUAAUAAUGGUGACCACGCCUCAGGAAAAAUGGACAACACCCACAACAACCAAACUGGAAAUCUAUUUCUCCCCGACUUCAUGCACAAUCUUUUUAGGAGCUUUCAAAUUUUAUACUUCCAGAAAUGUUGAUUAGUGAGAUAUCCGAUAAGAAAUAACAGGUUACUGACAGCCCCGAUUGUAUAAAUAGGCAUUUGGGAUUGUGUUCAUGGUUUGCUUGUCAGUACAAGAGAAAUGUGUGAUUAUGUUGAAUGAUGGUUAAUUUCCUUAUCCACCCAUUUUAAAAAUAAAGAUGUACGCCUGGAAGACAGGUGCCCAGGGAAAGAAGGAUCCCCGUAGCUUUGGUAACAAACCCUGCGCAAGAACAGGAUCCUAGUUAGGGGUUGGAAUUUGAGUCCUGGCUGAUUGCAGGCUGUAGCUGAUGAGUUAGGGACCUGCGGCUGUGCCUCACAAAGCAUUUUUCGUUUACUCUAGCUUUGUGUGUGUCAGGACAGUUUCCCACCCCUCNNNNNNNNNNNNNNNNNNNNNNNNNNNNNNNNNNNNNNNNNNNNNNNNNNNNNNNNCCCCCCAAGACCACGGUUCCACCCGCUCGGACCAACUAACUUGUGUCAGCAGAGUUCGAAGAGCAGCCAGUGGAUAUGCGCAGAGGGUGGAGGAAAGUGGCGCUUUCUAGCUUCGUAUGGGAACAGUUCAUACGCAAACACUUCUCUUUGAUUAAGUAUCCGGUGAAACCAAUUCACAUGAACUCCAAUUAAACUUUAAUGAACAAGUGGGUGUAUUAAUAUCAGCUGAGUAAUGCAGGCAAGCACAGAUUCCAGUAAGUGACUCACUUCUCUGAGCAGCUCAUCCCCCAUGCACGGUUGGAGUUACUAGAAAGCUUCCAGCUAUAUUCGAGCGGGUCUGGUCUGGGCCUUGUAAUUCUAGCAAUCCCCGGGCUUGUUAUAAAUCUAGUGACACAACCACAGUCCUCCAGGCCUCUGUUUUCAGAGCAAGGAUUGGGAUGGGGAGACUUGCUCACACUGGGCAGUGAGACCCUUCGUGGGGCAGUGACCACAUGGACGUUUAUUUUCUCCGUUUCCAUUUUUUUUGUAAAGUGAGAAUUCCUUUUCUCCUUAAACCCCAGAGGCCCUGUAGGUGAACGUCAAGGCAGUGAAGGCGGAACCCUUAGUUUUGAACUAAACUUGGCCUCCUGGCUCUCACUUCCCGUCCCUGUCUGCUGUUCGAUGUCAUGCCUACAAGCAUCCCCAUAGUUAUACCAGAGACAGCAAGAGGCGCUUAGAAUGGUGAGCCUUUUUGAGCAUAGAUCCUGUUCCUUCUAGAGAAUAAUUGUAUCUACUUCCUCUAUCUAUUCAUUAAAUGAGAUAAGGUGUAAUGCUCUUGGUUUCCUGCCUGGUGAAUAAUAAGUUUUCAAUAAACGUUAAUUAACUUGCACCAAAGGACUCCGUGGAGAUGAAGGGGGCUCAGUCUUGAUGAUGAAGGAACUUAGACCCUCCUAGAGAUGUGUUUUAUACUUAAAAAAUGGCUUUGUAAUUACCGAGGGUCAAAGAAAUGUCAUUCCGAAGUUUGGAAAAGACAAUGAGCAGAGAAUGAAGAGAUCCCUGAGGUUGGCUACAUCUGAGAAGGCUGGGUCUGGAUCUUUGGCCUGGGGGUCAGGUCAGGGCAAGAUAAGCAUUUUGGAAGGUGCCCUGGGGAUGAACGGAGAGUGUGAGGCCCUGAUGUGCCCAGGUGCACAGUAGGGGGCUGUCAAUGUGGUUAGAGUAGGAGAUAAUGUCUGGGCCUCGGGAGCCUAAUGGAGACUGAACUUAUUAGCCUCUGCCUUGGCCCCCGAGCCUCAGUCCCAGCUUCCUUUGCUGUUCUGUCUGCCUCCUGUUCUUUUGGACCCAUCUAGAACCCAGUUGUAAGUAGUGCGGCAGUCAGGCAGCUGGAGACACAGACUAGGUUGUAGAGUGGGCUUUGUGUCUGUCAGCUCAGACGGCUUGCUGAUUCCGCUUUUCUGAAUCAGCUUCUCUCUUUCUCUCAGAUAACCCCUGCAUGUGACAGCUCCUGGGUAGGGGACUGUGCCUAUAAAAUCCCUGAUCUUGAGUAGCAGGGAGUGUAUGCUUCCAGCGGUCAGGUAAAUCCCAAGCUUGGGAGGAAGCGGCUGAGUGUCCAGUUCCUUCUCUAAACUCCACAGCUGAGUAAUUCACCUGUUCCUCCCCUGCAGACAAGGCCGGUGGAGGGGAGUCCUGCUUGAACACACAAAAAGCAAGGUAGAAAGGUGUUCUGCUCUUAGCAGGCUCCUUGUCCCCAACUCUCCCCCACGUUGCAACAUGGUUCCUUCUGGGGCUGGGGCAGGGGUGGGGGUGGGAUGGGAAGCUGGAAGGCUAGGGCAGGGCCACAGUGUGGGGAUGAGGGACAGUUUUCUCAGCAGAGAAUGCUGUAAUUCAGUCUGUAAUUCGGGCUGCUUAAUCUGCUUGGGAAACACCAAUGGAAGGGCACACUUCUAGAACUCCGAAUGGACCAGCGGGUCUUGGGUCAUGUUGUCAAGGUCUGUGGUGCAAGAAUCAGCCCCCAUUUCAGAGAUAGCAACCACAUGGGAAUGCCAGCCUCUUUGCUUCCCUCCCAGACUUCUUUUUAGGGAAUGUCGCAGGAUAAAGAAAUCCAUGGAGUGAAGGCAUACAUUCAAUAAUGAUAAUGGAGGUGGGGAGAAUCUUACCAAAGAGAUAAAUUCCAUUUUUGGAAUUUUGGAUAAAGCAGAAGGGGUUCUUGCAAAUCAGGAAUUGAAUGGGUUGGUGAUAUAAAUUAGGAACUAUAUGCUGCUUCUAGAAAACAAAGGAAUGUAUAUUAGCUUUACAAUUUUUUUUUAACAUUUAUUUGUUUUUGAGACAGAGAGAGACAGAGCAUGAACAGGGGAGGGUCAGAGAGAGAGGGAGACACAGAAUCCGAAAUAGGCUCCUGAGCCGAAGCCAGACGCUCAACCAACUGAGCCACCCAGGCACCCCUAUUAGGUUUUGUAAAUAUAAGUCACUAGUUGAUUUAGCAAUUAUAGCUAGGUUCAUUAUUUGAGAACUCUCUAGGGCAUUAUUAUUAUUAUUCUUAUACUGCUGAGAAGAGUUUAUUUUACAAAUGAAGAAACAGUAGACAGAUAUAAGGAUCAUUAAGGACACUUGAACUAAGAUUCAUUAGCCACCGUAUUCCUUUGUUUUGUAUUGGGGACUUCAUACUGAGGUGAAACAGUAGGAUUUAUUUAUAGGAGUUCACCAAACAACGGAGUUAUACUUGGUUUUGACAUGACGUCCGAAGAAAUCAGGGAGAUGUAAUUAGUUAAGCUCUCUGCCUUGUUUAGCCAAAGAGAUUUGGCAUAGCAGCUUAGUAGCCAUGAUGGAUUGUACAUCUCUGAUUUGGGGGCCUGUGACAAAUUCCUUCCAACUCAGGAUUUAUCCAGAGCCUAUUGGAUAUGCUCGCUACUUUUACCUCCUGCCCUAUUUUUUUUUUUUUUAAGAUCACAAACUGCAAAUAUUGUGUAGAUUGAUUAACCAGCCUUCCUGUGGUGAGUGCCUUUUUGCAAACCUACCCCUGCAAAACCCAAAUUCUGCCCCAGUGUCUCUGUUUACCUCAUUCCUGGGCUCCUAAGUGGAUCCAUUCUCCUGGAGAUGUUUGACAGAUUAUACUAGCCCUUCUCUUAGAGGCAACUUUCUGGCGCCUUGGGAAACCUCACUGCUACCCCAGCCACUCUUUGGUUCGCCUCUCCUUCUUUUGUCCACCAUGAACACAGGUUAGCUACUGGCCACUUGAUCCUCCUGGGGACUCUUGCCCAGGUACCCUCGGUGGCCUCGAGUACCCAAGGUGACGAUUGCUCCAGACAGUAGUAGUUUUUCAACUUGAGUUUGUAGAUCAGCUUCAGUUAGGGAAAUCCUACUGGAAUUCAGAUUUUCAGUCUGCAUCCCUAAAUUUUUGGCUGCGGGCCUGGGCGUUAGCAUUUUUAAAACCUUUUCUGGGUAGUUCCGAUGGGCCUUCCUGCUUAUUAAAAUCUGUUACCAGUUUACUUGUGGCAUACAGUGCUUGGAGUUACAGCUUUUUAAAAGACAUUUAACCUAUUGGUUCCAGGGUGAGGAAGACCUACUCAGGGCAUGAAAGAGAGUGAGAAGGUAUCUAAAAGGCUCUGGCCUCAGCUGGAGAGGAAGUUGGAUGAUGGUACGAGGGAACAAAGGCUCCGUGUCCUGACCAUCUGCUGCUUUUAUUCUCCAGGCUCAUUCCCAUAAUGAGUAUUUAUUCUGCCCAGCAACACUCUUGCUCCUACAUGUAUGGGUUCUGUUCUAGAAGUUUCCAUAGGAGGGGAACUGAGGGCAGUCCCCACUGAAGGUGAGGCCAGUCAUGAGGCUCCAUUUUAUUCUAUAGGUUCCAACUUUUCCACAAAAAUCCAACGUCCUUUUUUGCCCCAGCCCCUAAGCAGGCCCAGCCUUUUUCUCUGCAUAUUCCCUACGUAAUUAAUCUGCCUUAUACCUUUAGCAAUGCACCAGAUUUUGUCGGAAUCUGGUAGCUCUUUAGUCAGAACUCCAGAACAGACAGACUUUGGUGGGUUUGCUCAUGGGUGGAGGUAAAAUGGAGACAAGUGUUCCUUCAACGGAGACUACACUGUCCUUGGGCUUUUUUGAGUGUACUGAGUGGAAUUGGUGUUACGGCUUUUCAGUCAUAUGUUCCCCAUCUUAAAACUGCAGAAUUGAUCUUACCACCUCACUGGGGAGCGAUGACAUCGUCAGUAAAUUCUAAUGGAAAAACCUGUCUGAUGAAUGGGGCAGGAAGGUGUCACGGCAGUACUGGUGAGUCAUCCCAAGACCAGCUAGGUUUGAACUGUGAUGUUUCUUCAAUGCUGACUCUGAACCUCCUUCAGCAUUCUGUUGCCUUAAGCAGCUUUCGAAUCUUUGUCUCAGAUUUGCUUAUCUAGGUCAGACUUUGUCUUUUUAAAAACUGUGCCUGGAUAUCUCCUUAAUAGAUUGGACUCGUCCCAUUAGGAUAAUUGGCUUUACAUGUUUAUGAAAAUAGUAACAGUAGGAAAUUGUGUUGUUCUUGAAUAAGGUCUUUCCCUCCCAUUUUGGGGCAAGAUAUUGACGGGCUUAGGUGUGCUUGUAUGUAGUUUUUUUUUUUUCUUUAAUGUUUAUUUAUUUUUGAGAGAGAGAGAGACAGAGAGGGAGCGGGGUAGGGGCAGAGACAGAGAGGGAAACACAGAAUCUGAAGCAGGCUCCAGGCUCUGAGCUUUCAGCACAGAGCUUGCUGUGGGGCUUGAACACACGAGCUGUGAGAUCAUGACCUGAGCUGAUCAGAUGCUUAACUGACUGAGCCACCCAGGUGCUCCUGUUUUUUGUUUGUUUGUUUUUUUUUUUUAAUAGGAUGUGAUGUUGGUACUUUGGGCAGUUUUGGAGCCCCCAUUAUUAAAAAAAACCCUCAAGACCAACUCUUUUCCUUAGAUAAGUGAAUGGUCAUUGUAAAGAAGGCUAUAGAACAUCAAGAAACUUAGUCAGGUGUGCUGUCGUAGUUUGCUCUAUGAGCUUGACUGCCUGGCUGUUGGUGUGGAUCCUCAACCCCAUUCUCUGAGUUGUUGAAUAGAUCAGAUGAGUGAAUGCAUGUGAAAAUACUCUGUAAAUGGAAACAAACAAACUAUUCUUAUUUUAUUUUAUUUUUAGCAUGGGUGCUGGUCUUUUUCCUAAAACAAAAUAACCUUUCAUUUUUAAUUAUAAAAGUUAAGUAUACUCAUUUUAGAAAAUUAAAGUGCCAAAAAGUAUGGGGAAGAAAAUUAAAACGCCCAUACUCACUAUCCAGGGUAACUAUUGUUCUAUUUUACACAUAUACCCACUCUAUUCUUUUUUUUUAAAGGGGGGGGUCAUGUUACACAUAUUUAUUCUUACAUGUUUUCUUUUUAAAAAUUUUUUUUAACGUUUAUUUAUUUUUGAGACAGAGAGAGACACAGCAUAAACCGGGGAGGGGCAGAGAGAGAGGGAGACACAGAAUCGGAAGCAGGCUCCAGGCUCUGAGCCAUCAGCCCAGAGCCCGACGCGGGGCUCGAACUCGCGGACCGCGAGAUCGUGACCUGAGCUGAAGUGGGACGCUUAACCGACUGAGCCACCCAGGUGCCCCAACAUGUUUUCUUUACAUGAUACUACAUUGCAAACAUUUUCCGAUGUCAUUAAACCUCCUGCAAAAGUAUACAUUUUAAUCAUUACAUAGUAUUGUAUUAUGUGAGUCAUGUAUUUGCAUGUAUUGUGAGACGCUUGACCAUUGUUUCCAUUUUCCAUAGCACAGUAAACAGUACUUCCUGUUUACCAAGAAGGGAACUUGCUGUAAGAGAAGUCAGAGGCAGUUGACAACUGUUUUUGCAGUAGAGGAAUUGGGCGUAUUUUAUUUCAUCCCAAAUUAAUACGUAUUGGGCUGGAGUUGAGCAGUACUUUUAGUUAAGAUCUCAGUGAAGGUAAAGUUAGACCUGGAGAUUUGUUAAUUUAGAGAAAAUUCUGACUGCAACAAAAUCUAUUAGGCCAAGUUCUCUUAAUUAACAUAACGUUAAUUAGAGAAACAUUGAAAAAUAGUAUGGUUAUUCUCAUGAAUGCACUAUAUCAGAUAAGUUGCUUUAUGCCUUCUGGAAUACUUUUAUAUUCUCUUAUUAGGAGGAUGUGGCAAAUUUGUUUUGCCCAGAGGAUUCAUUUUCUGUUGCUGUGCACAUAUAUAAUCCUAUAUUUACCACAUUUUUGGAUGCAAUGACAUAAUGAUGAAGAGAGUCCUUUGGAUAUUUAAAAAUGGAGAUUUAAGGAGCAGUAGGCUAGGAGAGGGAAUUUUGCUGGUAUUUCAGUCCUGAAAUUGAUUGAUAUUUUUGUUGUAGACUUAUGUCUUUGUCCCUUUCUUUGUGUUUCUGUUGUGUCUGCCUAGCGUCUUGCCAUGUACGUUUGGGUGAGUUCCAUCCCCGCAUUUGCCCAUGUGCCCCCCACCCCCCNNNNNNNNNNNNNNNNNNNNNNNNNNNNNNNNNNNNNNNNNNNNNNNNNNNNNNNNNNNNNNNNNNNNNNNNNNNNNNNNNNNNNNNNNNNNNNNNNNNNNNNNNNNNNNNNNNNNNNNNNNNNNNNNNNNNNNNNNNNNNNNNNNNNNNNNNNNNNNNNNNNNNNNNNNNNNNNNNNNNNNNNNNNNNNNNNNNNNNNNNNNNNNNNNNNNNNNNNNNNNNNNNNNNNNNNNNNNNNNNNNNNNNNNNNNNNNNNNNNNNNNNNNNNNNNNNNNNNNNNNNNNNNNNNNNNNNNNNNNNNNNNNNNNNNNNNNNNNNNNNNNNNNNNNNNNNNNNNNNNNNNNNNNNNNNNNNNNNNNNNNNNNNNNNNNNNNNNNNNNNNNNNNNNNNNNNNNNNNNNNNNNNNNNNNNNNNNNNNNNNNNNNNNNNNNNNNNNNNNNNNNNNNNNNNNNNNNNNNNNNNNNNNNNNNNNNNNNNNNNNNNNNNNNNNNNNNNNNNNNNNNNNNNNNNNNNNNNNNNNNNNNNNNNNNNNNNNNNNNNNNNNNNNNNNNNNNNNNNNNNNNNNNNNNNNNNNNNNNNNNNNNNNNNNNNNNNNNNNNNNNNNNNNNNNNNNNNNNNNNNNNNNNNNNNNNNNNNNNNNNNNNNNNNNNNNNNNNNNNNNNNNNNNNNNNNNNNNNNNNNNNNNNNNNNNNNNNGAGUAGUAAAUUAAGAAGGGAAAGAAUUUUCUUGAGUUUGGACUAAGAAAGAGUCAUAGAUGUAGAGAUGCCAUCUUUCCAAAUUUAUUGAGUAAAAUAUAUAUAUAUAUAUAUAUAUAUAUAUAUAACAUUUUCAGGGAGUUUAGGUGUAUUAUGUACAAAGGAAUUUUUGAGGUGUGGGGAUUUGUUUUGCACUUGCUAUUGGAUAAAAUGGAAGGAAAGGAACCAACUGUUACCGAAAACCUACUUUCUUCUGAUUCCGAGAAAGCUGCUUUGCACUUGCCUAUCCUUAGGACUUCCCUAUCUUAUUUAAUUCUCACAUCAGCCCUGUGAUGUAACUUGUGUUAUUCCCAUAAUGUAAGGCAAAGACUCAAAGAGGCUGAAUGAUUUGCCCAAAUUUACAUGGUUAGCAAGUAGCGAAGCUUUGGUGAAAUCGAGACUCGUUUGAUUCUAAAGCUGUUAUUCUUUGCAGUAAACCGCACUGCUCAGUGCUUGUAAAACCUUAGCUGUGUACCAGCUCUCCACUUCCAGUUUUAUAGUAACUCAGCCUCUGAAAAGCAGCCUGCAAAUGGCACAGCUUUCGGUUGGUUUCGUGAAAGAUGAGAAGGUUUGCAUGGGGACAUGAUAAAGACCAUUCUGAGGCUCUGGAUAUACGAUUGAAUCUAUAAGCUUUACUUUAGUAUUUGACAGAAUGAGGUUCUCCUCACGUGUAGCUGUGUGUUUGUGUUUGACUUACCUGUCAUAGUGGAGAGCCGGUACUUUGUGUUUCAUUAGCUUGAUCCAAAAGGUGCAUCUUACUGAGGCAAACAAGCCAAGGAAUCACAGUAACAACUUCUCCCCAGAUGUUUGUAAGCUGGAGGAAGGCAGGAGGGCAGCUAUUGUGAUGUAUUUUUUUUUUGCCAGGCCAGCUGUUACAAUCACAAAUGAGACUGAAAUAGUAACGACUUUUGAGGACAUUGCAAAUUUAUUUCAUUCUUAACUUUUCUAGGUUGGAAAGCUUGCCCCCUCCCUUUGUAAUCAUGCCGAACUGUAGCAUUGCUAUCAUUUUCUCCUGGAUGGAAAUUAGUGUUGCACAAUUAAGGAGGAAGAUGGAGACUGGGUGAAAGAGAUUUUGCUAUAGGACCUGCCUUCUAUGAUCUUAUUCUCACUUUCUACCUUUAUUUUAUUCUUUAAGCAUUUAUUAAUUGCCUACUGUCAACCAGGCAUGGUGCUAUGUGGGAAGGAUAUACUAGAACAGGGGGGUCAGCAGACUUUUCUGUAAAGGGACAGAUGGUAAAUAUUUUAGCCUCUGUGGUCCAUAUGGUCUGUGUUAUAGCUACUCAUUCUGCUAUCUGACAAUAUAAAGUAAAUAUAAAUAUUACAAUAUAAAGAGCGAAAUACUCAACUCUGUCAUAAACAGUAUGGAAAUAAUUGAGUGUGGCUAUGUUUCAAUACAAUUUUACCAAAACACGCCGUGAACCAGAUUUGGUCCGUGGACCACAGUGUCCAUGAAGAGAGUGAAUUUUGUCUGUUUAUUGCUGUGUCACUAGUGCCUAGAGCAGUGCCUGGCGUGUGGCAGGUGCUUUAUAAAUAUUUGUUGAAUGAAUGAAUGAAUGAAUGAAUGAAUCACACUCUUUCUCUGAUCUCUAAGAGCUCAUAAUCCCAUAGAGGAAAUAAGAAAUACAUGUAGGAGAGUAUUCAGGUAGUAGAAUCAGGUGGUACUUUAACUGGGACCUGAAGGAUAGGUAAGUGUAUGUAUGUCACCAGCCAGAGAUGGGAGUAGAGCAGUGCAGGCAGGAGAAACACACAAAGGGACACAAAACACAAAGGGACAAGGAGCAGGGAAUUUGUGGUGAAUGAUGAAUAGUUUGAAUGUUCUGGAAUAGGAUUUCUCUGACUUGCCCGAUCAUUGUAAUCACUUGCUGUUAACGAUACAGAUUUCUAGCACCCUCCCUUGAGAUUCUGAUUUGGUAAGGCAAGUUUGGCAAUAUUUGUUUAUAAGAUAAAAAUUUGAGAGGAAGUAAUAGUGGGAGAUGACAUUGGAAAGAUAUACUAGGGUCAUUUCUGAUAAAGUUCUCACUUUUCCUACCAACUGAACCAGUACUGACUGAUGGCAGCUGGACCUAGAAUUACUCUGUACCUUUCGUGCCAUGAAAUGGAGGGGGAGCCCUCGUGGAAAUCCACCCCCCCUUCUCUGCCUGCCUCCAUAUUUCCCCCCUUGACCUUGUAGGACUACCCUAGCUUUUAUGGUGAAAUGACAUAAAAUUUAGUUACUCAUGUAAAUUUUAAGGAAAAUAUCAAAUUCCGUGUAGCUACGAGGUUUAUUGCUUUUGAAUCUGUUGGUCGACACACAUCUAAGAGGGCAAUGGAUUCAAACAACAUAGUGGGAAACUUACUUCCUCUUGCCGUAAUUCUAGUUCAGAAGGCUAUUUAAUACUAAGUUUUGUAGAAUGUGACCACUGGGAGGGUCAUAUGUCUCAUUAUUAUUAUUUUUUAAAAUGUUUAUUUACUUAUUUUGAGAGAAAGAGGGGAGUGGAGCUGGAGGGACAGACAGAGAGGGAGAGAGAAUCCAAAGCAGGCUCCAUGCUGUCAGUGCAGAGCCCGAUGCGGGGCUCGAUCUCAGGAAAUGUGAGAUCAUGGCCUCACCAAAAUCAAGAGCUGGACGCUUAACUGACUGAGCCAUCUAGGCACCCCUGUCUCCUUUUUAAUCAUGGGAGAAGCUGAAGUCUAAAAUGUAGGCAGUGACUUGCUCAAGUUCUGUCACCAAAUUAUUGGCAAAACCAGGAUUAUAAUGCAAAUGCCAAGUUACUCAAUUUAGUUUUCUUUUCAUAGUGCUAUGCCACAUUUAUCAAUAGAAUUCCUAAUUUACAUAAUUUCUCUCCCCCUUGAAUCUCCUAGCCUUUUGCCCACACCUCUUCUAUACUGCUUAUCAUAAAGUUAUAUCCUAAUGUUUUUUUGCUGGACCAGUACCCCACGGUUACCCCAAAUAAAGACUGAGCUCUGUUUCCUUGGAGAGCUUAACAUAUUUCCUGGCACUUAGCAUGUGUUCAGCAAAUAAUUGUAGACUUGAAAUAUCUUGAGCAUCUUUUUCUUUCUUGUGUGUUUUGACUCAAGUUUCUUUCCACUUAUAUUGUCAGAAAAGUCAAGCUCUUCGAGAAUUGCUAAAAUACAAAGCUACUUUCUCUUAAGCUGCCUUUUAAAAAAAAAAAAAGUUGAAUUCCCCAUUACGGCUGAGACCUUUCUUAACAGCUCUUUUGAUACUUAAAUGUCAGCAACUUGAAAAAAGAAAUGUCAGUAAAUUAUCAGAGAAAGAAAUUGCAUGUUUAUUUGGGUAGAUAUAUUUUAAUUGACCACUUAAAGAUUAUAGCAAAAUUCUGAGGAAUUUCAUAUUUUGCACAUUUCUCUCAACUGCCAGAACUUUUUUUGUUUGUAUCUCUUAGAAGGUUUAAUUUUAAUUUUUUUCUGCUUUAUGGUUAUGUAUGUACAUUUUUCAUUCUUCUCCUCCAGUAGAUGAUGCACAUCUUGAAUUGAAGUUUAAAAAAAUGAAUCUCUGCAUCCCUACAAAACCUAGGUCCAUAGGUGCUAAUACUAAGUAGGCAUUUACUUAUAGAAACAUGGUUGGAAAAUGGUCAACCUUGUCUUCGCUUACUUAUUUUGCAUCUGAUUGUGUGCUGGGUUUUCUGCUUAACAUUGAUGAUGGGGCUGGAUUGGGGUGGGUAAUAUAAACGUGAGAAACAUAUCUUUUUUUUUCCAGAGAAUUAUAAUUUGGUGGGGAUUUUGACACCCCACCAAAUGUGGGGUGAUGUACAGAGCUAAGAUACAUACACAUGACCUGUUUUAGAAUCUGGUAGCAGGUUAAUUCUGACUGGGUGAAUCAAGGCAUCAAAGAGACAGUGUUUGAGCUGAACCUGAAUAUGUCUUCAUCCAUCCAUUUCAGUCAUUUGUUUUGGUCUUGGUCAACACACACACACACACACACACACACACACACACACGUGUGGUCAGACAUGCGUACACAGACAAGUGCAUUUUUCUUUUUGUGAUCUGUUUGUAGAUUUAAAAGUGGAACUGUCUAGGGGCACUUGGGUGGCUCAGUUGGUUAAGCGUCCAGUUCUUGAUUUCGGCUCAGCUCAUGACCUCACAGGUUUGUGGGAUGGAGCGCCACAUCGGGAUUCUCUGUCCCCUUCUCUUUCUGCCCCUCCCCUGUGUGCAUGCACCAACCCCCCACCCCCGCCUGUCUCUCUUUCUCUGUCUCAAAAUAAAUAAAUAAACUUGAGAAAAGUAAAAGUGGAACUAUCUUUACAUGGGACAAAAGAAAGAGAGAAACAGGUUUCACUGUAUAAUUUGCAGGUUUCUCAACAUCUGAAAGACACAGUUGCCAGAAAUUAUUGGGAUGGUCUUCACCAUUACUGGCAGGAACUCCAAGUACACUGGCCAGGGAGAGAUACACUAUUCUAAAGUGAUGGCGUUCUUUCCAAGAAGUUUCCCAUCUAGUUGUUGUUCUCCUCAAUAGUUAAAUUACAUUAAAUAGCUCCCUAGGUGGAAGAAGUUUCGACUUUGACGUCAGACAGUUCUGGUUCCACAGCUAACUUUGCCAUUUAUUAUUUAUAUGACCCAAGGCCAUUGCCUAUCCUUUCCUGGGCUCAGUUUCCUCAUCUUUGAAAAUGGUGAUAAUGGAAAGUGCCUCUCAAAGUUGUGAGAUUCCAGGGCUAGUGUUUGCUGAGCUCCUGUUUCAGUGCCCAGGCCAUGAUAGGUCGUAUGCCUACGGGGCCAGGUGAGUUAUGUAGAAGAGUGAUCGGGUGACAUGCAAGUUUUAUGCUUUUGACGCAGACACACUGCACUUGCAUAGUUAAUAUACAGAAAUAGCCUUUGCUUCCACAAACAGAUACUUCCAGUGUCUUCGUGAAAUACAAAGCCCUUUUUGCUAGUUGUCCUUUUCCCACGCAGGAGUCUUGGGUAUAGGUGCCACUUUGUUCUCCUCUUGACUGUAGAGAAGGUAACAGUGCAGAUGUGCCGAUGAAAUGUGACUGGUCCUCGGCCACGAUCAUUGUGCACUUUUGGAAGGGAGCUACAGGGUGUGGUGAGGCACGCGGAUAGCUCGAGAGGACUCUCUCUGAAAAAGAUGGCGGCUGUCUGGUGCUAAUCAAUUAUUGCCCAUGGGAAUGUGUUGUCAGAUUUUUACGUGAGGUCUUUAGGUCUUUAAAUGUUGGCAACUCAUUCAAAUUCUUAUAAAACACUGCGAGAGAUGCUUCCUCAUGGAAAGAGCAAAGUGCAAUUUGUGAUCUCGCAUAGGAACAUCAACUUUGGCUCUUAGCCGCAACGGCAAAGCACUUUAUAAGUCCACUCUGUAUAUAGCGAACCAAACUUAUCGAAGGGCCAGACUGGACCUAUAGCCUUCCAGUAUGCAUCUCCUGAUUGAUAAAGAUAACGGUACAUGAUGGCCAGCACUUCCUAAGUCUUUCCAUGUGCUAGGCAUGUUACAUGCAUCAUUUAAUACUUACAGUAAACCCAAAAGUUGUGCAUUACUAUUGUUAUCCUGUUUUUACAGAUAAGGACACUGAGGCUCAGAGAUAAAGCCCAGAGGCACACAGAUGGUACAUAGUAGGUGGGUUUGAAGCCCAGGCCUGUUUGCCUUCACAACCAAGCAUACCAGUGGUUGUCUACCCUGAUGGUAUGUUAGAAUCACUGGAAUGCCUUCAAAAGCAUUGUUGCACAAGCCCACCCCCACACUAAUUAAAUCAGUAUGUCUGGGGAUUAGACAGUCAUGGGGAUUCUUUUAAAAACUCCAAAUCCAUGGUUAGGAGUAAAAGUCAUGUCAAUAACAACAGCUCUCCCCACAUCAAGCACUCCUUACCUCCUAUACCCAAUUUUACUUUCCUUUAAGCAAUGUAUUGCUCUCUGAAAACUAGGUGUUCCUUUCCCCGUUUGUGAAUUUUCUGCCGUCGUAGGGCUCCAGGAGUGCGGACAUUUAGUCUUUUCUCAUUCUUUGCUGUAUCUCCGCCAUCUCAAUUAGUGCCUGGCACAUAAUAGGUGCUCAUUACAUGUUUAUUUGAAUCACGAAUUGGUCCUUCACUGAAGAGAGCUUACAGUCUAGUGAGGAAGACAAUAUAUACUUAGUCCCAAGAGAGAAGUUGAUAACAGGGAUGGUCAAGCCAACUUCACUGUAACUUGCAAGACUGUUUAUCUCUUAGGCACUGAUAGGAUAAGUUGGCCUGAUCUGUACUGCAUUUUUAGUCAUCUGCAGCACUAGACUGGGUCUCUUCUGUGCUCUGAGGUGUGUAUGCGUGUGUGUGGGGGUGUGUGUGUGUACCCUGAGUAAUAGAUAACACAUUUAUGUUACUCUGUUUGGACAGAAUUUUUAAUGAGGCAGCUGGGGAUUACAAGAGGGGCAUUCUGGGUUCUGUUAUCCAAACAUCAGGCUGUAGAACAAAUUCAGGACUGAUGGUAGAGGUUUACCCAGUCAUUAGGGAAUUUAGAUAUUAUCUCCUCUUUCUAGGAAAGCCAGCUUCUUGUGGGGCCCUCUGCUCUCCUUAUCUACAGCAGUAGUCCUCAGCCUUUACUCAUCAAAGUCUCUUACAGCGGAUUAUGUUCAUAUAACAGCACACCGUGCGCUGUGACCAAGGAAAGGCAGGCAGGGAUUAAGUGGAAUAACCGGAGAUCUAUCCCUAACCCUUGUCUCUUCUUCUCCCACUUAAGGAAGUAGACGAAAGUGCGAGUGACAAUAGCGUAGGAAUAACCUGGAAAGAGUGCUGAUUUCUGAAUAAAAACAAUUCAUUUGGCACAUCAGGACUUUAACGAUGACUGUUAACAGGUUGUCUGUGACGCAUCCGACAAUUGAUGGACCCUGGUGGUAGUGAAAAUACCUCAUCACUGGUAUGGCCCAAGCCCUGAACAAUCAAAACCAACCCCUGCAUGAACAGUUGUGCCAUCAGGGAUGGGCUGAUGGGUAGCCUUGCUGGUGGGGUCGCGGUAUGUCAUGAAGCAGCAGCUAAGAGUCGGUGAUGUUCGCAGGGUUGAGGGGAACUUCAGGUGGCUCUCCUCAGGCAGUGCAGAGAGCAGGAAGAGCCUUUGCUCUAGACUAGUAAAACUUGGAACGAGGACCUGAUCUUGCCGCUCACUGCAGGAGGAGGCUCCUGGGCAGUUAACUUGCCUUGUUUUGAGCCCAAGUUGCUUCUGGACAUGGUGGAGGAGCUUGCUGGGAUGGUUAAGCCCUUGGGAAAGAACUUCUCAAGAUGGAGCUCUAUAACCCAAGUAAAGGAUGAUGAUUAAGCUACCGCUGUGACGGUGGGGUAGCUUUUCUCCUGUUGCAGACUCACAGGCCUGAUCUCUCUGUCCAACUUGAGCCAAAAACGAAGGUCGAAAGGAAUUUGGGGGAAGGGGAGAUCAGCAAAGAUAGGACUGGCCUUUCUUCAGUGCUUCUUCAGAACGGUGAUGUCCUGUGGAGUCCACAGACCAAAUUUGGGCAUUCUGUUUCAUGGUGGAGAUGAAUGCACAAAACUGGAGCUAAACAGGCUCAUGCCAGUGGGAUAUUCAUGACAAGUACAGUGUUUGGGGUGGCCUGGGUGUCUUAAAAAUGGGCUGAUUUUGACAAAGGGGAAAAGUUGGGAUUCAUUUUACUGUAAAUUGCAAGUAAGAAACAACAGAAGGUUGAAUAUUAGAAGAACUUGGCUAUCGCCAAAACCACACACUUUCACAUUAGUAAAACAUGGAGUUCUAUCUGAGUGAAAUGUGAAACUCCUUGCAGACCACAGAGAGUAAAAAGUACUUUUGUUUCAUUAUGAACACCAUUGUCCUUAUUUCUUUAAAUGAGAAUUGAUAGCCACCAUAAGAGAAUCUUUCUCAAAGACCAAACACAGAAAGAAGGAAAAAUAAAACAACAUAAACACACAAAAACCUCACUGCCACCAUCACCGCAAAGAAAACCCAGUGCUCUAAGGAUGCACCCUCUUUAUCCAUUGUGAAUACAUCACGUUCUAGAGAGAGGGGACCACAUUUCUGUCAGGAUAGUCUUCAGUGAAGUUUUUUUUUUUUUUUUUUUUAAUCCUUUCUUUUUUCUCCUCCCUCUUUGGGAAGACUGACAAAGUUGGCCUUUUGUAACACAGCAGGAAGGGUAGUUUUGCCCUCUAAUGUGUGAGAAUCUGAAGAGGAGGCCUUGUGGGUACUGGGACUAUCGUGUUCGCGAGGGAGUGAGACCGGGGCACCUGAUGGAGGGAUGUGCUAUAGGUGCUUCACGGUGAAAAUGGAGCUCUUGAAGGUGAAACAAGGUAACUUUGAAAAAUGAGAGGCCAUUGGAGUUGAGGGUAAGAGGCCCAUUCCUGGCCAACAUGUGAAGUUUUGUGGUGGGAAGUCUGUAUAAUGGGGGUCAGUAGACUGGAGUUUCCACUUCUUUCCCCCGUCUGCUAACUACAGCUCUCCUCCGCUCGUCCCUCAGCCCUAUGUGGGAGUUGAAACAGGUGUUUCCAGUUGUCUUUCUGACUGGUGUUUGGAAUUGGUAAUUAUUCAACUCUUGCUUCAUGGGGACUUGGAGUGUUCUGGCAAUGAGCUGGGAAGCUGAGGCCAGUGAGGCCAGUGGGCGAGCUGGGUGUUGGGUUGAAUGUAUGUGGUUGAGCAACACAGAACUAGAGUUGUUGUUAUAUUAUCACCAUGGUCACCAUCAUCAUUUUGAACAUGUAUUCCUUGCCAGGCUUUGGGUUAGGUGCUUUAUACCUGUUAUCAUACUUCAUUUUGACAGCAACUUGUUAAGAUGUCAAUUUUAGCUUUCUGUUUUACAGCUGUGGAAACUGAGACACUAUACAGUAAAGAACUUCCUCAAAGUCAACACUGUUAAGUGGCUGCAUUAGGCUUCAAAGCCCAACACCUUUGUCACCCUCUUUCUGAUAGGCCAUAUUAAAUUGCAGAGAUGGAAGGCUGCAGACUAUCUAGCUGGCUCCCUUUCCCUGCAUUUGAUGUCCUCAUUGGUGCAUUGUUGUCCAGUCUUUCUUUAAAGAAAACUAAAAAAAAUAACUGAGCAAGCAACACAAAAAUAUAGUGCAAAAUUAAAAAGUCACAAAAAAGAAGUGUAGUGAAACAAUAAAUUUUUCCAUCAGGGUCUCAACUGUCUACUUUUUCUACCCAGAGGUCUACACUGUUACCAGUUCCUUGUAUCUGCUUCUAGAAAUAAACUGGGUAGAGGCAGACAUUUUUAUGUGUUUAUAUGCCUAGAGAAUAUUUACACAAAGGGGAGCACACUGCACACAUUAUUUUGUAUCUUGCUUUUUUCAUGUAAUCCUAUAGCUAGAUGAUCAUUUCUGUAUCAGUAUCUUGUGUCUGGUUAUCUUAUAGUUUGAAUUAGCACUUCUGUUGCUGUCAGUGACUGUUAACAUCAUUUUAAAUAGGAUAUAGCCAUUUGGUUUUUGUUUUUGUGAACUCCCCUUUGCCUCCUUUUCUAUUGAAUGAUUGCUUAUUUUUUUACAGGGAAUAAGUUGACCCUUAGUCCGUGAUAGGAGUUGCAACACCUCACCAUUUUGCAUUUGUCUUUUUAGCUUGUAUGCAAAAAAAUAACAGAAAAAAUUAUAUAGUCAGUUAAAUCUUUUCGUUUUAUAGUUUUGGGGCUUUGUGUAAUAGGGGCUUUGUAUAGUUUUGGGGCUUAGAAAUGCCUUCUCCACUUUGGUUAUUAAAAAAAAUACCUUCUAAUUUUCUUGUUCGUUCAUUUGGUUCUUUUUUCUUUUUCACUCUGUCUCUCAUCGCUGAUUCACUGAAAUUAUAUUUUGGUAAAAGAUACGAGGUAGGGAUCCACUCUGAUAUUUUCUAGAUCCACCUGCCAAACACUAUUUAUUGGGUAGUCCGUUCUUUUUCCACACUGAUUUGAAAAAGCACUUUUAUUAAAUAUUAAAUUUCUUAAUGUUUAAUUACUUAUUACUUAGGAAUUUGUAUUAUUUUUGGAACCUUCUGUUCCAUUCAUCUGUCCCUUUAUGCACCAUGUUUAUACUUUCAAUUAUUGCACCUAUAUAUGUUUUGUUAUCUGAUGGGGCUGCUCCAAUCUCAUUAGUUCCUCUUUUUCUAAAUUUCUGCGUCUUUUAGCACUUUAUUUUCCCAUGAACUUUAGAAUGAACGUGUCCAAUUCUGAGAGUAAUGUCACAUUGAUAUUUUUAUGGGGAUUGUGCCAAACUUAUUCAUUUACAUUAUGCAUUGUAAAGAUGUUAUUUCUUUUUUCUAGAACACAAUGCCUUUCCAUUUGUUGAAGUCUUGUUUUAUAUCACCAGGAGCACUUAAAAUUUUCCUCAUGCAGACUGUACAUAUUUCUUAUCAGUUUAUUUUACUAGGUACUUUUGGUUUUCUCUAGUUGAUGGAAUUAUUAUUUUAUAUUAUAGCAUCUGAUUUUACUUGUGUUUAUAUAGCCUCUUGUUAUCAGUAUAUGGAUUUUUCUAUCCAGCCACUUUACUGAAUUCUUUCAUUAUUUGAAUAAGUUUUUCAAAUUUUAUUUACUUUUUAAAUUUUAUGUGUUUAUUUAUAUUUAGAAAGAGAUAGAGUCAGAGAGAGAGGGAGAGAGAGAAUCCCAAAAAGGCCCCAUGCUCUCAGAGCAGAACCCAACACAAGGCUCAAUCUCAUGAACUGUGAGAUCAUGACCUGAGCUGAAACCAAGAGUCAGACGCUCAACCGACUGAGUGACCCGGGCGCCCUUAUUUGAAUAAGUUUUAGAUAAAUUUCUUUGAGUUUCUGGUUCAGUAAUCUUAUAUAAUCUGGCAAUAGCUAUAAUUUACCUUUUUCUUUCUAUUUUUUAUAAAUCUUUUAGAUUUUUCUAAUUGUAUCAUCUGUUGCAUCAAGAGGAGUAGAUAUUAAAUAGCAGAGUUUGAGUGAAUUUCCUUCUCUUUUUCCUGACUUUAAUGAGAAUGCUUAUACUUAUAAUGUUUCCUAUUAAUUGUAAUGUUGGUUUUGGUUUGAGAAAUAUCUUGUGUUAAAAAAAAAUUCAUCCCUAUUCUGAGAGUGUUUUUAUUUUUAAAAUAGAGACUAGUUGUUAAAUGUUUAAUGCUUUGGAAACGAUGGAAAUCAUCAUGCAUUGUCUCCUUUUUUCUUUGCUGAGUAAAUAUCUUAGAUUUUUAUCUUUUGUUCUGUAAUUUGGCGAAAUAUAUAAAUACAUUUUUCAAACAUGAAAUCAUGCUAGUGUUCCACUUAGUCAUAGUUUGUGCAUUAUAUUUUUAGUGUUAUUGGAAUCUAGAGGGUAAUAAUUUAUUAACAAGUUUUGCAUCAGUUUUCCUAAGUGAGAUUAUUUGAAAAUUGUGUGAGUGCGUAUAUGUGUAUAUUUGCUAUUGUCAGAUUCUAGUAUAGAUGUUAUGCUUAAAUCCCAUAAAAUAAUUCAAAGGCCUUUCUUUUUCUUUGUUUCCUUUUGAAAUAGUUUUAACACCACUUAUAUGAUCUAAUCCUAAAAUAGUGAUAGAAUUCCCCUGUGAAACUGCCUUGACUUGGUGCCUUUUUUGGAGGGGUGGAGGUUGUUGACUCUUUGACAGCCUUUUAUCUCUCUGCUCCUAUACUAAUUGGACUCAUUUUCUUUGGUGUUUUUUCUGUGGUUACUUAUGUUAAUUGUAUUUUAGGAAAGUCACCGAUUUCAGAUAGAUUUGCAUGGAGUUAAAUCAUUUCAUAUAAUUGUUUUCAUUUCCUUUGUGUUUGUGCUUAUUUCCAUGUCGUUAUUUACAGUUUUAUGUUUUUUGUGCUUUAUUUCUCUCUCCCCCGUUUUUGAUUAGUUCAGCCAAGUUUUAUUUAUUAUUUAUUCACAAAACAGCUUUUGCACUUAUUUGCUGGCCCUACUAUUCUUUAUUUUCUCUUUAAAGUUGUCAGUAAUGGGUUUCUUCUGCUUUGCCCAAGUUUCUUUUGUUGUUUUUCCAGUUGUCUGAGCUUGACUCUUAAUUCACACACGAAAAUACGUUUCUGCUUUUUUAUUAAUAUGAAUUAAAAAAAUGUGAGAUCCAAUUAGAAUAAGCCUCAUGGGGACAGGGACUUUGUCUGUUGUUCACUUCAAGACUAUCAUAAUGCCUAUCAUAUUGCGGAUGCUUAAGCGAUAUUUUUGUACGAAUUAAUAUAUCCCUGUGAAAUAAUCAUGGGAGUUGUGGAGGGUUCCCUCCUGUUGCUCUGGUCCUUCUCCGCUAUCUUUGGCCAUUUUCUCUAGGUAUCUGCUCAUGUGGAGGAGGAAGAAAUUACUGACAUGCUUCACAUUACUUUUUCAGAGUAUGUCAUUAACAGGUUUAUUUUUAAAGUCUACCAAUACAGUCAAGUACAACUGGGUGAAAAGAUCUCUGUAAAGAUUAGCCCAGGAGAAAACAUAUUUGAGGAGAAUCAGAAUGUUAGAGCUGGUGGGUUAACAGACAGCAUGCCCAUGCUUUUUGUGGGUUUGGCUCCUUUGUUGAAGCUAAAUCUUGCAGAGGCCUGAAGUAAAAUGAUAAAAACAGAUGUGCUGCAGUUGUGGGGGAGGGUGCAGAACUAGGGGAUGCCCAAAACCCUGCUGCUGGCUGCCUUCCCUCCUGAUCUUAUCCCAUGUCUCAUUUGAAAACCAAUAGUUGAAAAACUCUCAAUUUUCAGAUGAGAACGAAAACAAAAAUGCAAAGAAGGCAAAUGAUUCAUUCAAAGUUACUCAGUGAAUUAGAGCCAUAACGUGGGACUACAACUCUGGCCUUCUGUUUCUGAAUCUAGUGGUAUUUCCAGGCGCACAGGAAGCUUCUGGUACCUUGCUCCACUCUGUGUUUUUGGGUGGACCUGGGAUUUGAUUCCCCCCCCGGCCCCCCCGCCCCGCGGCAGGCCCAACAGUCCUUGCUAAGGCACAGACCGCAUAUUUGCUGAUCCCCAAGGGGAAAGCUGUGAUUCAGACUUUGAGGUCUAAGAAUUGCAGACUUAGUUUCUAGUCUCCCGAUGAAACUGCUAAUCUGGGUUCCAAUGGUGUUUUUGCUACACGGACACCUGCCCACACAACAUGAUUAGAAAUUAUAAUGAUGACGACGAUGAGUCUUCCAGGACACCCACGUUCUUUGCAAGAUAUUUCUGCUAAUCGUCUCUACCAGAAUCCGUUAGGAGAACUUUUUUUAGUUUUUUUUUUUUAACUCCCCUCUGUCUACGUCAAGUAAAAAUACUAGUUUAAUCCUGCUGAGGUUAAUGAUUCGUCCUCACCAUUACUGAGGUGUCAUUUUUUUUGUGCAGGGGAUCCUGGAGCCUUGGGUGCAUGGGGAGAUGAAAAGCAUCCUGGGCCCCAGAUAUGAGGAAAUUUGGGUUUAGAUUUCAGCAGUGCCCCCAAUUUCCUGUGAACCCUUGGUAGAGAUUACUUCCCCUCUUUGUCCUUUUGCGUCCCCUUCUGUUAAAUGGGCAUCCAGUUCUGCUGUGCCUAAUUUACUACAGUUGUGGGAAUCAAAUUUGGUAAUGGGUAAGGAAAUGCUUCAAUAACUUUACCCUCUAGACUGAAAGGGUUGUCACCGAAGAUGGUUUGCAGUGUUGGUAUCUUAGCUUCUUAAGGUGUUAUUGAGUGCACCAUGAUCAAACGGUGUCAGGUGUGAGAGCUGCGAAGGUAGGUGAAGGACCACCAUGAUGCCUGACAUGUUAUUGUUUACGGGCUCUACCCUGAACCAGGGAGCAGUGCUGCCACAAGGGAAUGGCACCUGGGGGAAAAGAGAGGAUCCCAGGAACUGGGAGUCUCCAUGGAGAAGUAAAAGUAAAAAUUGGAAGUGGGAGAGUUGAAGGCUAGAGUCUGGUUGUGUGGCAGCAGAACAAUGGUCUAGACGUGACAAGAGGCUUCAGAAAAAUGCUGGCCCUGGCUUUGGACCCUGUGUAUCUGCAGUGUUGGGGGCCAGGAGGACGCACAUAGAGGGGCUGCAGGGAAACCUGCAUCCUCAGAAGGGAGUCAGGUCCAGGAAAGCCUACCAGAUGCCCUCCAAGGAGGCUGGAGAUAGUUCCAGAACCUCUCAGGGCCAGGAAGAGCCUUGGGUUCUUUGUCUCUGCCUUCUGUUACUUAGCAUUGUACUUUGUUCACAGUAGUUGCUUUUUUUUUUAAUAUUUUUGGCCUUGCUUUUUAAUUUAAGGUCUGACUAUCUGAAGGCAUGUUUAAGAGGGGUUCUGAUAGGAAGGAGCCGAGUUGGGUAAUUCUGUUUCCCUUUCUGGUUCCCUGUUUCCUCAUCCCAAAGAUGUUGAUCUUCGUGACUUGCUUUCUAUAACACUCACUAUCUUUGAUGAAAGGCAAACAUUUAUCUAAAAGUAGGGUGAGAAAAAUCACUCGGUGAAUAUGUUGAUAGUUUUGUUAUAGUGGUAAGGGUUCAGGAAGGAGUACAAUGUUUCCAAAAGUCCUUUUCCUUGAGCAGGCAACUUCAGCUUGUAAACUGGGCUCAAAUAACUUUAGCUUUUAUUCUUGUCUGUCUAUCUAUCUAUCUAUCUAUCUAUCCGUCCAUCUGUCCAUCCAUCCACCGACCCACUCACCCACAUACCUAUCUAUGCAAGAUGGUAGAAUUUAUUUUUUCUUAAUCUUUGGUCUUUGAUUGGUUUGCUGAAUCAGGUGAACUGAGUUGAAGAAACACUGACCUUUGAAAGAAAACUUUGGGGAGAAGAAAAAGGUAUCAUGAUUCUUUGAAAGAAUUUUUCCCAGGCUAAGUUACAUAGUUUCACUGACACUUGGGAUGGGAGCUAAAAGGUCUGGACACUGAAUCUCUGAAAACCCUCUGAAUGUGUUGGCUACGCUUUUUUUUCUUUCUUAGCACAGAUGGAGAAGACUUUUUCUUUUCCCAGUAAAAUAGAGCCAAUAUAAUAUUUGAAACCUUCAACCAUAAUCUGGGAAGAUGAUUCUCUAUCUAUUGCUUGUCCAAACAUAAAAUAAAAUUUUUCAAAAAUUAGCAAAAAUGUGAAUUAUUCAAUUACAAUUUCUUUCUUGGCAAAGUUGGCCUUUCUCGUUCUAUUUUUUUAUUUAUAAUUAAAAAAUCUUUAAUUCAGCUAAUUCCUAGCUUCCAGUGAACCUUUUAACUAAUCAAAUGCAUUUGAAAUACUUUUUAAUUUAUUGCAAGAACAAUAAAAAGCGAGAAGUCAUUUCAUGUAAUGUCCUUUCUUGUUGUUCAGUGUCGUCAGCUCUUUUCCUGAUAGAGUUUUGGUUUGGCUGGAAGCAGCCUGAGGGGAUUCAUCCCUAGUAAUCUUUACUGUGUUGCUGUUGGUGAGUUACAAAAAUAGUAACUAGUAAUAGUAACUGGUAACAGAGUCUGUGGAUAGCUUUCACCCAUCUUCCUCUAAUAGUAGUAUCUUACAUAACCAAAGACAUCUACCAAAGCUAAGAGAUUAUCAUUGGCACAACACGAUUAAUUAAACUACAAAAUGCCAUUUACCAGUCAGAUAAAAUCACCCCUCCUCCUGUCGUGGAGGAAGAAGUAUGGAGAGUGAUGGAGGGAGAGCUCUUUAUCAUUUGACAAAGGAACAGAAUCUUCCAUAUCCACAGACCUAAAGGUAUGAAAAGGUGAAGAAGGGAUCCUCACCUCUCUGUUUUGGUAGCUUUACCUCUUAAGGCAUUGCACUUUUACUGUAUUUUUGCAUACCCUAUUUAUUCUCAGAUGAUGUGCAGGGAAGCUGGGAAGGGAAAUAUUUAUGGUUAGAGUGGGAAAAUGGACUUUGAUUCAAACUGCAAAAGUUUGAGGGUAGACUCUCAGGUCCUUGUAUGUGAUGAUAUCAGCAUGCCAGUGGGUAGCGUGGCUAAGUUGCCAUUUUGUUGGUAGCGAUCCUUGGUCUUGUUUGGUUCUCUUCAUCCUCACAUACAGGGUGGAGCCAGUGUCCUGGAAUCUCUUGAUCGUGAGAUUUAAGAUUGAGAAGAAUAAUUGGCAAUAUUAGAUGGGUUGGGUCGAGUCUGUGUCUCCUGGUGCCUGUCGUAAAACUUGUCUCUCUGUCCCCACCAAACGUUUUGCUUUGUUCACUUACUGGGAGAUGAAGGUUGAGGAAAGGCUGGGGAUGUGUUGUCCAGUGUGAUAGCUGGUAGCCACGUGUGACCACCAAGCACUUGAAAUGUGGCUAUACAAAUACAAUUAUUUUGUACAUUUUGUAUAGAUUUGUAUACUUUGUGCAUAUUUGUCAAAUAAAUCUUUUUCUACUUAUUUUAUUUUAUCUUCUAUUCUUUUUAAAUGUAGCUACUAGGACCCUUUAGAAUUGCACGUGUCACGUUAUAUUUCUAUUGCUCCGUGGUUUGAGCCUGGGAAGAAUAUGGAACGCAGUAAAUUGACCUUGUGUUCUUCCCCGAGUUCUAAUAAUGUUGGCAUUAAAGGGAAAAGCUUCAGCAGUCAUCAUUUUCAUUAAAAAAAUCUGAUUCAGAAGAAUUGGCUCAUUUUACAUUAUUGCUUGGACUGGAGAAGAAUCUGACAUUUUGGUAUUUUCAUAAUUGAGAACAUAACUUGCUGACUUAAAAAAAAAAAUCACAACAUUUUGUGCUUGGCCUUAGGUACCAGACUCUGAGCUCUUUGAAAAUAGGGAUGGUGUCCUUUUCUCUUGCUGCCAUCUCCUUCCCCAAAACCACACAUUAACUAGCACAUAGAAGGUGGUUAACUGGCAUUUGUUGAGAAACAAAAUAACUUUUUAAAAAGAGAAAACAUUAUGAAGCUACCCUGUAUUUAUGGUUGGAAGAGAGAAAUAUGUACCUUUAUAAGGCAACCCUUCUUCCCAAGUCAGCCACCAAAAUUAAAGAACACUGAUCUGAGUGUUUAUUUACUUCUUGAUUUGAUUACCAUUCUCAUCAGGUGUCCCUGUCAGCUCUGCUUAUGAUAAAGAAUCUUUUCAAAAUGCUUAACCUCACCACCCCUCUGGGUAAGGGGAGACAGAAAAUGAUGCUGCUUACACACAUUAAUCCUCACCUUGGUCUGACAGUAUAUCUUAAGCCCUAAAGACUGGAUUAUUCUUAUUUUCCCUUGUUUGAUCCUUUCUAACAUCUACCUAUACCGUGGAAGAUGUGGGAAUAAUAAUGAGAGAUGAGUUUAAGCUCGGACUAUAUUAACUUUUCAUUUUUUAAAAAAAAUUUUCUUCCAUUUUAUAAUGAGCCAGAGCCUGUGUGAACCUAUGACUUACCGGCCCUCAGUCUUCCAUUAUGUCUUGUCCCCAAUUCUUUCUUCUUUUGUGCAAGCCCUGGGGCUGGGUGAGGGGACAGGCUUUGUUAGAUGUCCUUUGGCCACAAUCCUGUGCUGGGAAAUUCAGGAGCUUCCAUGAUUCCAUGUUAGGCAUGGUGCAGAUCCUAACUGAUCCCUGAAUCCAGCUUUAGUCAAAAAACAUGUUGCCUUGGUUAGAGGCAAGCCUUAAAGAAUCUACGAUGGCUUUGUUGCUUAGUAUUCCUAGAAAAGACCUCUUAAAAGAGCCCUUUUGGGAUAUUGUGCAUAUUUGUCAAAUAAAUCUUUUUCUAAUUUUAUUCUAUCUUCUAUUCUUUUUAAAGAAUACAGCCUUCUUUCUUUUUUUUUUAAAUUUUUUAAUGUUUUUUUUUUUUUUAAUUUUGAGAGAGAGAGAGAGAGAGAGAGAGAGAGAGAAUGUGAGCAGGGGAGGGCCAGAGAGAGAGAGGGAGACACAGAAUCUGAAGCAGGCUCCAGGCUCUGAGCUGUCAGCACAAAGCCUGAUGUGGGGCUUGAACUCAGACUGUGAGAUCAUGACCUGAGCUGAAGUCAGACGCUUAACCAACUAAGCCACCCAGGCGCCCCAAUAUACAGCCUUAUUUCUAAGAAAUAUUUUAAUUUCUUUUAAUGUUUAUUUAUUUUUGAAACAGAGGGAGACAGAGCGUGAGUGGGGGAGGGGCAGAGAGAGAGGGAGACGCAGAAUCUGAAACAGGCUCCAGGCUCUGAGCUGUUAGCACAGAGUCCAACAUGGGGCUCGGACACCCAGAUGGUGAGAUCAUUACCUGAGCCGAAGUCAGACGCUUAACUGACUGAGCCACCCCAGGCGCCCCUCUAAGAAAUAUUUAAAGCUUUGAUUCUUUUGCCGAACAGCAUGGAAGCAUGGGUUCUCUUGGAAGUGUGUGCGAGGCAGCUGGUAUGGGUGGAAGAAAGGAUUGGCCUUAGAGUCAGAAGACCUGUGUUUACUUUCUGGUUCUUCUGUUUCCUAGUUGUUGGAUUCUAGACAAAUAACAUAUCAUUUCUGAGCAUUAAUUUCUUCAUCUGUCCAAAUUGGACAGUAUCUGCUUACACAGGGUUGUCAUACUUUAAUAUAAGAGGAGUACCUGUUUUAGGGACCAAAAGGUCAGCUUUGUAAACACUAAAUGAGUUGUUUUUUUCACCUACACCUUGUGAUUUUGUUGGUGAUAGACCAAUAGCCAUCUUCUGUCUUCUUUUUGGAGGUGGGGAGGAGGGCAUUGGGUAACUGUGUGGUAAAUUCCACUUUUAUUCUAGCUUUGAGAAAAAGAGCAGGGAGAAUGUGGUAAGCAAUUGCUUCUAAAAAGCUCGGACUAAAAGCACUUGAUGGAUUUGUGCUGGCUUCCCGGUAGACUCAUCUCUGCACUGCCCGCAUAGCACAAUUAAUAGUUAUUACUCAAGAAGGAACAAAUAAAAAAAAAGCGAGAGCAGGCAUAAAAACAUCCUUUCAUCUUCCUGACGAUGGUCCCCUUUGUCAGGUCUGUGGAGCCAUACCUGUGAAUCAUCCUGGGAAAGCACAGUGUGGGUGAUUAGAAGGAAGAUCUUGUGGCUCAUUUCUUACCCACUUCCUGGGCUGGGGAAAUGUCUCAGCUCGUCUUUCUUAUCUACUGAUGUCUUGUCAAUAUCCACUACCGUUCACCAUGCAUCUUCACAAACAAGGGCCUCUUUCUCACUCCAAACCAUCACCGUGUAGGGAGGCAGUUACUCUCUGUGCAGACAAAGUUGUAAAGAAAAAGCAGAAUAAAGCUGAGAAGGCAAGAAUGGGGACACGGAAGACGCUCUGGAGUAGGGGUACAGAACAGUGAGUUGCAGCGGGAGCAUAAAAAUACUCAAGCCACGUUUGUGUUCUGAGGCUAUGAAAUGAGUCACGGUUCUGCUACAGACCAGCCACUCGACUUUGUGUAUUUUAUUCUUAUGAGUCUAGAGUCCAUGAAUCAACUUUUGCUACUUGCAGUCUUGAGACUUAGUCCUAGCUUAAGGGAACCCUGACAUUGAGGACGGAUGCUUCCAGUGGGCAUGUGAUUCUCCCCUAGGUUCAACUUCAUAGGCACCAUGGGGGUGAAGGAAACGGAUCUCACAGUCUGUUCUUGUGUUUGAAUCCGGCUGAAGCAGGAGUGACUCUGGGCGAGCUACAUAAUGUGUCUGGAUGUCACGUUUGACAUCUGUGAGGGAGGAAUAGGGUUGUUGUCAGAACUGGAGAUCGUGCGUGCUAUAAUGUGCCUGGCACAGAAGGAGCUCUCAGUUAAGGAUGGGGAUUGUUGUUGUUAUUGUUCUUAUUAUUAUCUGUCGCCACAAUCAUUUCCUUGGCCCUGUCUUACAGGGAUAGACUUGUGGCCACAGGAAGUAUUCAUUGUGAUAGCGGUUUCACUAGACAGAUGGAAAUGCUGCACAGUGAACAGUACAAUGAAAGAAAGCUCCACAUCAAUUCCACCAUCUUCUUUUUCAUUUUCCAUGCAUUAUCUCUUGCCAAGUCUUGGAUUGUAGCUUUUCUGCUACUUCUCUUGGGAUUUUUCCCUUCUUCCCUAUUCCACCUGUUAUUAUUACCCUGAGCCAAGCUCUCAUUGCCUCCUGCUAUCCUGGUGUUCCCGUCUCCAGGCUCCCUUAGAACCCUGGUUCUAGAGUGUGGUUCCUGGGCCUGCGGCACCACCACCAGGCCUUGAGGCUUGUUGGAAAUAUUGCAUCGCAAGCCCCCUCCCCCGCCCUCCAGACCUGCUGAAUCACAGGACACAUAUGCUGUCAUGCUGUAGGGCCUUCAUCCAACUCAUCUGCUCAAAGUACCUGCCUAGCCAACGUGUGUGUGUUCUGCCCCUGGAAUAUUUCCUGUUUCUGAUUGCUCUUCGCGCCUCUCUUGCAAGUGGUGGUCGAGAGGGUAAGCAUGGGGCUGCAGAAAAGCACUGGGGUAGGAGAAUAGUGACUCAAGCCAAGUCACCACCCAUUAUUUGGACUAUGACAAUAGACUCUCUGAAAUGGUCAUGAUACUUUUAUGAUUUCCCUUUGUUGCCCUUCUCCCUACCAUGUGAAGAGAUCUUAUGAAAUUGUUAAUUGGAUCAUAUCUCACCCCCUGCCACAGAGUGACUUCCAUGGUAUCUAGAAACAUUCAGAAGACCUUUUAGUGGCCUGCAAGGCAAUGUGAGUUGGGCUUCCCUUAUCUGUCACUCCAUCAUCACUUUACUCAGUAAGCUAAAGACACACUGACCUCCCUUCUAUCUCGUGUAUAAGCCAAGUUUGUUCUCACUUGACCUUCUUCUGAUUCUGCAUAUGGCUGACUUGGAGUCUUCAUUCUAGGCUCAGUACAGAUGUCAUCUCCCUGAAGAGAUCUUCCUUAACCUACAGCUAAAGUAGCAUACCUGUCCCCUCCCCAUUGCUGUUUCCUAUUAUCUUGUUUUAAGUUCUCUACAACACUUAUGGUUCUCUGAAAGUGUGGUCACUAUGCCUGUGUUUACCUUUUGUAUAUUGCAAACUCUUUUGGUGAGAAAUAUCUUUGGUAUAAUAAUGAGGAGGGUGAUUUGCUGAGUGCUUACUAUAUGCUAGGCUCUGUAUGUAGUGCACUCUAAUGGAUCAGUUCAUUUGGACUAUUUCUUUCUCUUUCAUGGAUUAUUUGUAUCUUUGUCUUCCUCCUUUCUUAGGGUGUCAGCUCCCCAAAUGGGGGAACGGUAUCUAUUUGUUGCCAUUCUGUUCCCAGCCUGUAGAAGAUUGACCCGCACAGGCAUAGGAGUGGUGCUCCGGAAAUGGUUAUUUGGGAUAUGUGUGGACCCCAGAAGAUUGUCAAUGGGGAACAAGUCCACAUGGAAGGAGAGAGAAAGAGUAUCUCAUCCCCCAUUCCAGGAGAAAAUAGCCUUACGUUCAUUUUUAUCUUUAGAUUAAGAGAGGGAGCAGGCUUUGAAAUUCGUGUUGGGAUUUGCUAUCGCGGCCUGGGGUACAGACGCAGAUGCUGACAAUCUGGGAGUGGGGUUCUUGAGUGGUACCUUAAUAAGAACAAGUCCUUGCGAAAGCCUUAAGUUUGGUGCGUAGCGUGGUUGGAAAUACAGGGCCUAAUGACUUUUACGUUCUUUGCGCGCACGCUGUCGAUGUGCGUAUGUGAGCCUUUUAUUAUUAUGGACUCAGCCGGCAGUAACCAUGGUGAGUAGACCCUAUCACACAGCAUUUUUCUGAGUCAGUUUAAAAUGCUGACAAUUAAAUAUACCGUACUCUUUUAAGCGAUCCAUCAGUCUCCCCUGUUGUCAUGGUGACCGGAGUAUAUUUAGAAAUGUGACAAGUACACUGAGUUCAAUUGCACUUUUGCCAAAACAUAGUUUUGCAGCUAAAAUUGAAUUUCCUGAUUGAAGAUCCAAGUGCUGUUAAGGGGGCAUAAUCGUUUCUAUACAUUAUUCUGGAAGCAUAACUUACAUCAUUCUAUUAAAUCAGCAGUUAAAAGUCUUAUCAGGCUAGUAAGAUACUGACACUUGAGUGGUUGUAUGUAGAGUUGAUGGAAGAAAGUAAAAUAAAGGUGGCAUCCUGUUUUAUUUUUCUUUAACAAUGAAAUUGAGCCUCACCAGUGUAACUAGUUUAAUGAUUAAUUCCUUUAUAUCUUUUUAAAGAAAUUGUAGGUAAGCGUGCAUGUGUCUGUUCCUUCAGAUUAUAUUUUUAAUUGAAAUCGCUUUAAGUACCUCCUCUCUCCUACAUGCAAUCUUUUCUUAGCAGCAUGAGGGCAUCUCUUUUUCUUUUGGUUUGACCUCAGAUUAACAAGCAUCCUUAUUUUUCCCCAGCCUUUUUCCUGCUGGGUUUUACAUGGGGUAAAGAGAUGAAAUGAAUAUGACUUUUUGUGGAAACAAAGGAAAAGUAAAAAUCUCAUCUCUUGUCUGAUCAGGGACUAAGUUUGGAUUCUCACUUCCUGUCUUUUGACCUUUCACUGUAGUGCUGAGAACGACAUUGGGGUUGAACUGCUUGCUCUCUUGACCGUAGAAAGUUUGGAAAACGGUGCAGUGCCUGGUCUUUAUUAUAACCCUGUUUCCAUUCCUGGCCACAGAUUUUUUUUUUUUUUUCUUUUUUACUUUUGGGAUGAGAAACAAGGACUCCUGGAUACUUUUGCCUCUGAGAUUUCAUGGAGCUGAAUGUAUCAGCAAGUGAGAUAGAUUUUGAGUCCCUAUAUGGUUAAAUUGUUUUUAUUUCUUUCAUGUACAUGACAAACAAUGGUAAGAGACAUGUCAGUUGUACACUUGAUCUUAGCCAAAAGGCCGAGAAGUGAUGGGAGACAUGUUAGUUGUAAUAACAAUGGGUAAGAUUUCUUGAAUUUUUACUGUAUGCUAGACAUUGAGUAUAGUAAGGUUUUUAACGGAUCAUUUCAGUGGAACUACACAAUAAUCUUCAGAUGUAGGUCUAUUGCCAUUCUUAUUUCACAUAAACAAAACAAAACAAAACAGGUGUAGGGGCACCUGGGUGGCUCAGCUGGUUAAAUGUCCGACUUCAGCUCAGGUCAUGAUCUCAUGGCUGGUGAUUUCGAGCCCCGUGUCGGGCUCUGUGCCGACAGCUCAGAGCCUGGAGCCUGUUUCAGAUUCUGUGUCUCCCUCUCUCUCUGCUCCUCUCCCACUCAUGCUCGCUCUCUCUCUCUCUCUCUCUCUCUCUCAAAAAUAAAUAAACAUUAAAAAAAAACAGGUUUAGAGAGAUUCUGUAUUUUGACCAAGAGCAUACCGAGGGACACCUGGGGGCUCAGUCGGUUGAGCCGACUUUUGAUUUCAGCUUAGGUCGUGAUCAUAGGGUCAUGGGAUCGAGCCACGUGUCGUGCUCUGUGCUGAUUGUGGAUCCUGCUUAAGAUCCUCUCUCACUCUCCCUCUUACCCCUCCCCUGCUUGUGCUCUUUCUCUCCCAAAAUGAAUAAAAAAAAAAAAAAAAGGUUAUACGUACUUCAAAUAGUAGUAGAGUCUGGAUUUUGAUCUAAGGUCUCUAUUAACCAGUGCCUGCCCCAUGGAAAGCUCACAAUCAGUAUUUGUUACUAACAAAUGGCCUACUCCAUGGCGAAGUCGUACAGAUGUUUCAUGUGUCCAAAUGUCCACUGAAGUGGCCUCUACAUAAAGGUAAACAGAUAGCAGGGUCUGAAAGUAGAGCUGAGCCACUCUUUGUCUUCCCUAAUGGUUUAGAACCAAAGAAGAUGGGUACUGGACAGGAAGGUAGCAUACAUAAGUCCCAUCUAAGUGCAGUGGUUUGGUCUCAGGACCUCUCUACACUCCUCAGCAUGAGUUUUUGCUUAUGUGAGUGAUAGUAAGGAUAUUCAUCUUAGAAAUUAAAGCCGGGGCCUCUGGGUGGCUCAGUCGGUUGAGCCUCUGACUCUUGAUUUCAGCUCAGGUCAUGAUCUUACUGUUGUGGGAUUUUGCCCUACAUCAGACUCCACACUGAGCUUAGGAUUCUCUCUCUUUCCCUCUGCCCCUCUUCCCUGCUCAUGUGCUCUCUCUCUCUCUUUUUCUCCAAAGAAAGAAAGAAACAUCCUAAAAAAGAAAUUAAAACAGAAAUACAAAAAAGAUUUUAAAGAAAGCUGUAUGAAAAUAAGUACAUUUUCCAAAAGACACACAAAAAAAGUAGUGAGAAAAAUGGCAAUUUGUCACAAAUAUAUGCUUUGAGUAAAGUUUAGGAAGAAAAUCCAGAAAUUAUUUAUAAAAAGGAUUGGAAAAGGAAGUUAAAAAGGACAUAAUUGUGGAUUUUCUUUUUUUUUUUAUACUACACUAAAACUUGACAAGUGGUGGUUUCCUAAUGUGAAACCUGAAAUCGUAUCAAUAAAUUUCUUUAUACUCUGUUAUAUUAAAAUUCAUUGGUCUUCUACUCAGUUUGAAUCGCUCCACACCUCUGUGUAACACCAUAGAUUGCUCAGUUGGAAAAUACGGGUUCACUGAGUUAUGCAUAUCUUUCAAAUAUCGAUAAGUUUCAUUCCGUAACAACAACAAAAAAAUCCCAUUCGUUAAUAUCGCCACUGCUUUCAUCAAAAACAUAUUUUAAUUAUUAGGAAUAUGUCAAGUAUACAAUAGCAGAUCCAGGGUUUUUGAAGUUCUAAUUUUCACUUGAAAACUGAUUUUUAUCACUGGCAACAGAUACCUUUAAUUGUUUUCCUUGAAAUGAUAGGCUCUCUUGGUUUAUGUUUGUCAUCACCAAGUCUGAAUGACCACAAUUUGUCAGUCAUUCUUUCAAAUAAAAAUGAUGUUGGGGCACCUGGGUGGCUCAGUCGGCUGAGCGUCCGACUUCGGCUCAGGUCAUGAUCUCGCAGUUCUUGGGUUCGAGCCCCGCAUCAGGAUCUGUGCUGAUGGCUCAGAGCCUGUAGCCUGCUUCGGAUUCUGUGUCUCCCUCUCUCCUUGCCCCUUCCCCACUCAUGCUCUGUCUCUCUCUGUUUCUCAAAAAUGAAUAAACGUUAAAAAAAAUAAAAAAAAAAUGAUGUUCUGUGCAACGAGCUGUUAGCUCAGCCCUCGAUUCCAGCAGUCACACAAGUGCCUUUCUUGGAGACAACCAUUGUGGUUUGGGAUUCAGCAGAAGAUGUUCUUGCCUCCUUUCUAUUUUGUCACAUGGAAUAUUAAAAAGAUAUGUGUUCAAGGAUUGAGUUUAAUAAAAUUAACUUUUAAUGCAUGGAGGACAGUUUUGAAUGAAACGAGCCGCGUGUUCCCUUGACUGUGGGUACCUGGUGGUGAAAAGUGAAGCAGCUGUCGGGACAUUUUGGUGCCACUGCUUGAUUCCUGUGAAGACUCUGGCCAUGUCCCCCCACCCCGCCCCACUCUUGAUUGCUUUCGCACCGUUGACGCAGAUGUCAACACUGUGAAAAAGAUGCAUCAUGCGCAUUGAGAGCCACUGAUCUAAUCCUGUCUUUUGGCUUUUUUAGGCGAGCGGAGCUGAAAGCGACCUACCCGGGACCGCUGCGCUGGUUAGCGGCUGAGCUGGGGCAAGAAUCCAGGUGUUAGUGUGUUCCUCUUUUUCUUUUGAGUUCCUGUACCAGUCUCCG
rnacentral:lncRNA from 1 species